rnacentral:lncRNA from 1 species
UAUUAAUGCCUUUGAAGGUUAGAAGAUAUUUUACCUUCUGGAGUUUCUCUGACUCACCGAUGAUCUCAGCUCAAACCUGCCAGUUCAGGGGAGAUGAUCGAUAACACCCUCAGAUGAUCGACAUCUGAGUAAGUAGAUACUGCUGUGUAUUGUGUUUAACUGCUUUAAAAAAAAUUAAAUUUUGUAACUUUAAAGGCUUAAAGUAUUAUGCAUUUUAAUGGGGUUCUUUAAAUUUUGUUGUUGAAUAAUGAUGGCAAUUAUUGUAAUUCCUAUAAGUGAAUAUUUAUAAAUAAUGGGUUUCCAGAAGUUAAUCCCCUAAUGAUAAAAAAAAGUUAGUGAAAACAUUUUCCGUGCAUAAUACUUUACCUUUUAAGAAACAUAUUGAAGACCUAAAUGCAUAUAUUAAAAAUUUAAAAGCAUUCUCCUUAGUGCUUUAUUUUACUUUCAUAUUAAGAAAUGCAAAAUUAUUAGUAAGACUGUUAACUGUAAAUGAAUUUUAAAAAUGCAAUUAUAUUCUUACAGAAAUUGUCUUUUAACAUAGAAUGUAUUUUGGUUAACUUGAAAUAAAUACUGGUUUGUUUUGUGGAAGUAGAAUUUUAAUAGCUCUUUCUAUUUGAAAAUAAUGAUGUUUUUUCCUGCUAACGUAGACAAGAACAUAGAAUCUCUCUGUAUUUAACUUUCGUUUUUAAUUGAGGAGACUAAGAAAGAAGAGCAUGCAUGCUUUCUAAUCAAAACAUCUGAAUGAAAUGUAAAGAGUUCGGCCAGUAGUCUUGACAUAAAUUAUUUCUCAGAAUGAAAGCUGUUAUUCGUCUUGUUAUAUCAUUUGAAACUGUUUUAACAAAACUAGGAAACCAUGAGGUUGUCCCAUGGUCUUGUUUUGGAAUGUGAAGUUCAAAACAAUUAAUAAAUAUACAAGAUGUUCCCCUCUUCGAUGGGGUUAUUUAAAUUAGGUCUAUGUCUGUGCUGUCCCAUAUGGUAGCCACUGGCCACAUGUAGCUACUGACAUUUAAAAUGUGGCUAGCCCCAACGGAGAUGUGUUAUGCAUAAAAUACACACCACAUUGCAAAGACUUAGUCUGAAAAAAAGGCUGUGAAAUAUUUUAUUAAUAAUUUUGUAUGAAUCACAUGUUGGAAUAAUAGUUGUUCAGAUCUGUUGGGUUAAGUAAGCCACUUAAUGUUUUCUUUUACUUUCCUAUGUGACUGAUUGCUAGAAAAUUCUAAAUUACUUGUGGAUUACGUUAUAUUUCCAAAGGGCAGAGGUAGCCCGUGUCAUCGUAUAUGAUUAACAAUUCUUAGUUACCCAUUAUGCGGUAUUCUUUAGGCUUGAACCUUCUGGUGUGUGCAUGGAUAAAUGAAUAUAAAUCUGUAUUCUUUUUAGAAUAGGAUUCUUUGAUUUAUCAGAUAUUUAUUAGUGCUUACAUGUGCCAGACAGUAGUCUAGGCACUGGUGAUACAGUCGGGAACAAAAUAAAACUUGCUGCCUUCAUGGAGUUAACUUUCUCAUAGAGACUAAAAACAGGCUAAGAUAAGUAAGAAAAAAAUACAUAAUCUGUUAGAGAGCCAUAAGUGCUUUCAAGGAAAGCCUCACUGCACGGGUGAUGUUCGAGCAAAGAGUUGAGGAAGGUGAGAGAAAGACCCUCCGGAUAUUUGGGGCAGAGCGGUCCAGGCAGAAGGAAUAGCAACACAAAGACGUCGUGGCAGGAGCUCUCCUGUUUGUUGGCAUGGGGAAAGGAGGCGUGGUGAUGGUUUGGAGAGAGUGAGGACGAGAUGAAAGGGAGUGCGUGGGCACAUCAGGCGAACACUUGCAAGGAUUUUGGCUUCGAGUAAGGUGGAAAGCAGUCGGUGGGUUUCGAGAUGAGAAGUGACAGGAUCUUUCUGUGGAAGCUGUUUUGACAAAAUGCUCGGGGGUGAGGGUGGGAGCGUUCGCAAGAGUGGAAGCAGAGAGCCCCGGUUCAGGGCUACCGCAGUGACCCAGGCGAGAGAGCCCAUAAACGAGGAGAGUGACGAGAAGUGGUGGAAUUAAUUAAUUACCCAUUACUGUGGACUUAUGUGGAAAGAGAGAGAAAGAGAUAUGUCAAGCUGUUCCACCUUAACAGCUGAGGAAUGGAGUGGAGUUGCCUUUGGUUGAGAUCGGGAGGAACAGAUUGACGGGGAGGGGGUGCUUAGUUUGCGACACAUUAACUCUGGGAAGCCUCUGUAGACAUCUAAGUGGAAAGGUCAGGUAGGCAGAGCCUGGAGUUCAACGAGAGGUCGGGGCUGAAGAGGCAAAUCGGAAAUCAUAAGCAAUUAUCAUUACUUAAAGCCCAAAGAAGAGUUGAAGCCACCGAGGCGGUGAGCACAGAUGGAAAAGAGGAGAGGAAACAGACCGUAAUUCCGUAGCAUCAUCCACACUCAAAGAUGCCCAUCGGACGAUGUUACUGAAUUAGUUUUCUCAGGUGUGGCAAUGAUGCUGGAGUUACAUAGGAGGUGUUCUUAUUUCUGGAAGAUGCAUACUUAGCUAUUUAGGAGUGAAAUGUCCUACAUCUAUUUUCCCCUUUCGGAUGGUCUGGCAGAAAGGAAUUACAGAAAAAGGUGGAGGAAGCAUGGUGAAAUGUCAGCAGUAGGCCUUUAGUAGGUAUUCAGGCAUGACUACCCGAGUACUUUCAACUUUUCUGUAAGUUCAAAAGUUUCUUUACAAGUGCCUCCGAAGAGGGACAGAUGUGAGGAUGGUGGGCUGCCGUUUUUCAUAAGCCCUUGAUGAGUAUUUGACUCUAUAAACUGCAUACAUGUUUAAGUUUGAUAAGAAUAAAAAGCAAUAAAAUAAGUCAAAUCUAAUAAGGGGAAACAUUAUAAUCUUGAGUAAUGUUAUGUAAUAAUCAAGUCAGUUCUUUGGAAAUUAGUACUUUUUAAAUAUGGCCGUUGAGUCUUAGGACUGGAAUUUACCUUGGAGACCUCUCAGCCUGCCUCCUCUACCCUAGAGAUUAAUAAAGUGAGUUUCAGGGGAAUUAAGGGACUUGCACAAGGUCACAUGCCUGUGUAGCAGCAGAGCCAGGACUAGAAGCCGGAUCUUUGUACUGCUGUUCCAUUAGUUAAAAAAAAAGGAAGCAGAGAGGUCUAGGACCCAAACAAAGGACCACGGCAACAAUCAGAGCUCGGGAGUCUCAACAAGAAGCGUGAGGAAGAGACGGGAAGGUAGACAUUGGGAUAUUCAAGUCACCAAGGGGAGAAAGUGUCUCUGGAAGCAAGAAUAACCAGCACUGUCAAAUGCUCCUGAUGGGUUAGGUAAGACUCGAGCUGAAAAUCGAUCCUUGACUCUAGCACCGAGGAGGUUGUUAGUGACCUUGACAAGAGGAGGAGGUUUUAGUGAAGUCAGAGGGAAACAGAUUCGAGGGAAAGCUUGGAGGAAAUGCCUGGAAGAGGGUGAGUGGAGACCCUCUUCUGAGGAACUGUGGAGGCAAAAGGGAGUCAGGGUUUUGGUUUUGUAGACGAAAGAAAUUACCUCAUUUCUCCCAAUGUGUGCGUUAGGAGAGAUUUCAAGGUACUCUUCUAAAAUGAUCCACCAGAUUUGUGGCAUUUAAGACCAUCACCUUGUGUAUGUGUGUAUGGGUAGGGUUACUGUUUCCCUCCCAGAAGGAUUUCAUAGAACAGUGUUUGGUAGGGGGGGGGGGGAGUGUGUGUGUGUGUGUGUGUGUAGAGGUUGGCAUUGUGUUAAAGGUUGCUUUUAUAAUUGUUACAGAUUUGACUUCAUUUCUUCUUGCUCAGGGUCUGUAUUCUCAUAGCUAUAAUUAAAAUUUUUAAGGAAAUAAAUGCUGAGCCUAUUCUCAACUGAAAGUGUUGAGAAGGCUAUUGCUUGGGGGCGGUAAUCUGUUUUCCUUGCCUUUAAAGAAGUUACCAAAAUGUUGGAAGAGAUGGCUGCAAAGACACGCCCAAGGUCACAAGACAAAAUGUCGCCAGCAUAACUGGAUCUUAGAUCUGAUUCACCUGCCACGUGGAAUACUUAACCCCUGUGUAUUUCACUUCCAACAGGUAUAAAAUGAGGAUAAGAUUUGCUCCACCUCCUGCAUGAGGUUUUCGUGUGUCAGCUACAAAGCCUUCUAUACACACGAGUCACAGUGCUAAAGGCAAGUUAGGCUUGAGGGUUUUCUGAAUAACUGGGGAGAAAAUGUGUUACAAAAUGUGGAUUGAGACGACUUACAACAAUACUAAUGGAAUCUGCAAGAGUUUGCUUUUGCCCCUGUCAGGCAUUGUUAAUAACACCACAAAAUCCGUCGUCUUUGGGCCCGUCAUAGAGUUUUGUGGUUAAGAGCCACGGCUGAGAUCCAAGCAGUCAAUCAAUUAAUCCCCUAGGAACUCAAAAUUACUGAACAACUGACUGUUCUAGUACUUUUAAUAUAAUGUUAGUUUGCUGGCACUGUGUGGCAGGGCUCUUAAAUGGAAAAUGACGCAGGCUAUGAUGAUAAAUUUUAUGUCAGACUCGGAAAGCAGUUCUGCAUUUGAUACUUGAAGUGGAAUUAUAGUCAUACUAUAUUUUUAAGAGGUUUACGUUAUGGGAGGUUGAGAGAUUAAAAAUGGAUAGAUAGCCAAGGUCACUCCCAUUAAUGAUGAUGUAAAGAGAUCGGGUGGUCCUUUCUUAAUAAAACAAGUAUAAAAUUGGACAAGAUUGACAAAAGCAAUAAUAAUUUCUGGCACUGGAGAUAGACUGGAAAGGCAGACAAUAAUCACACUGGAACGUUGGGUGACGAGUGGGAGUUCUGUGGCCUUUCUUGCCGGGGCCCCUCCCCCGCCUCUUAUCUCACUUGGUGAGAACUGCAGUUUUACCAGCGGGCACUUCUUACCAGAAGUGAUGGAUGCAGUUUGGUGGGGUUGGCAGUAAAAACCCACAGCUUUGCUGGUUAAAAGUGGCACACUCAGUUCAUAAUGGACAGGGAGAACCUACAGCUUUGCUACCUUGGUUUUGCAGUCUUGGGUUGGGGCCACCAGCCAGGAAUUUAACGGGGAGAUCCCUGAAAUGAGAGAGCCAUUAGGGCUGACAUCAGCUCUCCGCGCAGUCAUGGCUGAGGGCUGAACUUUGCAUGCCUUAGGGGAUAGAGACUCAAGACAGCCCAGCAAAAAGCGAAAGUCAGGGAGUUCCUUGAGAGUUGGAGACAACUUCGAAUGCUUUUCAACCCACAUAUAGCUUCCUCAGUGGAGGGGGGAAGCCUUACAGGUACAAUGUAUUUGGGCACAGCCUCUCCCCAAAUCACCGUGGCCUGUGGCUAACCAGGACACUAUGAAGACACAGAGGUAGCCUGGAGGGAACCAGGCCAUAGAACAGAAAUAUGAAUUUAAAAAGUAAGUAGGGGUGCCUGGCUGGCUCAGUCGGUGGAGCGUGCGACUCUUGAUCUCAGGGUUGCGAGUUCGAGCCCCACGUUGGGUGUAGAGAUUACUUCAAGACAAAGCAAAACAAAAAACUAAGACAACAGGGGCCACAUUCAUGGAAGAGGCAGAUUCUGCCGUAGAAGUACAAGCAGAUUUCUAAGAGGACCGCCACCCCUUGGAAAACUGAGGUCUGUCAGCUGAUAAGUGGAUGACUAAAACAUGGUGUAUUCAUAUAGUGGAAUACCAUUAGGCAGUAAAAAGGAAUGGUGUACUGACACAGGCUAUAAUGUGGGUGAACCUUAAAAACAUUAUACUAAGUGAAAGAAGAUAGCUCCAUUUAUAUGAAAUGUCAAGAAUAGAGAAAUCCAUUCAUAAUAGCAUCAAAAAGACCAAAAUACAUAUAAAUGAAUUCAGUGAGAGUUUAAUCAAAGGUAGUAAGUAUACCCAAAUAGGGAGGAACAUAUUGCCAUGUUUAUAGGUUGGAAGACUUAAUAUAGUUAAUGUGGCAGUUUCCCCCAAAUUAAUCUAUAGGUUCAACAACGUUGUCAAAAUCUCAGAAAGGAUUUUUAGAGAAGUAUCUAUAGAGAAAACAGAGUCUAAAAUUCUUAUGGAAAUGCAGAGAAUCUAGAAUAAUCAAAGUGACUUUAAAAAAGAAGUAAGUUGGGGGAUGUGUAGUACCUGGUUUCACAACCUACCGUAAAGCUACAGAAGCAAAGACUUUGGUAUUUGCAUAGGGAUAGACAUAUAGAUCAGUGGAACAGAAUGUCUAGAAAUAGUUGUAUUUCCUGUGUGGUCCACUGCUUUUCAACAGAGGUACUGAUGUCAUUCAGUAGGGACACCAUGGUCUUCUCAGGAAACAGUACUGCCACAAUUGGAUACCCAUGUGAACUAAAAUGUGCUUGACUUUUACUUUACAACACACACAAAAAUAAACUUGAAAUGGAUCAUAGGAAAUAUAAAGAAGGAAACAUAGCAGGAGGUUUUCUUGUCUUGAGUUAGAGACUUAGUAAAUAAGAUCUAAAAAGCAUGAGGUAUAUAAAAGAAAAAAUGAUAAACUGGACUUCAUCAAAAUUGCAGUUUUCUUUUCAGAAGACACCACUGUUAAGAAAAUGAAAAGGCAGGCCACAUAUUGGGAGAAAAUAUUUAUAAAACAGAUAAUCUGAUAAAGGAUUUGUGUCUUGAAAAUGUAUAAAGAGCUCUCUUAAAACUCAAUCAUAAGAGAGUAACCUAAUUUAAAAAUGUGCAAAAGAUUUGGAUAGACAUUUUACCAGAGAAGGUACAUGAAUGGUAGGUAAAUGCACACAUGAAGAGAUUUUCAAUAUCAUUAAUCAUUAGGGAAACGCAAAUUCAAGCCGUAAGAUACUGCUGUGCACCCACUCUACUGGCUAAAACUAAAAAAGACGGACAGUCCAUGUGUUGGCAAGGAUGUAAAAACAAACAAACACAAAAAAACCCAGAAUACUCACACAUUGGUAGUGGGAAUAUAAAAUGGUACAGCCAUUGUUGGAAAACGUUUGUUAAAAAGUUCAGCAUACACUUAACAUAUGACCCAGCAAUUCUGUCCCUAGGUAGGCCAUCAGGAGAAGUAACAGCAUAUAUCUAGACAAAAACUUAUAUACAGUGUUCAUAACAGCUUUAUCUAUGGUUGUCAAAAAUUAGAAAUUGUGUAAAUGCCCAUCAGCAGAUGGGUGGAUAAGCAAAUUGUUACACAGUAAAGGAAAGCAAUGGACUGCUGAUAUAUACAACAGCAUGUAUGAAUCUCAAAGUGAUUAUACUGCAUGAAAAAAGCUGGCACUCCCCCCUCCCCACCCCAGAGUAACAAUACAGUCUGAUUCCAUUUAGGUGAAAUUAUACAAAAUGCAAACUAACUGAUUGUGACAGAGCAGAUCAUUGGUUGCCUGAGGAUGGCUUAGGGGAGGAGGGAGAAACGGAUUCUCAAGGGAGGGGUACAGUGAAGCAUUGGGGUGAUUAUAGAUUCAUUAUCUUGAUUAUGCAUGAUAGUUUCAUGGGUGUGCACAUAUGUAAAAGUUCAUCAAAUUGCAUAUUUUAAACAUGUGCAAUUUAUUAUAUAGGAGUCCUACCCCAAUUAGGUUAUAAAAAUUGUGCCCAUUCAAAAAGCAAGCAGAUGUUCAUAGCAGCAUUAUUUGCGAUAGAUAAAAACUAAAAACAAUCCAGUUUGUCAACUGGUGAAUAGAUGAGGAAAAUGGUCAUACAGUGGAGUAUUAUUUAGCCACGAAAAAGAAGGAAACACUAGUUCACACUACUGAUAGAUGCUACAACACGGAUAAACCUCAAAAACAUUGUGGCAGCUGAAUGAAAUCAGAAACCGAGAACUGUGUAUUGUAUGAUACCAUUCAUAUGAAAAUUUCAGAAAAGGCAAAGCCAUGGGUAGAUCCGUGGUUGUCUGGGGCCAGAGGUGGGAGCCGAGACUAGCCAUAAACAGGUACAAGGGAACUGUUGUGUCAGUGGAACUAUUCUUGGUGAUAGUUGUGCUGCAGUUGAAUAAAUUUACAAAGCAUGUCUAACUGUACCCUUAAAAUGGAUGACUUCCGUGGCCUGUAGAUUAUACCUUAAUAAAGCCAUUAAAAGGUGAUUAACCACUCAACAUUUUAAAUUCUCUUUAAGAUGACCAUUCAAGAAAUUGGACUAGAUUGCUGAUUUCAUUGUUAUCUAUUGCUUUGGCAUACUUUGGUGAGACCAAUUAAACUGAUGUUCUAUGCCAAGUACUUUUUGAGAUUCUAAUUGUAAAACAGAAAUCAUUAUUAGUUGUCUUUCAUGGAAUUUAGUGGCUACUAACCACUGUUUUUCCCUUGCACAUGAACACUGAUUUUAUGUUUAAUAAUUGUUACCCCCCCCUCCCCCGCCGCUGGAAGAAAUGGUGGCUUCUUAGAUUAAUAUUCUGUUCGUGUAAAGCAGUUCCAACAUGUGGAGGGUAGGUUAUCAGGAAGGAAUUUGAUGAUGGAGUAAUACUUUUGCAUUUAAAAUUUUUUAAUGUUUAUCGAUUUUGAGAAAGAGCGAGCGCAUGCACGUGGGAAGGGCAGCGGGAGAGGGAGCAGCCUCCACGCCCAGUAUGGAGCCCAGUGAGGGCCUGGAUGUCAAGACUGUGACAUCCUGACCUGAGUUGAUAUCAAGAGUUGGAUGCUCAACCGACUGAGCCCCCAGGAGCCCCCCACCUUUGCAGGUUUUAGAUAGAGAAAAGCACACCUUUCUAGGUGUUGGGUGUCCACCCACGUGUCUCCAGCCCCAUGUUUGUGGAGAUGUCAGGUAAUCUGGGCAUGAGAUCCUUUGGGUGUGGGGAUGGGGAAACUGCAAACAAGAGAAUUCCUUCCAGAGCCCUUUUUUGGCUGGGUCUGGCCAUGUUCUGUACCAGACUAGGAGUCAGGAUCUCCGGGGUUAGUGACUUCAUGCCUGCCUUCACCUCCAUGUCUUCAUAUAUAAAAUUGGAAAUUGAGGUUUGCUUUUUUAGGUAAAAGUGAGUCUCUUUCUAUUAGAAAGUUGCCUAAUUUUGAUGAAAAAUCAAGAAUCCUGGAACAUUUUGCCCACGAUUCUGCCUCAUUCUAUGCAAAUUAGAGUAAUUUAUUUUGAAAACAACCAGAGUCAUUUGGUUUGACUGAACCAAAUGACUGAAAGUCGUUAAUUCAUUUUCCCAAAUAAAGUAAUUCUACUUUUCCCCGUUUUUCCUUCCCCCCAAACAAAUCCUUUAUUCAGCAAAGAUUUAUAGGCACUCUGAAGUUGAGAUAAACCUGCAAAAAUAACGGAAGCAUGGGGGUGGGGUAGGGGCUGAUAUCUAACCUGCCUUCAGUAGGGGUACGGGGGCUGUACAGAGAGGGGCUGGGAAAGCUCUGGGGAAGGGCAUGUGGAGAGCUGAGUUUUGAAGGGUAUAUAGGACUUGGCUGUUAUCCAGGUGGUGGGGACGGGGGGAGUUUGCUGGAGACUUGAAAGCUGUGGCAUUGGCUUUAAAGAAGAGAGAAGAGGGUGAAGAGCUUCGGUGAGUGGGGGUGACUUUUGACUUUGUGACUGGCAGAAUUUGAAGGAUUAAGGGAGAAAAGAAAGGAGUCAAGGGUAAGUUCAGCCUCAGCCUCAGCUGUCUUAAGCAAGUGGAGUCAAGAUAAGUUCAAGCUCAGCCGUCUUAAGCAAGUGGUGGUAUCAUUCAUUGACCUGGGAACAGAAGGCCCCCAAAAUUAGUUUUGCUUGUUGUUUUGGGAAGACAAGAAUUCACUUUGGAGGUUUUAUCAGAGGAGUGCAGCUAUUCGCACACACUCGAUUGAACCUAAAAGAUGAUGCUCUGACCCCUUGUCCAGCUUUGUCAGGACACCCAUGGAGCAUUAGGGACAAGAGUGAAAACUUGACAUGGUCUUGGUGGUCUGUGUUUGUGCAGCAUCACAGGCUGUCGAGUCUGUCACAUGUGCACAGGUAAAAUCCCCCUUGAAAAUGGCAGUCACAGAGUGCAGAAAUUCUGGCACAUGAAAACCUAUCACAUUUAAGAGUUUAGUAGUUCCUUUGGUUACUCUUUUCUCCCUGAUCUCUCCUCUCUGGAUUUUUAUCAUUUGUAAAGUAUAUACUUUGUACUUCUUUCCUAUAAAAAAGAUGAAAAUGGGUGAAGUUUAGAAAAGACCGCUCAACCUUUCACGUGCAUCAGGUCAUUUAGCUUUUAAAACAACCUGGUAAAGGAGGUACUUUUCAUCGUACUGGUUCACGAUAAAGAUUUAUAGUAAAGAUGUUUGGAAAUCAACAGGUUUAAAGUUUUUGACAUGCCAUUAGCACAAAAUAUAAAUUCUUAUUCAGGUCUGUUGACUUUAGCAUGUAAACAAGGGUGGCAAUUUAUUUUGGAAAUUCUAUUUAUUUCUGCCUUGUCCUUCUUUUGAAAGCACUUUGGUAACAAGUAGAUUCAUGAUCCAUAAAAUAAUACCCUACUUUAUACUUUCUGAGAAUAUUUUCUAAGAAUCAUUUGGAAAAUAACUUUCUCAUGAAAACGUUUGCCAGUUAUUUACUUUUCUUUUUUUUUUUAAUAAUCACGAAUAUAUGUUAAACCAAAGAUGCUAUGUAAGCAGUUGCUUUAAAACUACAUCAAAACAGAAGUUAAAAUUAGGUUCUACCUAUGGCUUCAGAUUUAUCUUUUAGUAAUAUGUGGUCAGAUCUUGCUUUAAAUGUAUUCUUGAUUGAAAUACCUUGAGGAAGUAAGUUGGUGGACCUCAGGCUGUUCCCUUGUCUAUAAGAUGAAGACCAGGAAAUACCUGCUCCAGUGAUGUAAAAAUAACUUCUUGGGUUUAGUUUAAGUGUGUGUACACAGGCGGUUCCCUUUUGUACCACAAGAGGGAGUGCCUGCGUUGUCGCUAACCUGAGCUGAGCUCUGAAGUCCUUUCUAAAAUGUGGUUGCAAAGUUCCAAAUGAGUGGAUUGCUGGGAAAAUGAGAAGGGAAAAGAUUGUUUUGACAGUGUCACGGGAAGGAGGUACUCAAAACACAGUUAUGAAAAGGAAGGGAUUGAAUUUUAAGAUACGAAGGCUUUUGCUGACAUACAUCAUUACAGAUUUCCAUUCCCAGUCAACAACCCUUCUUCUUUGCUUGUAUCCUCCGAGAAUUUUGAUUUAUUUUGUUUUCUUCCUUCUUUGCAACUGUAUCUAUAAAUCUUUUGUAUCAAACAAAUACAGAACCCAAAGUUUAGUUUCUCAGUAGUGGUCCUGAACAAUGAAUAUUGGUUAAAGAUAAAUUGGAUUGUUUAUGCUCUAAGCCUUCGACAUGUACAACAUCUGUUUGUUUGCCUUAAAUUGGCAAAUCAGAAAGAUUUGAACGUUUUCAUCCUGCCUUUCUCCCUUCAUACUUUUUUUUCUUUGUUCAUGCUUCUGAAUUCUUUUAUGUGAUGUUUUCCUGUCAUACAUAGCUCAGAAGAUUGGGUGUGGACAAGGAAAAACAUUGUUCUGUGGGUGAACCCCUAGGGACAUGGAAGUAAUUAUAUUAUACAGUGAAAUUUAAAAAUUUGAGACCAAGAUCAAAGCCAAACAAAAAAAGUGAAUUUGGCAAUUGUGGAAUUAUUCCAGUAAAUUUGGGUUAAUAAUUCAGUUUUAUCUCAGCUGUGUGAAUAUUUCAUGUCAAUGUUGGUUUUUUAAUUUAAAUCAUCCCUUUAUGAUAUAAAGAUAAUCCCUUUAUUUUGCUAAUGUUUGUAUUAUAAAUACAAAAGUCAUGAGCCCAUCGUGUUUUAUGUAACGGUAAUUAUACUGUUAACGCUUUUUGUAUUAGAAAAUUUUCUGAAUUUAGAAAAACAACAAUCCCAGGCAUCUGGGAUUAUUACUCUGAACCUUGCUUUUAGAAGAUUUCUCUGGAGCUUGUUUCUAGUAAUAAAUUUGUCCAAGUUUGGGGUCAGACUGUUCUGGUUCAAGUAUGGAACCACUGUGUUUGAAACUUGACAAAAGCACACUUAUCCCUAUAAUUUCAUUUUCACUUGUUUGAAAUCUGGUAAUUUCUUGAGCAGGAAAAACAGAAGUGGAAUUACUAUAGAAAUUAUGCCCAUUUUAUCUGUAUAGCAGCCAGUUUAAAAAACGAUCAUUGCUGGGACCCUGUAAAGAGUUAUAAAACUUAUAAAUACCUUUGAGAUUGCAACAUUCAAAAGAGAAAACAUGAAAGGAAAAACUCUGUAGCUCUAUUUUCUUUGCUUCUACUGCAAAAUUUGUUCUUGUUUCCAAAUGUGGGCACACCCAUGGUAAUCUGUUGUUCACAUGGAUGUCAUCCGUCUUGUUUUGGUAAAAAGAAGGUAGAGAACAGUUGAGACAGGGGCAAGCUGUUCCUUUUAUUAAAAAAAUGUUUUUUAAGUUUAUUUAUUUUGGGAGAGAGAGAAAAAAAAAUGAGUGCACGUGAACAGGGAAGGAAGGGAAGAGAGAGAAUCCCAAGCAGGCUCCGUGUUGUGAGCGCAGAGCCCAGUGCAGGGCUCGAUCCCACGACCGUGAGAUCAUGACCUGAGCCGAAAUCGAGUCGGAUGCUUAACUGACUGAGCCAUCUGUUCCUUUUCUUUUAAAGUUACUUUAAAAAUUAAAGAAUAUUUCAGGCAUAGGAAGGAAGUAUAAGGAAUAUUAAAGAAUUGAAGUGUUAUGUGUUAUGUAGUUAUUAAAACAUGGUAUGUAUCGUUCCAUAAGCCUGACCCUCUUCCUGCCUUACAGAGGUGUAAUGUCCUGAAUUUGGUGUUUAUCAUUCUCAUGCAUAUUUUUACACUUUUCUAAGUACAGAUUUAUUCCUAAACCUAAAUAGAAGGUACGUGAUUUUUACCCUUUUAACCAGUUUCUGAAUGUACAUUAUUGUUAACCGUAGGCACAGUGUUGGACAGCGUAUCUCUAGGAAUUUUCCAUCUGGCACUACUGAAACUUUCUAUACACUGAACAGCAAUCCCUCAUUUCCCCUAAAAACCAUCUUUCUCCUUUGAGCUUUUAUGAGUUUGACUGUUUCGGAUACCUCAUAUAAAUGGAAAUCAUGCAGUAUUUAUCCUUCUGUGACAGGCUUGUGUCACUUGGUGUGAUGGCCUCAGGGUCCUUCCGUGUUGUCACGUACAGCAAGAUUUCCACCUUUUUAAAGGCUGAUUAAUACUCCCUUGUUUGUAUGUGUCACAUUUUCUUUCAUUCAUCUGUUGAUGGACAUUGAGGUUGUUUCCACCUCUUUGCUGUUGUGACUAAUGCUGCAGUAAACGUGCAAGUGCAAAUAUCUCUUUGAGAUCCUGGUGUCCUAUGUUUUAGAUAAAUAUCCAGAGGUGGAAUUGUUGGAUCAUAUUAUAGUUCUAUUUUUAAUAUUUUAAGGAGCUUCCAUACUGUUUUCUGUAGUAGCUGAACCAUUUUAAAUUCCCAUCAGCAGUGCACAAAGGCCUCUAUUUCUUCACAUCCUUGCCAGCUUUUGUUACUUUUUUUUGUGUUUCUUUUUUUAAAGAUUUUUUUUUAAUUUUCUAAUUUUUUAAAAGUAAUCUCUCCACUCAACAUGGAGCUUGAACUCGCAACCCUGAGAUCAGCAAUUGCACAUUCUGCUGACUGAGCCAGCCGGGUGCCUGUUGUUUUUGUUUUUGUUUUUGUUUUUGUUUUGUUUAUAAUAGCCAUUCUAACAGGUGCGGGGUGAUAACCUCAUGGUUUUAUUUGCAUUUUCCUGAUGAUUGGUGAUGCUCAGCAUCUUUUUAUAAUACCUGUUGCCCGUUUGUAUGUCCUUUUUGGAAAAAUGUCUAUUCAAGUCCUUUGUGCAUUUUUUAAUCGUGUUCAUCUGUCUAUCUUUAUCUAUUUUUGCUGUUGAGUUGUAGAGGUCCCUAUAUAUUAUGGAUAUUAAUUCCUUACCGGAUAUGUGGCUUGCAAAUAUUUCCUUCCAUUCUCUAGGUUUCCUUUCACUUUGUGGAUUGUUUCCUUUGCUGUGCAAAAUCUUUUUAGUUUGGUGUAGUCCCACGUGUCUGUUUUUGCUUUUGUUGCAAGACCAGGGUCAUGAAGCUUUUCCCCAUUUUUUUUUUUUUUGGCACUAGAACCGUUUUAAUAUAUGAUACGUAUCUGCCAGAGAAGAGGUUUAUGCGUGUACAACUUUAUCAGUUAACAUCUGCAAGCAUACAUGACAGUGAUCUCAAUUUAUAAAUUCAUCAGGGUCAGAGCAAUGGACCAGUGUCUCUUUACUGCCCUGCUUACCAGCUGUAAAUUACAGAUGCAUUAGUGUCCUUUUGUUGCUCUUCUUUGACUCUCCUUGUCCAGAGACAUUUUGUUGUCAAGUUUCAGUGCAGCUCACCUCCAGCCAAAGGUAAUCUUUUUAGAUAAGUGCUCAGUUGCUACGAAUUUUGCUUAUAAUUAUAACCUAUUUAAUCACAGAAGAAGCUCUGCAGACGUGAAGUUCAAGGUUGCAUACGAUAACAGAUCACAGUUUUGAAGUCGAGCACAGAUUAAAAACCACAGAUGUACCACUUAUGUAAGACACACACCAGUCAUCUUUUAAGCUGCACAGUGACUCCGUAUGAACAUUAUUUUUUUUUAAGUUUAUUUAUUUAUUUUGAGAGAGAUGGAGAGGGAGAGAAUCCCAAGCAGGCUCCACACUGUUAGUGAGGAGUCCUAUGUGGGGCUCUAACUCCCGAACUGUGAGAGUAUGACCUGAGCUGAAGUCGGAUGCUUAACUGACUGAGCCUCUCAGGCGCCCCUUUGUGAACAUUAUGUUUUAUUUUUUGUGUAUUUUUUUAUUAUUUUUUUAAUGUUUAUUUACUUUUGAGAGAGAGGGACACAGAGCGUGAGCGGGGGAGGGUCAGAGAGAGAGGGAGACACAGAAUGUAAAGCAGGCUCCAGGUUCUGAGUUGUCAGCACAGAGCCCGUGCAGGGCUCGAACUCACAAACUGCGAGAUCAUGACCUGAGCUGAAGUUGGAUGCUUAACGGACUGAGCCACACAGGCUCCCCUUUAUGAACAUUAUUAUUAUUAUUAUUAUUAUUAUUAUUAUUUUUAAAGUGCAUCUAUGACAAUCAGUCACACAAAGUUUUUCAGUGCCAAGUACCAGUUGGUCAUGAAACGUGAGUGAGCUUGAGGCACUGUCCAUUCCUAAGGUUCAGCCAGAGAUUGGCCAGAACAUUGGAACACCUCUGCUUAGGAAGGCUGUUUCCCUCCCUCCUUUCCCUCACCUUUUCGUUUGGUGUUUGGCUGCACAUGGCUGGAAUGCUUUUGAUUGUUUUGCAAAUCAGGAGAACCAGUGAUCUAAAACUAUGCCAGGAUCCUAAGUAGUCCUGUCUGUCCAUUUCAGGCUGCUGGUUGGUAGGUCCCUCUCAGGGCCUUCAUUCCUCCUCCUGUGACUCCCAGAACGUUGAUCAGAAGGUCAGAGCAUCAUCACCUCUAACUCUUUGAACUAAUGCCUGGCUGACACUGGAACGUGCAGCCUGGUCUCUUUGAAAAUCACUCACAAAAAGAGCUUCUGCAGGGCUUCAUAAAACCUGGAAUUGCUAUGAAGAUGUCUGAUCUUUAUAAUCCAGGCAGUGAGCAUUGAAGGGAAGCUUCCAAGAGGCAGUUGGGUGCUUACAAUCCAAGCAAUCAGUGGUUGAAUUAAAACGCAAGCUUGAAGCUCCAUAACCCUGGGUGGAAAGAGAAGCUAAGGACGGGUUGAGAUAGCUGGUGGCUGCACCGGUACCCAUAGGGCUGAGUGUGUCCCCCGGUCCAGGAAGCUGGUGACACAUGGGGGUCAGGUAACAUCCUUGGCCCGUGCCCCCAAGUAGGAAGCUGAGCAGCAUAUCCUUGACCGUCAUCUGAAGCCUGUGUAUGGAUCACAGGAUAGGACCUGUGUAUGCAGGAAGAGGAGGGGGACAAGGAAUACGACAGUGGGGAGACAGAAUCUGGAGUCCAGAUAGACUCGAGAGCACUGCUUCUGGAAAUGGUGGGCACUGAGGUGCUAGAGAAGGGAGCGAAUUGGCCGCUUGUUCCACUCUGUGAACUCGGUUCCUGAUCUGGAGAUUUCUUCAUUUUGGCUUUGUUUGACUUGGUUUUGACCUCCCUUCUGUUGUUGCUGCUGCUACUGGCAGCACUUAGCCCAUUGAUUCUUAAGCCUGGUUCUUUUUCCUGGACCUGGACAAGCUGAUUUUCAGCACCACCUCCACGGCAUGAAGAUGUCAGGGUACCAGGUCUUAGCAGACAGCACUUCGAGCGUGUCUGGCUGCACCUGGGUGAACGUUGUCCUCUCCUGACUCUGUUUGGGUGGUGGGGGGUGGCCAGGUGGCCCACUGAGGGGCGCAGCAGGUACAUGCCCGAGGUGGUCAGACUCAGCCCAUUGACUGUGUAAGGCGGUUGCUUAAGAUACCCUGCUAACGUUUGGGCGUGCAACGUGCAGUGUUUGGAAGUACCCUCUCAAUUGGGGGUACCCAGCUAGAAGGUCUGUCUUCUCCUGGGGUGGGCAGGUUCUGGGUCCUUGGUAGGUGGGUUUGCAGUGAUGGAGCUAAGGGCAAGGCAGACAGACAGAGGUGCUGUUCUGUAGGCAUCCUCUUCCUAUGUUUUCUUCUAGAAGUCGUCCAGCUUCAGGCCUUAGGAUUCAGUCUCUAACCCACUUUGAGUUGACUUCUGCAUGUGGUGUGAGAUCAGGGUCCAGUUUCAUUCCUUUGCAUGAGGAUAGCCAGUUUUUCUGAUUAUUUAUUGAAGACAUUAUCCUUUCCCUUUUGUGUCCUCUUCCUCCUGGCACUCUUAUUGAAGAUCACUUGCGGGGUGUACGUGUGGGUGUAUUUUUGGGCUCCCUCUUUGGUUCCAUUCGUCUCUCCAUGUCGGUCUUUACGCCAGGACCAGUUUGAGAAGAAUUCACUUUAGUGCCUUUUAAAAUAUUUGGUAGAAUUCACCAGGGAAGCUGUUGGUCCCGUGCUUUUCUUUGUUGGGGCGCCUUGGAUUACUGAUUGAACUUCCUUACUAGUUAGAGAUCUGUUCAAAUUUUCUGUUUCUUCUUAAUUUGGUCUCUGCAGGUUGUGUAUUUCUAGGAUUUUUUUCCAUUUCUUUUCCAUUUCCAUUUUUUUCCAUUUUCCAGUUUGUUAACCUUGUUUGAUCCUUUUAGUUUCUGUGGCAUCAGUUACAUUGUCUCUUCUUUCAUUGCUGAUUUUAUUUAUUUGAGCAUUCUUUUUUCUCUUAGUCUAGCUAAAGGCUUGCCAAUUCUGUUGCUCUUUUAAAAAAAAAACAAGUUUUAGCCUUUUUGUCCCCUAUUUGCUCUCUUUUUUAAUUUAUGCUCUAAUCUUUAUUCUUUCCUUCUUGCUGCUAACUUUAGACUUCAGUUUGCUCUUUUUCAAGUUCCUUGAGGUAUAAGGUUAGCUUAUUUAUUUGGGAAUCUUUCCUCUUUCUUAACGUGGGUGUUUAUCACCAGGAACUUCCCUCUCAGUAUUGCUUCUGUCAUAUCCCAGAAGUUUUAAUAUGUUGUGUUUUCAUUUUCGUUUUUUUUCCAAGAUAUUUUCUAACUUUCCUUUUGAUUUCGUCCGUGACCCAUUGGUUGUUCAAGAGCGUGUCAGUUAAUUUUCACAUGCUUGUGAGUUUUCCCAGUUUUCCUUCUGCUUUUGAUUUCUGGUUUCAUUCCACUGUGGUCAGAAAAUAUACUUGGUAUGAUUUCAGCCUUCCUAAAUUUGCUAUGGCGCAUGUUUUCAAACAAGAUAUAAAUUGUAUCUGUUGAAAGAAAGUAGAGUUCCAAGGAACGCAGACUCUGAGAAGCAGAUAAACACGCAGGAAGUUUACUAAGGAAGUUUUAGGAUUAACGCCCGCGAAAGAGACGGAAGCAGGACUGGGCAGAGAGAGAGACUGGGCUGCGGUGCAGUCACAAGGAAGCCCUCAGCCCAUCCCAAGGGGAGUGGAGAGGCGGGCUAGCCCUUCAGAAUUGCCCCAGCUCUGGGUGAGGGGUCAGGCACUGAGCUGCCCCUGGAGAGGGGACAUGACUUGGGCGAGGUGACCCUGCUCAGCUGAGAACUGUCAGCCUGCAGCACUCCCAGUGGCUGGGGGAGGAAGCCCUUCAGCGCUAAAGGAGACCUAGCGGCACAAAGAUCUCAGGGUUCGCCGCGGUGCAUGUUGUGUGUUCUGUUCUUGCCUUCUUGGCCCAAUACUAUUUUAUUUAAGGUUUGCUUAUUUUAUUUUGAGAAAGAGCGUGAGCAGGGGUGGAGCAGAGAGAGAGAGAGAGAAAGAGAGAAAGAAAUUCGAGCAGGUUUCACACUAAGCCAGAUGCAGGGCUCCAUGUCACAACCGGGAGAUUGUGACUUGAGUCGAAGUCAAGACUUGGCCGCUUAACCGACUGAGUUACCCAGGUGCCUCUCAAUUUUACGUUUUUUGAGAUUUGUUCAUAUUAAUGUCCGUAGCUGUAGUCACCCAUAUUAAUGGUCUUACAAUAUUCAGUUUUUUUCCUAAAUAUUUACUUAGUUUUGAGAGAGAGAGGGAGAGAGAUAGAGUCUGAGUGGGGGAGGGGUAGAGAGGGAGGGAGAGACAGAAGCAAGAAGCAGGUUCCAGGCUCCGAGCUGUCAGCACAGAGCCUGACGCGGGACUCGAAGCCAUGAACUUUGAGAUCAUGAUGUGAGCUGAAGUUGGAUGCUUAACUGACUGAGCCACCCAGGCGCCCCUACGGUAUUCAGUUUUAUAAAUAUGUCAUAAUUUUUAAAUAGAUUUCCCUGUUGACUGACAUUGAAGUUUUGCAGUGUUUCACUGUUAAAAAAAAAUGUGGCUAUGAACAUUUUUUAUAUAUCUCCUUAAUGUAUGUACUUAGUUCAUCAGGGUUAUGUAACCAGAAAAUUCCUGGGUCUUAGGAUAUGGACAACUUCAACUUUCAUAACUACACUGUAAUGAAGUUUCUCACUGAAGUGGUUUUACCUUGCUUUAUACCCUUAAGACACUUGUCAUUGUCAGACUAAUUUUUCCAGUUUCAUGGAUAUGAAAUGGUAUCUCAGUGUGGUUUUAAUUAGAAUUUUGUUGAAUUCUGGUGAGAUUGAGAAUUUAUGUGUUUGUUAGCUCCUGGGGUUUCUACUGUGAAGUGUGAAUUCCAAUUACGUGCCCAUUUUCCUAUUUUUUAUUUUAUUUUAUUUUAUUUAUUUUAUGCUUUUUAAACAGUGUUUGAAAUUUAUUUUUAGAGACAGCAAGAGGGCAGGGGGGAGAGAGAGAGAGAGAGAGAGAGAGAGAGAGAAUCCCAAGCAGUCUCUGCACUGUCAAUGCAGAGCCUGACAUGGGGCUUGAACCCACAAGCCAUGAGAUCAUGACCUGGACUGAGAUUGAGAGCUGGACGCUUAACUGACUGAGUCAUCCAGGUGUCUCUCUCUCUUUUUUUUUUUUUUUUAAGUUAAUUUGUAGACAGUCUUUAUAUAUUUUUCUUAUCCAUUCUUUGUUAUCUCUGUGUGUAUACUUUCCUCCUGGAUUGGGGCUUAAUUGUUCACUUUUGAAAUAAUACAUUUCGCUGAAUAAGAGUUUCCUUUAGAUGCAGUCAGAUUUAACUAGUCCUUUUCUUUGGCAUUCUUUGUGUCUUAUUUUUAAAAUUCUUCCUUAGGCUAGGUCGUAUAGAAAUAUUCUCCUCCGUUUUCUACUACAAGUUUUGAAAGUUUUGCUUUCCAUGGUUUCACCUGCAACCCAUUUAAAAUGGAGUUAUGUGUCUGUUGGGAGGUCUAGAAACCUCAUGUUAUUUUUCUCUGGACAGCAGGUUUUCCUGGCAAUGCUCGUGAACCGGUUCAUCUUGGAUGCACCACAGUGCGGUGCGGUUCGGUGCUGUGGUCCAUUUGUGGAGACCUUUUGGGGGUUAUCUUAUGCUCUGGUCUACUUGUUUUUUUCCCCCGCUCCAAUUUCACACUUUCUUUAUUGUCUUUAUUUCUGUGUUGUGUUGUUUUUUGGUAGAACCAAUCCUCCCCUCUCUUUGUUCUUCUUUAAAACUGUUGUUACUUUUUGUCUUUUGAUCUCUGAUACGCAUUUUAGAGUUGCGUCCAAUGAAAAACCUUCCUUUGAUUGAGUUCAUGCGCUGAAUUUAUAGAUUAAUUUGAGGAGAAUUGGCAUCUUUGUAGAACAGUGGGUGUUUCCCAGUGUUUUCUUUUUUUUACUGUUUAUUUUGAGAGAGCAAGCACGAGCGGGGGAGGGGCAGAGAGAGAGAGAGAGAGAGAGAGAGAGUCCCCAAGCAGGCUCCACGGUGUCAGCCCAGAGUCCGGUGGACACUUAAGUCGGGCGCCCGGGUGGCUCGAGUCGGUUGAGCGUCUGGCUCUUGCUCUUGGCUCAGGUCAGGAUCUCACAGUUCAUGAAAUUGAGCCCCAUGUGGGCUCUGUGCUGACAGUGUGGAGGGAGCCUACUUGGGAUUCUCUAUCUCCUCUCUCUCUGCCCCUCCCCCAUUCUCUCUCUCUCUCAAAAGUAAUAAAUAAACAUUAAAAAAAGAGCGAGACGCAUAACCGACUGAGCCCACCCAGGCGCCCCUCACUGUUUUCUUUAAUACCCACAUGUAGGUCCUCUUACUGUACACAACAUUUUUGUAACUUACCUUUCUACUUGAAUACACUUUCAUGUUAAUAAAUAAAUGUCUCCACCAACAAUUUAACAACUACACGAUAAUCCACGUGGCUAGAGAGUCAUUUAUUUAAUCGUGACCGUAUUGACAUUUAGAUGAACAUGUUUCACAGUGAUUAUUCUGGAACUCCAUCUUUCUCAUGACAAAAUUAUACAUGCAGCUACGUUUUAUUCUAGUACUGCUGGGAUAUUGUAUAUAAUUAAGUAUUUAUCUGAGAUGUGUUCAGGUGUAAGGUGCGAGAAAAGUAUCUAACUGAUUUCCUCCCCAUAUGGUUAACCAGUUUUCGUGUACUUUGUCCUUUUGGUUUGACUGUCUUUGCCUGUUUUGUGUCACCACCCAGCAGCCAUCAACAGUGCACACCGUAAAUGUUUGAGUAAGUGAACCAGUUUUUAAUGUUUGCUUUAUUUUCAGAGGUGUUUUCUUCUGUGUUGACCUGUCGGUUCAAGCCAGUACCACACUGUUGGAAUGAUCAGAGCCACUGGAAUAAGACUCCCCUCUCCUCCUCCUUCUCCUCCUCCUCCUCCUUCUCCUUCUUCAUCAUCAUCAUCAUCACACUUUUUCAGAUUUUCCUAGGCUAUUUCUGCACCACUUUUUCCCCCCCUGAACUUUAACUAAUUGGCCACUGUCCCUUUAAAACGGUUAUAAUUUCGAUUGACAGUAUAUUCAUUUUCUGAAGAAAUUUGAAGAUGUUUAUAUGUAAAGUUUCUGGCCUAAUAAGUACUGCAUGUUCCUCUAGUUUGUAGAUUCUGAAAUUGUUGGGUUAGAGAAGAUAAAUCCCCAGAUUUCCUUUUCGAUUGAAAUUCAGGGCAAUUAAAGAAAUUCGUUGCAGCCAACAGAAUCCUAGCACAUGUUUAUUCUGUAAAGACAAAACGUUUUUCUAUAUUGAGCUGCACUUCAACGGCUUUGCCUCCUUCUUAAAAAACACGGCUCACAUGGUACCACACGCUCCCUGUCCGGACAGAUACUUGCAAAUAGGUAACAACUGACGUGCUGUUUGGUCAAAGACCUGGUUUUUCUUUAAUAUGGCCUACCCUCUCCCCUUUCUCCCACCAACCCUUAAAGGAAUUCUGUGCCCCUACUUCUCUGGUUUACCUUUUUUAGGGUAAAGAAAUAGGCUACAAAGCUCGUGGGCACUAGGGAAGUCUGCAUAACUCUUUUUCACACCUGCUUGGAUUCUGGCAGUGGUAUUUGCUAAGUGGGGAUGAAGGCUGGUUUGUCAUGUGUUCUCGCAGAGCACUGAUGGCUGCAGGCCAACCCAUUUAGCCUUUGUUUUUUUUUCUUGCAUAAAACUGCCUAUUUUUCACUUCAGAUGGGGGUGUUAGGCACUUGAGAGAUGUUUGUUCUUGUCACAUGCACGCCAUCUGUGAUCUCCUGGCAUCCUACGCAGGUUCCCAAGUUGGCCAGAGUGUCCGCGGGUCAGUGCACCGGAUGGUCAGGGUCCUAGCCUAUGUGUGUUGGUGGAAGCAGUGCUACUGAACACACUCAAGUAUCCGACUGGGGCUGUGGACUCAGUUUUGGAAAGUUCGAAGAAGCCCUUUAUGUAGAAUAAUUUCGGCCUUGAAGAAAAGUCACAAAGAUAGUACAGAGAGCUCCCAUAUGCCCCUCACCCCAUUACCCCAACUGCUGCUUCUUACAUUAUCCUGCGACAUCUGUCACAAUUAAAGAGCAAGCGUUGCUACGUUACAAUUAACUAAAACCUGCACUUUGUCCACAUUUCACUGGUUUUUCCCUAACGUCGUUUUCCUGUUCUGGGAUCCACAUUCCAUUUUAUUGUCCUGUCUACUUCACUUCUUCUGGUCUGUGACAGUUUCUCAGACUCUCCUUGUGUCUGAUGACAUUGUCAGUUUGGGGAGUACUGGUCAGAUACCUUGUAGAAUUUCCCUCAGUUUGGGUUUUUCUCAUGUUUUUCCUGAUUGGACUGGAGUGAUGGGCUUUUGAGAGGAAGACCACAGAAGCGAAGUGAUAUUCCUGCCACAUUGUAUGAAGGGGACAUGCCUUGUCCCUCAUGAUGUUGACCUUGAUCACCCGGCCAGGGUAGUGUUGCCAGGUGUAAAUUUCUUUCCCACCUUCUUCCAUUCUCUGCUCUUUGGAAGUGAGUCACUAAGCACAGCGUAGACUCAAUUUAAGAGUUUCGUUAACUGUCUCAUCUAUCUGUGUCCUAUUAUGUCUAAGCCACAUCUAUUAUUUUGUUGUACUCCAAAUGCAUAGAUUUUGUGUUUAAAGCCUUAAGAAUAAAUAAAAGUUUCCUAGGCUUAAGUGGGAUUUGAAGUAUCUAGUAGCUGUAUUGAGUCUUCAUUCCAUUCCUUUUAUGUUUGGUUUAUUGGUUUUAUUAAAAAAAUCUUCAUACCCUGGGGGCACCUGACUGGCUCAGUCUGUGAGCGAGUGACUCUUGAUUUCAGGUUGUGAGUUCGAGCCCCACAUGAGGCAUAGAGCUUACUUUAAAAAAAAAAUUGUAAAAAUCUUCAUACCCUGUAUGCUAUCUCCUGUACCACACAGCCUACUUUGUUCUGCUCAGAUGGUUGCACAGCCUGUACUUUAUUCUUCUAGCACAAGGAAGCCUCGUGUCUCUCUUACUGUUGGGAAAAAAAGUUUAGCAUAAGAACAUUUUUAUCCAUACUGAAGCUUAUCUAGUAAACACUGCAAGAUACUUAAUUCUACUUAAUGUGAUGGAAAUCUUUCUAUUAUAAAAUUGUGUUAAACAUUUAUGAGUUUUAAUGCUCUCUGACACCUGUCCUAAUAUCAUAAUAGGCUAGCCUACCACACGCCUUGGCCCCCUGGAAAGCAGCUGAACCUUAGGAGUUGAGAUUACAGAUCACUUGUUGUGUUGUUUGUGGGGUAAAUUUCUUGAUGACUUUGAUUUUUUUUGUGUCUGAUUACUCCUUUCGGACACAACUCAAAUGACUUUAUUUACGUUUCAAGUCAGUUUCUAAGAAUUUAAAAAGGAAAAAAGAAUUUAAAAAGAAUGAUGUAUUAUUGGUUUAGCAUCUGACAGGAAUGUUCUUGAAAUGAUCUAUAAAUUGGGUUUUUGUUCAUUGAAUCAACAUUUUAUGUGCUCUAAGGGAACUUACUGUUUCAGAAAAUCUUGUGAGAAAUUUGUGAUGCUCCAGAAUGAUCAGUUUUGCAAAUCCACAUCUGCAGACCCUUAAUUUCAUCAACAGGUGUGGAUGUUUCAUUUAGCUGGACUGGUUAGAGUGUGUUUCCAGAACAUUAGACCUUCAUGUUCCUACUUAUUGUGAGCUUAUUUUUAAGAAACCAUUUUGAGUAUGUUCUAGUAUUUUGUCUUUCAGUCAGUCUUAGAGUUCAGUACUGGGGGAGGGGGGAGAGUUCAAAAAAUACAUUUUAAGAGAGUUUUUGCUCACUUCAUGGUUAUUUGGUAUGACGACUCAGAAACAGAAUAACGUUUUGAAUCGACCACAGGGGAAAUCCUUUCCCUGGCCCCUCAAGUCUACUUUCAGUCCAGUCAGAAGAUUCUUAAAUUCAUGUGGGGGAUUCCCACGUGCUCUAUUAUAAGUCUCCCUGAAAGUUUUCAUAGAUGUGUAGAAUGUCGGCUCGUAUCACAUACGUUUUAUGUCUCAGUGUGCGAGGGCCGUUCAGUGUACCGUUCCUUUGUUUUAAUAUUACUCAUUCUUUUUUCUAAGUGUGGAUGUGCAAGAGUGAGAAAGGCUGAGUGGUAUAAAAUGAAAUAUAAAAAAAAUGAAUUCACUUGUUCUCAGGUAGGCUAAAGAUCUAUUAAAUGUAAGAUCUUUGGGUGAAUACUAGCUCUUCUGUAGUGAGUAAAGAGAACUCGAGAACUUUGGAGACGGGAGCCCCCUUGCCUGCCUUCCACGGCACUAACUGUGUCCUCCCUGGCUAGCCGUGGUUGUCCUGUCCUUUGUACUCAGAGUAAGGCAUAUUUUUACUGCUUAGAUCUGGCAGAUGGGCUUCCCGCAGUUACUAUUCAGGUCAGUGUCUAAGGUCUUGAAGCGAUCUUCAAAAAAAUGAUAAACACUGAGCCCUUUUUGGGAGAAUAUACUGGAUGAAGAGCCAUGACAUAUUGUGAGAAAGUCAGCCAGAAAAAGUGUGUGUGGACCACCUGUGCCGUGCCCUGUACUUGCCUGAGCUUGUGUGAGGGGACCCCAUGGCUUGUGUAGGGACAGCAUUAUGUUUACCCUUCUGUCCGUUCAGUCACCCUGCCCCCCCCAGGAUCAUGUGUGACAACCCCCAGCAGUAGACAGGAGCCUGCCAUCAACCCUACCAUCUACUAACAAACUAUAGAAACGAUCCCUGAAAGUGUAGUCUUCAACCCUACCAUCUACAAGCACACUUGGGAGGUUUUCCUCCAUGAGAGGAAGACUCGCAUCUGUGUGCAGAAAGCAGCCCCUGGGCCUGGUCUGCCCUGUCCUGCAGCACCUGCACAGGCCUCAGCGGGUUUGUUCUCAGGGAGGGUGCUCCAGAGGGAGGAAAGGUUGGGGGAAGUGGGUGGGCGACAGAGACUGCCUUUCCCCUACGGCAUUGAAAAGUCCUCCCAGCCCUGUUCCAAAGCCAGCAAACGGUAAAAUAGAAUUCCUCCUGAAUUGUCAUGGUUCAUUCUCCACCUUUACAUCCCCAAAACUUACCUAACAUGUUUUCAUGGAAAACUAAAUUUUUACGUUCUUGUGCCAAGAAGACUCAGAUCUGGGAGGAUGCUUUAACAUUGUUAUCCAUCUUUAAUUUCCCCCUUUUACAUUUUACUUCUCCUCUAAAACCCCCUGUAUUUUUCCUCUAGUUGUAAAAUUUCAGGAAAUCUCCCAUUUAAGUCAGCUGCUGUUGGCCUGUCUGUGCUCUUUUUAGUGGCUUUGGUGGCGUUCAGGUUUAAGUGGCCCUGUGUGACAGGUGUGCGAGAUUGUGCUGCCCGGGCUGCCUCGUGGAUUCCCGUUCCACCCCGGUGCAGAGGGAGGCCGUCUUCAGAACCAGCGUGCCUCUCAGGCAUGGUUUCUUAAGCUGCACAGUCAUUACCUCUUUCAGUGAAUUUUUUUCAGCUUCAUCUCUCUCCUUAACACUAAGAUGCAGAAACGUCAGUCUUACUUAACGUCAAGUUAUCCAUCUGAUUUUAACUUGAUCCAAACUCAGAGCAUCUAAAAGUGGGUUGCACCGGAGGAUGUAACACCUUUGCCCGGAAGGUUGACUCCUGCCCUGGGCUGUUAGCAUUCAUUCAUUCAACAGACGUUUAGGACGUGCUCAUUUGGAGCCAGGCUCUGCGAUGAGGCGGGUGUACAGAAACAAAAAGCUCCAGUGCUGUCUUCAGUAAGCUUCCAGUCUAGUGAGAGGAAUGGAGUGCAGUGUGAUAACAGCACUGGGGAGGGUGUGCAGUCCAGACACGCAGGACAUCCUUCUGCAGAACCUGACAUGAGACACCCAGGUUUGGGAGGAUGGAUACGAGUAAACUGGGAGAAGAUGAGGGUUAUGAUACACUGGGAGAAGACAGAGAGCCAGGGGAAAUGUCAGACUCUGGUGGUGCUCCUGGGGGGAGGUUGCUGUGUAUUUAAAGGCCUACAAAGGCUAGAGACUAAGGAACAUGCUGGAAACUGCAGGACAUUAAGACCUGCUUGAGGUCAGGGUUUGUUAAAACUCCUCAGAUAGUUUAGUUAAGAACACGUGCCAACAUUGUAUUAAUAACAGUUUUGCAGUGCAAGGAAGAGGCCCCUGGUAGGUGGACUCAAAGAUUCACUCUUAGUAGGGGUGGGGGUCUGUUAUAGGAGGAAUGAUUGAAUCAUCAUUGGGAAGAAUAUCUGGUGAAAAAUCUUUAGACUCUAACUAGUCUAGUUGAUAAUUGAUAGCCAUCUAGGUGAAUGGCAAUGAGUUCGCCAGAACAAGCCUUAAUCUUGAAGUUCAUUUUAAAAUUGCCUUAGAGGGGCGCCUGGGUGGCGCAGUCGGUUAAGCGUCCGACUUCAGCCAGGUCACGAUCUCGCGGUCCGUGAGUUUGAGCCCCGCGUCAGGCUCUGGGCUGAUGGCUCGGAGCCUGGAGCCUGUUUCCGAUUCUGUGUCUCCCUCUCUCUCUGCCCCUCCCCCGUUCAUGCUCUGUCUCUCUCUGUCCCAAAAAUAAAUAAAAAGCAUUGAAAAAAAAAAAAAAUUUAAAAAAAAAAAAAAUAAAAUUGCCUUAGAAAAAAGGAUUUAUCUGGAAAGCUGUUGAUUUCUUCCCACUAGGAUGUUAUGCGUUAUAUAGUAAGCAACUUGGUUCUGUUCCAGAUCGGGUUUGGGGCAGUUUUUCUUUAAUAGGUUCAAGGUCACAGUGGAGUGCAGUCCAGUUUUCAGGGUGCUGCUGGUGAAGAGCUUUUUUAACCUACCUUGAGGAGAGUUUGGAUUUUUAUCCUGAGGGCAAUAGGGAGCCAUUGCCUGUGAGAGGAGUUUAAACCCCAGCCAUCAGCGUGGGUGUGGAUUAGCUGCAGCGUGAGGCAGGAGCAGCAGGAGAGAAGCUAGCAGAAGGCUUUAAUGUUCCCUCGAAAAACUGACGAGCUUUGAGUUCAGGCGUGUCUCCCCCUUGGCCUUCCACACCUCUCCGCCUGGAGCAGCUCUGAGACCGCCUCGUGUGGUAGUUGGGGAGUAGAAGUUAGUAGUUGGUUUUCCUCCAGAAGAGUUGGUUUUAACUUAUUCAGUUUAAAAAAAAAAAAAAUUUUUUUUAACGUUUGUUCAUUUUUGAGAGACAGAGUGGAACGGAGGAGGGGCAGAGAGAGAGGGAGACACAGAAUCUGAAGCGGGCUCCAGGCUCCGAACUGUCAGCACAGAGUCUGACGCGGGGCUCGAACCUCAAGAUCAUGACCGGAGCUGAAGUCGGAUGCUUAACCGACUGAACCACCCAGGUGCCCCUAACUUACUCAAUUUUAAAUGGUGACUGCUCUCGUCACAGUGAAAGAAAAUGUGAUACUGUGAAGAAGAUGCUGAGAAGGUUCUGGAAGCAGCAGCCAGGUUGAGGUAAGAGUUCAGAGAAAGGGGUCCAAGACCCUUGUGGACCUUGUGGCUCCGCCUCCAGGCCUGGGCCCCGUCGCCUGCCCUUCCCCCUCCAAGGAUUUGGUCCCAUCUCUGUCCUGAGACAGUUUCAGAACCUCGCUAUCAUCUGGCCUUGGCCUUGAGGCUGUUAGCGUAUUCCUACUACAGUUUGCUGUGAUUACAAAGGAUUCUGCCCUUCCUCAGAAGUCUGUAGGCAGAACCUCCUUCAGUGCGUCUGCUGUGGUUAAAAUAGAACCUUCAGAGAUGCCCUUGCCCCAGGCCGCAGAUCCGUUGGCACGGGGUGACCUGUGCUGUGUUUUCUUGUCACUAUUUCCUGAAGUUGUGGUGUCAUUCUGGGCAGAGGUGUAGACGCUUUGCAAGCAACAUCAGGGAACCUGACCUGGGGGUAGUUCUUCAGUGUUUUUGGUGGUGGUGGUGGUGGUGGCAGGUCACAUCCCUCUGCCUGUCCUCUCCUUUGUUGUGUCCGUGGCCUUACUGUUCCAGCGUCUUUUCUGGUCUCUUUCAUGACCACGUUUAAUCGUUUUCAUGUCAACAUAUUGCUGUGAAAAUAAUACUGCAUAAUUACUUGAUGUAGAUUGAAUGGGCAUAUUUGAGAAUCUACAAUUCUCUCCUAAAGUUGAUGUGAACAGGAACCUAUUCUUAGCUUUUAUUCCCAUUAGAAAUCUGUAUUCAAAAUACAUAAUUAUUCUCCUUUUGUUUUUUAAAUGUUAUCCAGAUUGCAAAAAUACCUGCCUCUAAGAACUCAAGAGGACUUACUCUGUGGGAACAAGAGGUAGUGAGUCAUACCUGCAAGCCCGGAAAUGAGUUUAUUUGAGCCUCUUUGAGGAGGUUUCCUAGGCAAGCAUGGAUGCAGUAAUUAAAGGAUGAGGAACUAGGGGGUGCGUACUUGGAGGUUUAAUCCUCAGGUGAUGUGCUCCUCGUCAGAUUGAGACCUCAGUUUUUGUUUUGUUCAUUAAAAAUAAUAAAAAAGCUUACUGCUUAAUUACAGAAAAACACACUAUUAUUAGGGUGUGGGUGUGGGGGUGUGUGGGUGUGGUGCUUUAACCUUACCUUUUAAACACUUUCUCUGAUGAGAAUGUUCAUAUGUGUUAAUGCUGGCUUAUUUGGGAAAGUAGGAGAGAAGUUACUGCUUCAAGUGAUUUCAGUUAGCCGUGAAGUUAUUUGGAAAAGCAGAUGAUGUUUUCGUGUGCCUGUAUUUGAGUUGGUUACCAUCAGAACUUGCAGCAUGUGGAGAAGAGAAGCUUGCUAAUCAUUUGUUUCUUCUUUGUUCAUGCUUGUAUUUGUAUGUGUCUGAUGCUGGAGUUGCAUCAGUCCACCUUGGGUUGUGCUGGCACAUUCCGCCCUGGGACGUGAGGGCGAGAGUGGAAGGGCCAUCCGUGAAUUGGAUUGGGACUCUUCCAGCACGUAGACAUAGCCCUGGCUUGCUAGAGAUUUCCCUCUAACUCUUCACUCUCAUCCUUUUUGUGUGGCUUUCUUCUUAGAUGGCCAUGAGGAUAAGAUAAACAUUUCUCUUCCACUGUGAAACCCUAAUGCUCCCAGACUUUACUUAACAUGGACUUUCAUUGAAUUCCAUUUUAACAAAUACGGUGGCUUUUUGCAUGGACCAGUGAAAGAGGAAAAGUCCUGCUAUGUGACAGACUCAUUUUCAGUAGUGUUAGAAAUAAUCUGAAAAGCACCAGAAUAUUUAAAUAUUAGCAGUGCUCAGUUUAAGUAGGGUUAUGUUAUGAUCCUAGAUCAGGUAUUUUCUAGAAAUGUUGACAAGAUGAAAUGUAGAAGAUGGCCCUUUUCUGCUGGGCACUGAGAAGAGCCACUUCUCUGAGUACCCGUGGGCUUUAUGAACAUCUUGAGCUUUUUGUCACAAUAAUGUGUAUUUUCUUUUGGAUGCAGUGGAUACCCUUCUAUCAGCAAAAGCUCUGAGACACCGCUCUUGCACACAUGUGACAGAUGAAGUAGGUGAACUUUGUCGCUACGGCUUUUUCCUCUCCCGUAGUUCCUGGAUCUGUGGAAGAAGUUAGGAGUAGCAAAUCCUGGGGCGCCUGGGUGGCUCAGUCGGUUGAGCGUCUGACUUCGGCUCAGGUCAUGAUCUCACGGUUUGUGGGUUCGAGCCCCACAUCAGGCUCUGUGCUGACAGCUCGGAGCCUGGAGCCUGCUUCAGAUUCUAUCUUCCUCUCUCUCUGCCCCUCCUCCACUUGAGCUCUGUCUCUCUCUCAAAAAUAAACAAAAACAAAAACAAAACAAAAACCAGGGUGCCUGGCUGGCCUGGAGCCUGCUUCGGAUUCUGUGUAUCCUUCUCUCUCUGCCCUUCCCCUGCUUGCACUCUGUGUCUCUCUCAAAAAUAAAUAAAACAUUUAAAAACAUUAAAAAACAAACAAACAUGGAAUAGCAAAUCCUGGUCUGGAGUCAAGGCUUUGGCCCCCCACCCCCACAACAUAAGGGAAAAAUUUCUAAUUCUUAGAGUCAAAAUGUAUGUAAGUGUACUUAAUUCUUAAGAAAUCCACCAACUUCUGGGGCACCAGGGUGGCUCAGUCAGUAGAGUGUCUGACUUCAUCUCAGGUCAUAAUCUCACAUUUGUGAGUUUGAGCCCCGCAUGGGGCUCUCUGCUGUCAGUGCGGAGCCUGCUUCGGACCCUCUGUCCCCCUCUCUCUCUGCCCCUCCCUGGCUCAUGCUCUCUCUCUCUCUCUCAAAAAUAAACACUGAAUAAAAGAAGUCCACUGACUUUUUAGUGGUAUUGAUAAUAGAGUUCUACCCUUAAUUUUAACUUGUUUCCUUUACCUAUUUGAAAUGUCAGGCUGUAGUUUAUGACCUGCCUUAACUUAUUUUUAAACAAGGCAGGUUAUAAAGAAGGUAAUCCUUCAAUUUGUUAUUUUUAAUAUCUACAUUUUCACAUUUUUUGUGAGAUAGAAAUUGACCUAUUGAUCGAUUCAUGCAUUCAUCUGCUGAAUGUCUCUGAUUUGCCAGUCACCGUACUAGGCAUUGGGGAUAGAGAUUAAGACUUGGUCUCUAUUUUAAAGGUGCUGGGGGCACCUGGGUUGCUCAGUGGAUUGAGCAUCAGACUCUUGGUUUUGGCUCAGGUGAUGAUCUUACGUUCAUGGGUUCCAGCCCCACAUCAAGCCCGUGUUGAGCCCGGCUUGACAGCAUGGGACCUGCUUGGGAUUCUCUCUCCCUCUCUGCCUCUGCCCAUCCCACGUUCUCUCUCGCCAUCUCUCUGUCUGUCUCUGUCUCUCUCUCAAAAUAAAUAAACUUAACGGUGCUAAUAAGUCCACAAAUAGAGACAUACAAAUAAAUAUUCUUAUGAGAAUAGAAAACACUUCUGUAGUAUUUACUAUAUGUAGGUACUGUUGUAAGUGCUUUCUAGGCAUUAGCUUUAACUCAUGAAUUGAUACAAAAUCCUUUUGAAGUUCUUAACUAUUAUUUUCUCUGUUUUACACAUGAAAAAGUUCAGAGGUUAGGUACUUGUCCCAAGGUCAUAAAGCUUGUUUUGUUUGACAGUCAGAUGUAUUGAGUGCGAUAACAGACCUGCUCAUGGAGUGCCCUGGAAGGACAGGGUAGUGUCUAGUUGGGAAAAUGGGGACUAGAAGUGUGAGUAUCCAUGAAAUUUUCCCAAAGGAAGCAGUACCUGAACAAAUGUAUUCAGAGGAGUGGAAGAGCCACGAAAUACUUCUUUAGGAACAUAAAAUACUACCUCAUAAAUGAGUUCGUAGGUUGAAUCCGUGACAGAAUAUUGGAAGACUGGGAGGGGCGCCUGGGUGGCUCAGUCUGUUAAGUGUCCGACUUCGGCUCGGGUCAUGAUCUCACGGCUCAUGGGUUUGAGCCCCCUAUUGGGCUCUGUGGUGACAGCUCAGAGCCUGGAGCCUGCUUCAUAUUCUGUGUCUCCUCCUCUUCUCCGCCUCUCUCCCCUAUUCACCCUUUGUCUCUCUCUGUCUCUCAAAAAUAAACAUUAAAAAAAAGAAAGAAUAUCGGAAGACAGGGGGAUAGUAAAAAUAUACCAGAUCCCUGCAGUCUUCAAUGUAAAUGACAAGGAAAUAGAUUUCAAUGUUGAGGCAAACCUUUGUUUCCAGUUAGUGUAAGGUAUGGUAAAAACUUGGCAUUUAAAAAAAAAACCUAAUGAAAGUAUUAAUUUCCUUAUACUCUGUCAGCAUGUGGGUAAAUGUGUGACCCCUUCGAACGUUCUAAGAUGAAUUUCCCAACACUGGAUAUUUUAUCUUAGGAAACCUCUGGUAACCUGUAGAAAUAGUCUACUGGUAUAUAUUUUGAAUAAAUGCAGAGAAAGAUUGAUUUCUUUCAGAAUAAAAGUUGGCAGGAACUGCCAAGUUAGGUAGGUUAAUUUUAUCAUUGCACAGUUACAAAGCUGUUCAGAAGGUGGGGUUGGCGGGCCCCAUGCUUGGCUCGGCAGCACUGGGUUGUCGCUUUUUUACCUUUCUGUAACCACUCCUGGCUUUUUUGAGCAUCAAGCCAUGUGGAUAAUCGUCCUUUGUCCCCUUGUAACCACUGCAGUAUGCUGACUUUGUCAUGACUCCCACUCCUCGCUCGAGACUGCCUCACUGUUUUCCACCUUGCCUCGGCUUCAUUGGAUGACCCACCUAUUUUCCUUGGCUGCAUGGGUCUUGUUUUGGAGCUUCUCAUCGCCAGCGAUCUCCCCAACUUCUCCCCAGCUUCCUCCAUCUCCCCACUCUCUAGGCCUUGUCUACUCGGGGCUCAGACCGUUAGUCAGAGAUGUCCUUUUGGACCACACCCUCCUGUCCGUCCACCUUGGACCCUACCUCUCGUUUGAUCCUACUGAGACCUCUAGUUUGCAGACACUUUUGCUCUGUACCUUUCCAUCUUUAUUUUCUUCCUGAUUCAACUUAGAAACCAUAGUCCAUGUAUUAAAUCACGGUCUUGCCCAAACCCUAUACUCCUGACCAUUUUGUCCUUUGGCUUGCACAUGGGCUCCUGAGUAGUGCCAGAGAAAGCCAUAUAGCUGGGCAGAUUGGCACCUGGUCGCAUAAAUUCAGGUGGUGGCUCAGCACCGUGUGGCCGUUGCUUCUUGUUCUUCGGGGCAGCUGUCUGCCACUCUGAUUCUUCAUGGUGACUAUUCCUAAGCUCUCUUCCAACUUCUGACUGCUCCUCCUCCCCACUUACUCUGCUCAGAUGAUGCACUCCUGCAGUAGGACUGUCAGUCCUACCUGCCCCUGAGCCUCCUCCUUUCCCCUUGGUGUCCGUGAGCUGACAGCCUCUUGCUUUUUCUUCUGCUUUUCAUACUGUCUGAGUCAUCUUUGUGGUUUCAUCUCUUGUCAAACUGGCUUCUGUCAAAAGGCAACUACAAGAUGUCUGUUUCCUUUUUCAAGUACAGUAAAACAUUUUCACACUGCUGUCCUUUGCCUUCUGCUGGAGAAAGCUGGGAUUUACUGUAGGGGGGCAGGCCCCUAGUGCACUCAUGCUGUGUACCUGUGUGUGUGCGUGCUUGUGUGGCCAUGGGGCUCGGCUCUGUGAUCUGGCUACCGUGUGCUGAGCCGUGUUCAGUAGCCAUCUCCCUUGGCUGCUGAAUGAUUCUGCCCUCUGCAGAAAUAGUCCCCCAGGGUUUAUCCUGCAUGCACGUGGGGGAGAGUGUGAUUGACAUCUUUCAGGUUAGAAAUAGGCAGGAGUUUCCCAGAUAGAUGGGUUUUGCUACUAUUACAGUGUGCUACAUGUGUCAUCUUCGGUGGCUCCCCGGUGCCUUUGCAGAUUAUCGAGGUGCAGUGAGGCGAGCGUUUUGGCUCCUGCUUCUGCCGAGUGGACUCCAGACCUUUUUUUUUUUUUAAUGUUUAUGUAUUUUUUGAGAGAGACAGAGGUAGAGUGCAAGCGGGGUAGGGGCAGAGAGAGAGGGAGACACAGAAUCCGAAGCAGGCUCCAGUCUCUGAGCUAUCAGCACAGAGCCCGACACAGGGCUCGAACCCACAAACCGUGAGAUCACGUCCUGAGCCGAAGUCUAGUGCUUAACCAGCUGAGCCACCCAGGCACCCCCCCAGACCUUCUUCUUUACACUUCUUUGUACUCAUUCUCUGACCUGCUCUGGAGGGCUGCUGCCCACUCCCCUGUUGCUCCUUCUAAUUGCUGCCUCUGCAUGGUGCCUUACUCCCUCAUUCCACGCCCCCUUCCCUUGUUUUGUAUCAUUUCUUCGUAAAGAUAGGAACAUUUAGUAGACACUGAUCAUCGGUUAAUUCACUAUUUAGUUCCAGAGCUGGUCCCUUGGGGAGGCUGUAAGCACUAGGACAAUGACAGAGCUGCCUUUCUGGUGAUCAUAGGAGAGAAACAUUGAGAUGUGUCAUUCCAGUGUAUUGUGACGAAGACUGUUAAAGUGUAGGCUGAGCAUUUCAUUUACAUCGCUUCAUAUAAUCUUUAAAAAAAUCCUGUGAAGUUGCUCUUUUUUUUUUUUUUUUUUGCCUUUAUUUUAUGGAGCUGAAAACUGAGGUUCUGAGAGGUGACAUCAUUUGGUCAAGGUCACUUAAACAGCAAGUUACCCAGUGGGAAAGACAGCCCAACAUUUGAGCUGCAAAAGCUCAUGCUCUUCACUGUGAAUACAGUUUUCCUCCUCUGCCACAUUGCCUCUGUUGGAGGGCUGACCCUGAACAGUAGAAUUCAAGGUCUAAUAAUAGACUCUCAACACAUUGAAUAUUAGGCAUGGGGAGAACUCUAACUAGCUAGAAACCAUUAGUUGUAGUGUUUUUAUUCUUCUGUUGUUUCAGUGGCAUUGCCUGAAAUUAUAUUACCUUAUUUAGUUUAUUAUAUUACCUUAUUUAGUGCAUUUGUUAUCACUAGGAUUCUGAUGCAUAACAUAUUCUUUUUUUAAAAUUUUUUUUUUUCAACGUUUAUUUAUUUUUGGGACAGAGAGAGACAGAACAUGAACGGGGGAGGGGCAGAGAGAGAGGGAGACACAGAAUCGGAAACAGGCUCCAGGCUCUGAGCCAUCAUCAGCCCAGAGCCCGACGCGGGGCUCGAACUCACGGACCGCGAGAUCGUGACCUGGCUGAAGUCGGACGCUUAACCGACUGCGCCACCCAGCCGCCCCGAUGCAUAACAUAUUCUUACAAGAAUAUCUUACAUGCCUCCCUGUUGACUUCCUUUUUUUUUUAAUUUUUUUUAACGUUUAUUUUUGAGAGAGAGAGAGAGAGAGAGAGAGAGACAAAGCACGAGUGGGGCAAGGGUGGGGGAGGGGGAGAGAGAGAGAGAGAGACAGAGAAUCUGAAGCAGGCUACAGGCUCUUAGCUGUCAGCACAGAGCCUGAUGCGGGACUCGAACUCACGAACAGCAAGAUCAUGAUCUGAGCCGAAGUUGGAUGCUUAACCCACUGAGCCCCCCAGGCGCCCCUCUGAUACCUUCUUAAGAGCCAGAUUCAAACUUCUACUUCACUAUAGGUUUGAAAUUUUAAGUACUUUACAGCCAAAAGAGAAAAAAAAUAGGGUUAUGUGUCACAGAGGGUAUAAAGGAACUACUUUCUGGAUCACUGAAGAUAACAGUGUUACUGCUAAUGGUACAGUUUCAUCUCUUGCAGUUAGCCCGAGACCAGCACCUGUGUUCACCCUUCCUGGGAGCCUAAACUGCUCACAUCCUGGGCUGGGCCUGGGGUGCUGACAUGAACCAGGCCUCGGUUCUUUCUAAGGGACUAGCUUCAGUUUCCUAUGUUCUGAUCAAUAUAGUUCCCACCCUCUCUCCCAUUUUGACUUCUUUUGCUUUUAUUGCUUCACUCCAGACAGCCGGUUCACAGAUUAUUCUAAGAAAUGGUUCUGUGAGAACUACUUAGUGAAUUUAUUCAGUGGUUUAUUCAGCAUCGCUGCCCACUAGGCACUGCUCUGAGUGCUGGACAUGGGAUAGAACAGGGCACCAAACAGCACCUCUGCCCACUUUUUUUUUUUUCACUUUUAAACUGGAGUUGGUGAGUGAAUUAUGCACCACUGUUAGCAUCUUGCCAGCAGAAUCUGUGACUAUAUAUUUGCCAUUACCAGUGAGGAUUACACUACCUUUUUGUGUUGUUUUUUUUUGUUGGUAUUAAUUAGCAUUCUUUUCCUUUCACUCAAAGCAUUGCCUUUAGCAUUUCUUGGAAGGCAGGUCUGGUGGUAAUGAACUCCUUCAGCUUUUGUUCGUUCUGGAAAGUGUUCCUCCAUUUCUGAAGGACAGCUUUGCCAGGUACAGAAUUCUUGGUUGAUAGUUAUUUUCUUUCAGUAUUUUUAAUAUACUAUACUCUUCUGGCCUGAAAAGUUUCUGUUCAGAGAUUCACUGAUAGUCUUAUGGGAGUUCCUUUUUUAUUUUUUAAAGUAGACUUCAUGUCCCAUGCAGAACCCAACUCAGGGCUUGAACUCACAACCCUGAGAUGAAGACCUGAGCUGAGACCAAGAGUUGGACACUUAACCAACUGAGCCACCCAGGAGCCCCUUUGGGGGUUCCCUUGUAUGUACCUUCUCUCUUUCCUCUUGCUGCUCUUAAAAUCCUUUCCUUGUCUUCCCAUAGGCUUUCUUCAGUCUUCUUUAUGUUUUUUCUUUUUGUUCCUCUGACUGCAUAAUUUCCAGUGCCCUAUCCUCCAGGUUACGGAUUCUUCUUUCUGUGUGGUUGAGUCUACUUUCAAAACUGAAUUCUUUUGUUCAGUUAUGUGUUUUUCUUUUUUUUUUAAUGUUCAUUUAUUAUUUAUUUUGAGAGAAAGAAAGAGUGAGCAAGGGAGGGGCAGAGAGAGAGGGAGACAGAGAACCCCAAGCAGGCUCCACACUGUCAGUGAGGAGCCUGACGUGGGGCUCGAACUCAUGAACUGUGAGAUCAUGACCUGAGCGGAAACCAAGAGUUGGAAGCCCAACUGACUGAGCCACCCAGGCACCCCCAGUUAGGUAUUUUUUAACUCUAGGUUUUGGGUUUUUUAUUUUAUUUUUUUGGUGGUUGCUAUUUUCUUCUUUUUUGUUAUUAUUAUUAUUUUUAAUGUUCAUGUAUUUUUUGAGAGAGAGAUAGAGUGGCAAGUGGGGUAGGGGCAGAGAGAGAGGGAGACACAGAAUCUGAAGCAGGCUCCAGGCUCCGAGCUGUCAGCACAGAGCCCGACACGGGGCUCGAACCCACGAACCGUGAGAUCAUGACCUGUGCCGAAGCCGGAUGCUCAACUGACUGAGCCACCCAGGCGCUCCCCCGAUAGUUGCUAUUUUAUCAAAAUUCUCAUUUUGUUCAUGUGGUGUUUUCCUAAUUUUGUGUAGCUGUCUGUAUUUUCUUGAAGUUCACUAAACUUCAAGACAGUUACUCUGAAUUCUUUGGCUAACAGUUCAUAGAUCUCUGUUUCUUUAGGGUAAGUAAUGGGAGCUUAUUAUUUAUCUUUCAUGGUGUCAUAUUUACCUGAUUUUUCAUGAUCAUCGAUUCCUUGUGUUGAUAUCAGCAUAUUUAAAUAAUGGGGCUCCUCUUCCAGACUUUUCAGAUUUGCUUUGGCAGAGAGAAUUCUUCACCAGUCACCUCAAUUUGAGUUACUGGGUGUGUCUGCUGGUAAUACCUCGGGGCAGGUGGGACCUGCUCUUAUGGUAUGUUUUGGGGGGAGGCAGCUGUUUGAGCUCUGAGAAUGUGGGUCGGGGGUGUCUGUCACUGGCUGAGAACAGUUGGGUGGGACUGCUGGCUUAGUUCCCGUGCAAGAGAAGCCGUAGGACGGUUUCUUUUACUGCCUGGAUUCUCUGGUCACAAAUGGUCAGAAUUGGGUACUGUAUUGAGUCUUAGAUGGGUCUGUGAACUAGCUUCCCUGCCCUGGCAGGGCAGCAGGAAGGGCCCCAGGGCCCGUAUACCUCAUUGCCUGGAGACCUAAAUCAGCCCAGAGUGUGCCUGAAUUCGCUGCCUAGGUGAGGCCACCUGUCUUGCUCUACCAACAGGAGAAGCCAUGGGCUUUGCUCUCUGUUCAGGUGGUGUUGUAUGUAGAGCUGUUGAAUGGGCUUUGAAGCUUCCCAGGUGCUCCCGUUAGGUUCCCUGGUGGGACGGCCUGAGGGCUGUAUUCAGCCAUGAGCAGGGCUGUGAAUUCCCUGCCUGGGCACAGUGGGAGAAGUAAAUGUAAAACCAGUCAGGCUCUGUUUGUUGUCUUCACUGGAGCUGAUCUGUACCCCAAGUUCCCUGGCCGAAUAGGGUCUCUGACUUUGCUCUGCAAACUGUUGACUCCGAGUGCUCUUCUCUUGGCCUGAGCUGUGCUGGGCUGUACAGCUUCCAGGAGUUAUCACCAGCCCUUCUGGUCAGAUGGGGCCAGAAGACCGUCUUCACAGUGUGGGAAGCUAUGCCCCAGCCCCCUUGCCUGGGCAGGAGCGGGAAGGUCCACUCUAGACUAAUUCAGUUUCCCCAGACAGGCGCUCUGGUUGGGAGGGGCCACAAGCUACAUUCAGCCUUGGCUCUGAAUUAAUCCCCCUGCCCUCAUACCUGGUACUGGCUUUGCUCUGGGGGUGAGCCUCUCAGAACCUCUGCCUCUCAGCCAGAGUGUUGCUGGGCUACACAGCUUCCAGGAGUUGUCCCCAGCACUCUGGUCACAACUCUGGUCCAGGGGCUGGAAGACCCUUUCCACAGGUCCCUGGGUGUGAGCAAACUGGGCUCUUGGGGUGGAAAGAUUCCUCAUCUGGGGAUCCGAGUCAGGCAGAUCUGCACCCUGCCAAGUUCCCCAGUCAGGGUGCGCCCCCAACUUGGUUUUGCGGAUGAGCAAAGCCACUGGUUGGGAUUACUCUUAGGACCCUGCAGGUAUGAACUUCCAUCUGUCAAGAUCCUUGUGCUGGUUGUUGGAAGCCCCUCCCCUAGCCUCCAUCACAGUCGGAGUCCCGGUGUUUGAGCCCCUCAGAUUCCCCUGCGAUCCCCGUGGUGGGAGAUCACGGUAGGGGGCUCCUAAAAGUGACCCACAGGGCCGGGCGUGCUGUUUGUCCCUCCUGGGUUCUCUUUUCCCACUGGAGGAACUGGUGGCCCAUAGGAGACCUCUCUGUGGGCUGCACUGGCCCGGGGGCGGGGCAGCGUGGUCAACAUGUGGCUGCUUCUCUUCUCCUUCUGAUGCAGUCUGGCUUGGUCUCCGAGGUGCAGGGGGCACUUCAGCCUCACCCCUGUGUUCCGGGAUUCUCUCAGUGGUGUCUUGUUCUUGAACAGAUGUUAGUUGUUGUCAUGGGGUGUGAAGUCAGGAACAACCUAUGUCUCCAUCUUGCUGGCAUCACUCAGCUCUCUGCCCGCUUUGAACUUUUGUUCUGGUGUGGGAGGCACCCGGUAAGGCAGUAAACAUGGGAUGUGUUGUCAGAUGAUGAUAAAUGCCGUGAGGAAGGUAAAGCUGAAUAAAGGGGUAGGGAGCGAUGGGGUGAGGGUAUGUUGCUGUUUAGCUAAGUCAUCAGGUCUUACGGGGGAGGUCAUAUUUAACCAGAGACCUGAGUGUCUUGCUCAGUUUGGGCUGCUGUGACAAUAGCAUCAACUGGGUGGCCUAACAAUAGAGUUUUAUGUCUCACAGUUUUGGAUACUGGAAAUCUGAGACCAGGGAGCCAGCAGGGUAGGCUUCUUGGUGAGAACGCCCUUCCCCGUUUCAGACAACUGCCUUCUUUUUUUUUUUUUUUUUUCAACGUUUUUAUUUAUUUUUUGGGACAGAGAGAGACAGAGCAUGAACGGGGGUGGGGCAGAGAGAGAGGGAGACACAGAAUCGGAAACAGGCUCCAGGCUCCGAGCCAUCAGCCCAGAGCCUGACGCGGGGCUCGAACUCACAGACCGCGAGAUCAUGACCUGGCUGAAGUCGGACGCUUAACCGACUGUGCCACCCAGGCGCCCCAACUGCCUUCUUGCUACGUCCUCACAUGGCAGGGGGUGGGGUGGGGGGGAGCGGGGAGAGAUCAUUUCUCGUGUGUCUUCUCUUGCAAGGGCACUAAUUCUCUACCCUCGUGACCAAAUCACUCCCAAAAGGGCCCAUUUACAAAUACUGUCACAUUGGGAAUUAGGGUUUCAACACAGAAGUCCUGGGGGAACACGAACGUUCAGUCUGUAGCACUGAAUGAAGUAAGGAAGGGCCUUCCAGGCACCGGGAACUGCACUUUCGGAGACCUAACGUGAGCCAUGUCAGAGGAACAGCUCUGUUGGCUGCAGGGUUGAUGCUGGAGCAGAGCAGGCAGCGAAGGAAAGAGCGUUCAGAAAUGAAGUGGGAGAGGUACCACCGAAGGCCUACGUGGUUGGCCACUUUGGAUUUGAUUCCCAGUGGCACGGGGGAGCCUGUCUCCAGAGGGAAAGAUGUGCUAGGACUUUUCAUUCCUAAAAGGUCACUUUGGAUGCCGUGGGGCUGGGGUUGGGGGCUAGGAGUGGAUGUGUGCCAUGGUCUAGGUGAGAGGUGAUGGCUGAGAAGACUGGGUUGGUAGCGGUGGGGGUUGUAAGAGGUGGUUGGAUUGGGGACACUGAAGGUAGAGCUGGUACCUUUUGCUGAGAGAUCAGUUGUGGGGUGUGACCUAACCCCAAUGUUACAGGGUUACGAGGUGGGCCUUUGGGUGAUUCGGCUUCUAUCUGAGGGUCAUAAGGGUGGGGUCCUCGUGAUGGGAUUGGUGUCCAUGUAAGAAGAGGAGUGACCAGAGCUCUCUCCCCUCGUGCCCCGUGAGGACACAGUGAGAAGGCGGCCACCCGCACAAGAAGAGAGCGCUCACCAGAGCCCAACACUGCUGGCACCCUGAUCUUGGACUCCAUGCCUCCAGAACUGUGAGAAAUAAGUUCAUGUUGUUUAAGCUAGCCAGGCUGCGGUCUUCCGUUACAGCAGCCCAAGAUGAAACACCUUCCCUUCCGAUUUAUUUCUUUCGUGAGCUAUGCAUGCCAGGUGUACAAAACUAAAUAAUUAAAUUCAAACACUACAGCGGUGUGUAAGGUUUAAGUAAAAGUUUACUUUCCUCCCUCCAGAAGUAACCCCUUUGAGGUAUCCAUUUGAAAGCUUGGGUUUUAUUCUACUAGACCCGUGCUUUCUUUUUAAAAAAAAUUUUUUUUUACGUUUAUUUUUUCAUUUUGAGAGAGAGACAACAGCAGAGGGGCAGAGAGGGAGAGGAAGAGAGAGAAGCCCAAGCAGGCUCCGCGCUGUCGGCACAGAGCCUGACAUGGGGCUCAGACUCACAAACUGUGAGGUCAUGACGUGAGCCGAAACCAAGAGUUGGACGCUUAACCAGCUGAGCCACCCAGGCGCCCCUAGACCUGUGCCGUCUAAUGAGGCAGCCAUUUGCCACUUGUGGCUAUUCAAAUUUACUUAAUUACAAUUAAGUACAACUAAACAUUCAAUUCCUCAGUCACACAUACUGGCUAUGUUUCGGGUGUUCAGGAGCCAUGACUAGCUGCAACCGUGUUGGACAGAAUAAACAGCAUUUCCAUCAUCACAGAAUGUGCUAUCGAAUGGCACUGUUUUCGAUGAAUUCUAUUCAUAUACAAAUGUGUGUGUGUGUUAUAUAUACGUGCAUGCACACACACAUACACAUAUCUGUGCAGUUGGCAUAAUAUUGUACAUACUCUUCUGCAAUUUGUUUUUUCCACCUAACAGAGAAACUGUUAAUUUGGUGUGAUCCACACACAGCAUCAUGCCAGGAAAAUUUUAAAACAGGGUGCAUAAUCAAACAUAGAGUUUUAGUGCAUUAAAAAUCUUUUAAUUUCAGAUUUUAGAGGUAAUCGCAACACAUCCUAAUGCUUGUUCCAAUUUUAACUAAACAAAUUAAUUUUGGAAAUCGUCCACUCAGCCUUGGGUAUGUAAAGAAAGAAGGUUCAGGAGCUGUAGUUUGAGCUUAAUCUACCGUGUAGAUUGACAUACACACCUGCGUGCACAUGCACACAGACACACACACACUUCCUGUUAUUUCUGUUUUGUAACAGGGAUUGUAACCUUCUCCUGUUUAGUAUGCUCACUAUUCAGUAGACCAGCACUGUCCAAAAUGGUAGCCACUAGGCACAUGUGGUUAUUUAAAUUGAAAUUAAACAUUUAGUUCCUCAGUUGUACUAGCCACAUUUCACAUGUCCAUUAACCACGUGUGGCUGGUGGAUAGCAUGGAUCUGGAAUGUUGUCAUUUCACGGAAGGUUCUGUUGGGCAGCUCUGUACUAGAAACUUUCUUCAAGGGGUGCCUGGGUGGCUCAGUCAGUUAAGCGUCCGACUUCACCUCAGGUCAUGAUCUCGCGGUCCGUGAGUUCGAGCCCCGCGUCGGGCUCUGUGCUGACAGCUCAGAGCCUGGAGCCUGUUUCAGAUUCUGUGUCUCCCUCUCUCUGACCCUCCCCUGUUCAUGCUCUGUCUCUCACUGUCUCAAAAAUAAAUAAAAAGGUUAAAAAAAAUUAAAAAAAAAAAAAGAAACUUUCUUCAAGUCCAUUUCUCAUUUAAAUGCAGUGAUUUUUCCACAGGUAGAGGGUGGGGGACUCUGUCCAGGAGGAUGUCUGAGAAUCUGUGGGAGUGACUGGAGAGCUCGCACUUCCAUGCCCUUCCCGGUCAAGAUUCUCAUCCUCCCCUUUGAAGACGCAUGUCCUCCUACUAUCUUUGAGAAUUAGUGUUCCAUAGUAAGUUAAUUGUGGGAAAGAAUAUUGGUACUGAUAGCAUUGCAAGGUUAGAAUAUUAUUUUGAUAAUUGGCAACGCGUAUACGCUAUUAAACUGCAUCUAUACAUACAGUAGGUGUCACUGCUCAACUUGCAAUAGAAAGUGUUUAGUAACAAACUGUUUAGUUACUGUGGGUGCUGACAACGUAUUAUGUUUAAACUUUUUAAAUUGAGAAAAGAAUAGACUAUUGGAAAUGCACCUUUUUGUGGAAAAUAGAUGUAUUUAUGUUGACAUUUAUGUUAGGAAAUAUGUAAUCUGGACAGAUUCAUAGGGAACAGGAAGAAUAGUUCCCUGUGGGAAUGGAGAUGGUGUAAGAGGGAGACAGGUAUGAUAGAAUGACUUUUUUGCUCUCUGCCCUUUGUUUAUGUACCUUGUGACUAUGUGCUUAUGUUAAUACAAAAAUUAAUAAAUAAAAUGAAGAAAAAAACCAAAAUACAUCCUUAAAAUGUGCAGGAUACAGAAUAGAUGGUUUAGGAGGUAAGGGUCACUUAGGACAGAAGGAAUUACAUAGAUUUAUAGGAGCAGAGGGCUGGUCUGAAGUUUCACGUGACCAUCAGAUGAAACCUCGUGAGGCCUCCUGGCAUGCCAGGACCUGGGCUAGGCAGACCAUUUCUCACAGGCUGGUUAUUUUGCAGUAAUUAAAGCUGUUUGCAACUGUUUUAUUACAUGUAACUUAAUACAUUUUAGGAGAAAAAAAUACUCAUAGUACUGAACUAUUUUUUUUCCACGCGACCUUUCUUAACUCUCAUGGAACACGGCUUAGGAAAUGCUGAUUUAAACUCGUGGAAAUAAUUAUCCCAGAAAGAUGAGGUUGAAAAGAAGUUGUUCCAGGUCUGGGGCACCCUGCUUCAUUUACAGUCUUUCAGGAAGAUGAAUACUGGUGUUAAUUGAGUUUAAUUUGAAUAGGGACAUACCACAGAUUAUUCGGCACACGGCGCCCACGUAAAAGUCACACACACACUGAACAUGGACUUGGUCAUUGACACUGCCCGGUGUCCUCCCCCAUCCUUUGCUUACAGCCACUGUCAGGGACCAAGAGGUGGGACAGUCCAACAAUGUGGGGCGUGGGCACAAGGGACAAACCUCCUUUCCUCCACCAUCACGUCUCCAUAUUUCAGCUUCCAGGCGACUGUGACAUCAAAAAUGGAGUGCCCAGAUAGUCAAAACCAAGUGUUAGGUUUUGAAAACAGAAUCCUGUAGUUCAGCAGAAUUGAUCUUCUUCUAUGAAAGCAAGUGGCUGGGAUUUGUGCUUUUUCAGGAAAGCAAACUAAGGGAAAACUAGUUAAGGAAAAAUCAUGCCCUAAACUACAAGCGUUACAAAGGAAAUCUUGUUGGGGGCACCUGGGUGGCUCAGUCGGUUGAGCGUCUGACUUCCGCUCGGGUCAUGGUCUCACAGUCUGUGAGUUCGAGCCCCGCGUCUGGCUCUGUACUGACAGCUCGGAUCCUGGAGCUUGCUUCAGAUUCUGUGUCUCCUUCUCUCUCUCCCCUCCCCCGCUCAUGCUCUGUCUCUCUGUCAAAAAUAAAUAAACAUUAAAAAAAAUUAAAAACAAAAAAAAAAACCCAAAAAACCAAAGGAAAUCUUGUUUGUGGUGGGAGUUCGAGGCAAUGACUUCCCAAAGGCAAGGAUAAUUUUCAAAAUACUGAAUGACCGGCACAGCACAGGAGUUCACACAUUCAGAAUAGAUGCCAGCCUUGCACAACUGGUGUGGCCGUACCAGCGUGUACAGGCUGAGUGUCAUUCCUGCCGGACAACAAAGCCAUUCAAGACGAGAAAUGAGCCAUUACUGGGUUUUGCGGCCAAGCCUGCGGGUUGUCCCCUCAGUGUCCAUAACACCCAUCUUUAUAGAGUCACUAGUUGAUAUUGGGGUGCUUGGCUGCUUUAUGGCCAUAUGACUAAAUUCUGGUCAGUGGGAGGCAUAUUAUCAUGUGGUCUUUUCUAGAACCUUCCUUAAGGGACAGUAUGUGUUCCCCCCUCUGCCCUCUCUUUAUUUAUGCCUUUCCCAUUCCGCUUCCUAGAAUGUGGAUGCCGCCAUCUUGAGCCACGGAGUUGACGUCACUGUGGUGGAGCAGUAAAAUAAGUAGAGGGCCACACUCGCCUGAGAAAGAAAGAAACUUCUCCUGUUUAGGUCACAACGACUUUGGGCUUGAAGACACCCUCAGCCAAACCUAAUUCUAACUAUUGUGGGUCCCUAAUCUCCUAGGCAAAUUCAAUUUUAUUUAAACUCUUAACACUCCUGUGAACUUGGUAUUCUUGUUCCUUGGUAAGGGAUUAGGAGACGGAGGUUGAAUAAAAAUGAAGCAACUUGCCCACGUAUCAGAGCCAGCAUUUGAAUCCAUGUCUGAUCUUUCUGACUUCAGAUCGCCAGGAGCUUAAUCCUUGCUUUAGUAAUUAAUGUGGAACAUAAAGGGCAUGUGGCACAUGGUUUUGUAACAUUCGUGCUUUGGCAGAGCCCCAAUUUUGUGGAUUUUUUUCAAAAAGACGUUGGGUUUUUCAGAGAAAUUCAUUUGUGGCUUUUUGAAAGUGACAAACAUGUUAACUGUUUCUCAGUCAAUAAUACUUAUCAGAAAAGCGUUUUUCUUAAUUUCAAAGAAAGCCGUGUUGUUCCUCUCAUUUCCAGUGUUUGCUUCAUUGUCAUUUGCUAAUUAGGACAUUUCUAUGAAAAGAGGAUAUUUCGAAGAGAAACUGUGUGAUUCAGUUUCUUCAGUUCUAUCUACACCGAAGGAAAUUUCAAGAAAAUUUGGGAUUUUUUUUUCUAGAAUUCUCCUCACUGUGCAGCAACUGCAGAACAUUCCCCACCCCCAUUUCUGUUACGUGAUAAUGUAGAAAUUAGGAUGUUAGUGGGAUGAAGGUUAUGAAUUACUCGGAUUGUCACACGGGGGCAGCCUCCACAGCCAGCCUUUCCGCACAAUUUAGACAGGAGAACAGAGACGCGAGGUGGCUGUGUGCCAUGCGCGGGGCGAGGGUGGAGUGGGCAGGCUGGCAGCCGACGCCCGGAGCGCAGGGGCGAACCAGCAGGUCUGGGGAGGCUGGUAAAGCAGGUGCGGUGCAAACAAUGAGUUGGCAGCAGAGCCUGCAGUAGGUGGGGGACCUUGACCUGCUGCCGGGGCUCCCGGUGGUGCCCUGGGCGAGGCUUCAAGUCCAUUCAUUUUUACGGUCUCACAGUGGACACUUAAUUGGUCAGAACAGCAGUGUCUUGAGUGCAUUCCUGGGAACCCUGUACCUGCAGGAUUUGCCGUGUAAAAAAGAAUUCUGGGAAAACGCCGUGUUCUAAUACCUCUCUCGGAAAUUCACAGCAUGCUUUUAGCGUUUUAAAAGUCUAAGGUGAGAAAUCUAUUCUACUUGAUUUAACCCAGUUUCUGAAACUUCCUUGAAAAUAGAAAUUGUACUUUUUUUUUUUUUUUUUUUUUUUUUUUUUUUAAUACAGCAUCCUGUGGAGACUGCUUCAUGAUUCUUUCAGUAAGCGGUUAGCAGUGGCCUUGGAAGUGGCUGCUUGGGCGGGUUGAAUUCCUGCGAAAAUGUAGGAUUUGCAUCUAACCACAUGGGACUUUUCUUGGCAUCCUCUUUGCUCUUAUUUGCUGGUCCAUAUUCUCGAAAGCGUCGUGCAUCUCUGCUGGUAUCGAGUUCAUGGCAGCAAAACUCUAGUGCUUGAAAGGCCCGUUUAGGUCAUGUAAUCGUGCCUCUUCAUUUGCUGCCUCAGAAGAGGUUAAGUCAUUUGCCAGAGUCCGAAACAGCUAGUAAGUGAGCAUGGGGCCAGGGUCUCUUCAUGUGCCAUUACUUGGUUCCUAGUGGAAAUUACUGGACUUAGUUCCUUACUUUCAAGCCUUUUUUUUAGUGCUUCCUCCUGAUGGGGAUGGAUAAGAGCAAAAGAACUGACGUUUGAUGCCUGUCAAGGUUUGGCAUUGGAAUAAAAAUGAGCAGAAGAGGGAGCACCUGGGGGGGGAGGCACGGAUGCUGCUCAGUAAAAGAAGUGUCACAGAGGAAACCCCAAAACCCGGAUCAGGACUGCUGUGAAUGAUCAUUUUAUUUGUGUGGCUAAGAACGACUUACACCAAGCUCUGUCUGCAAGAGAAUGCGGAAAGUGGAUUACUUCUGGGUGGCCCCGAAGCGAGAACAAAUGAACAGCUGAACAGACAGUGCUGCAGCUGUCGCCAUACUUUACAGAUCGGCAGCGCCUUGAGCCCAUCGGGCGCUGCUCAUUAACCGCCAUGUUUCUCAUGGCGUGAAGGGUUUGGAAAGAAUGAUUUUUGAAAUUUCUCUUCCUAAGGCCAAGAGGAUUGACAUCAUUAGGGCCCACAUUAUGAUUUUGCUUUAAUUUAGAUUUUCUUUCUUUCAUGGUGAACUUAUUAGACCCUUAUUCAUUAAUUGCUAUAUGAAAUUGGAUUCUUUUAUUAUACAAGAGGUUCUUUUUUUAUUUAUUGUCAUAAUUUCACCUGUCACAAGUUUUUGUGGCAUUAGUUUUGAGUGUUCUCUUUUUUUUAAAUGUUUAUUUUGAGAGAGAGAGAGCGAGCGAGCAUACACUCGUGCACAUGUAAGGGAGGGGCAGAGAGGGAGGAAGAGAGAGAACCUCAAGCAGGCUUCAUGCUGUCAGCACAGAGCCCAAUGCAGGGCUCGAUCUCAAACCUUUCGUGAGAUCGUGACCAGAGCCGAAAUCAAGAGUUAGACGCUUAACCAAUGGAACCACCCAGGCGCCCCAAUUUUGAGUAUUAUGUUUUUAUGAACCACUGUCUACAGUCUUAAGUUUUAGAGAAAAAUAAUAAAGCCACAGUAUUUUCUCCUGUUUGAACUGGAGUAAUUCUUCUGUCAGAAGGGAGAAGGUUAAUGAAAGAUCAUUUUGAUUGAGUAGGCCUGACAACUCUUGCUUGAACUUUGUUACUUAACUGCUCCUCUGUCUUUGAAUUGCUCUGAUUAUUAUUAGGUUCUUUUUUAUUCGGGUGGACAUCUGCCUUACGACGAGUUUGGCCUGUGUUCUUGGUUUUGUCCUAUAGCCCUAUUCAGGGAGAGAGGUCAGAAACCCUACUGCAUAUGUAUAUUCUAUACAUUGUGGUUUCUAAAAAAAUUUUUUUAGUGUUUAUUUUUUGAGAGAGAGAGACAGAAUUCGAGUAGGGGAGGGGUAGAGAGAGAGGGAGACACAGAAUCUGAAGCAGGCUCCAGGCUCCAAGCUGUCGGCACAGAGCCCCACGUAGGGCUCAAACCUACGAACUGUGAGAUCAUGACCUCAGCCAAAGUUGGAUGUUUGACUGAGACACCCAGGACCCCCUGUAUAUUCUAUACAUUCUGACUUAAUUUUAUAACAAGGCUGGCAGGUGGGUAUCUUUCACCUCCCUUUUACAGAUAAAGUAACAGAUUCAGAGACUGAAGAUUCUGAAUGAUUUUAGAGACCAAAUGAGUUGCCAGGGCCAUGACAAAACAAGUAAUAGCUGACUCUCUGUCAGUAGUGGCCCCUCAAGUGGGAGAAGGGGGCAGGAUGAUACCUGAUGGAACAAGGUUCAUGUUCCUCCUUGCUAUGCAGAAAAUCUCUUCAUCUCCCAAAUCUAGCCUACACCUGAAAUAGGGUGGAUGGUAGGGACAGGAAGGUUGCCUGCUUGUCUUGUGCACACCUGUUUCCUUUAUCCUCUUGCCUGGAAAUGUUACCAGACUUCACAGGGGUUUCCGAUGACAGCUGGUUAAUUGUAAUGUUAAUUGAAGCCUUUUAAUGUAAUAGCACUCAUUGAGUCUAUAUAGGGAAAUCAAAUGAUAUUCAGACUCUGCAAGUACUUGCCAGGUCUCAGUAAAUACUUGUUGAAGUAUCAAGUGGUGGCCUUUGAAAUCGGAAGAUACGGGUAUCUGUGGGAAUGCCAUCUCCUAUACCAGGCACAGCCGGCAUGCAUCUGUCUACCUGAAGAGCUCCUGAGGCUGGGGUUGGAUUGAGGCAGCAUGGCUGGAGUAGUACCUAAUGAUCCCUAAUCAAAAAGUGGGGGAAGCAAAGUCACACAGUAAAAGCUGGGUUGAGUGUAAAGUUGGAAGGAAAAAAUUCCACAUGGAUCAGAAUCAGUAGGAAUUGGAAUUAAGAAUAAAUUCCAAUGCGAGAAGCUGUGGUGGGUGAGUAACGCGGGUCUGAAGGUGUGUAGAUGGGUUUAAUGUGAGCAGACCGUCCUUCUAGGUGUAUCCCCUAGAGAAACUUUGGAACACGUACCUAAAGAGACAAGUUCAGGAAGACCCCAUCCUUUAGCCUUUAUUGAUGCAGACAUAAGUAUAAAAAUGUGAAGAUAUCCAUGGGAUGGGUAAAUACUAAAAAGUUAGGAUAGUGGUUUGAGCUGAGCCCUCCAUUUGUUGUUGUUGUUGUUGUUAAUGCAUAAUUUAAUUGUCCUAAGCAUCUAGAAUCCUGUACUCGGCAGAUAGGUGUUUUGUGUGUGUGUUUGUUCUCUUAGCUGAUGAGGCUGAUAGAAACACAGAGUAGGAAGGAGUCAGAGAGAACAUCAGGUCUCUCCUUUUGUAGAUGAUGAAGCAGAGAUGCAGGGAUGAACAUUCCAGGUUGCUAGUGGUAGGACUGGGAAUAAGAGCCAGGCUUUUCUGACUGCUAUCCAGGCCCCUCUGCACCACACCAUACAUGGUCUCUUAAUGAAGGCUCUUUUCUGUAAAGCCAUGUCCUGGUAUCAUGCCCCUAACCCUUCGUAGUCCUCCAUUAGAGCACGUUUGUGGACUCUGGUGUUUCAAGGUAUAAGUUUCUAAAUUAAUAGCAACUUGCAUAGCCCACCAAGCCCUGAGUGCGUUUUUCUUCUGUGAAAAUGUCUUAGGGUCUAUCCACAUUUCAUUUUUUCCUCCAAGAUGUUUUAUAUUUUUUUAAUUAGAAACAAACAACUUUUUAAUAAAAAAAUCUUAUAAGCCCCAACUUUACAUGGAUUAUUUGUCCUAAAAAAGCUUUGUAGGACAAAUUCUUAAAAGUUGUCAAUAAUUAAAUAAUUUCAACAGGAAAAAUCUUAGGGAUUCUCAGCCCUCAAGCUGACAUUCAUUUGUAGUAACACAACAUUAAGUUCAGUUAGAAAUUGACAUAAUUGCUUCAAGGAGUAGCAUAGUUACCACAACAUGACCUAAAAAGGCAUUGUAUGUUCUCUAUAAUAUGGUUCUUUGUCAGCUUUUCUUGAACUCCUUUGUAGCUAUUGCACACCAAGAGUCUAAGGCCACAGUAAAACACAAAACUGCCUAAUUCGGCAACAAAAUAUCAACCUUUCUUAAAUUCUGUUUAAUGCAAAAACAAUGGAGUAUAUAGACAAAAUAAAUCAGUGAAAACAGGGGCGCCUGGGUGGCUCAGUCAGUUAAGUGUCUUGACUUGGGCUCGGGUCAUGAUCUCACAGCUUGUGAGUUCGAGCCCCAUGUUGGGCUCUGUGCUGACAUUUCAGAGCCUGGAGCCUGCUUUGGAUUCUGUGUCUCCCUCUCUCUGCUCCUCUCCCGCUCACGCUGUCUCUUCUCUCCUUCAAAAAUGAAUGAACAUGAAAAAAAAUUAAAAAUAAAUCAAUGAAAACAAUGUAUUGCAGGUUAAGUGUAGGUUAAAUGCCAGGGACUAGUGUUGUGAACUAAUGAGCCCCAAGUGCUGUGGAAUGAGAACUUCCGUACCACAUGCUCCACUUCUAAAGUCACAGUGAUGUUCACUAAUGACUUAGGUCCUGUGGCGCCCAGCUGGUCCUCAGGUGCUGCAUACACAAGUCAUUCUUCUUAAAUGCUAAGAGAAGUGCCAUAUACCGAAAAUUGCAUUAUUAAAGAAAGCUGCCUGUAAAGCAGCUCUCAACCCAAGGGAAUAUAUGGGUGUGUUAGAAAUGGAAACAGGUGCACGUGCAUGUGUGUGCGUGUGUGGUGGGGCUGGGUCGAUGGAAAAAAAGAAAAGAAAACCAGUGUGUUAACAACUUCUUAAAGAUGGGCACGCAAGUAAACCCCUCUCUCCCUUUCCUCUGCCUUUGUCCUCAGCCCUGAGAUUUAUCAGUUUGAUUUCAUUCACAGUCACUGAAGGUUUUUCCUUCUGAUAAGCAUUGAUGCCUUUUUGUAGCGUAGAAUGAGUGACUGAUGCAUUGUUUGGCCAGCUCGUAAUCAGUGGUGAGUAGUGUCCAACAUCGUAUUUCUAAAUAACGAUCCUCCUUCAGUAUUCUGUAGUCUUUUUCUGUCCCAGGUUCACUUAAAAUUUCGAUGACUGACUGCUUCUAGCCAAAGAAAUCAUCCCUCAGCUGGUUCUGCCUGGGUAAACUGAAGUAUCAUUGGGAUAUUUCUGUUUUAUUCAGUGUGAUACUACUCUGAUGCUUAAAAUAGUUUGGGUGUAAUUCUUUCUGCACUUGGGGAAUGGUGGUGGUCUUUAUUUUGAUUCAAGUAGCAAUAGUAAUUUUCAGGACAUGAGAUACACAAAAGUGAAACAGUGUAUUUCACAUAUUUUCAUAGUAAAAUGUUGUUUUGUGAAGGUGAAUGACAAGCUGAUUUGUUGCAUUUCCUCAAGCACAUUAGUCUGAAGGCUGUGCUCUCAGAUGUCUCCUCUUUUUUCUCUCCCUUUUGUCAGCAGAUGGCGUAUUACCGUUCCCUCUCACUUCUGUUUUCUUCGCCUUUUUAUUCCUCUCUUUCCUCCUCCUCUUCCUCCCUUGCCAACCCCCCCCACCUUGGCAAACAUUUGUCACAAGAAUGGAUGCUGUUAUGAAAAAAAAAUAAAGUCUGGCUGUGACAUGUUGUCUUUUCAAAAGUACAAGAAAGAAAGGAGGAAACAGGUUUUCAUUGCUUCGGGCAUAAUACAGCUGGCUAAUUUUCUCUGCUAACACUUUAUUAGAGGAACACUUGUUCCCCUUUAGAGCGGAUCUGACAUUUUUUUGUAACAGUUAUGUUUGCUUUUAUAUUUCUAUCCUGUUGUUUUGCAUGCAGAUAGCUCCUCUUUUCCCUUUUAGGUGGAUGGGCCCUUUCAUUAAUAUUACGUGUUUUUACUUAUUUAUUUAGUAAUUUUUUAGUGUUUUAUUAUUGUGAGAGAAAGAGAGUGCGCACGCUCGCACAAGUGGGGGAGGGGCAGAGAGAGGGAGACACAGAAUACGAAGCCAGCUCCAGGCUCCGAGCUGUCAGCGCAGCUUGAACGGACGCGGAUGCAGGGCUUGAACCCACGGACUGCGAGAUUAUGACCCGAACUGAAGUUGGGUGCUUAACCGACUGAGCCACCCAGGCACCCCAAUUUUAUGUGUUUUUAAAUACAGAACUUUUUCCAAAGGAAAAUCCUUUGAUGUACAGAUAAAUAGAUUAAAAUACAUUUGCACUUAAUUUUGGGAGUAAAACUCCUGUGACAGUGAUUGGGGCUGUCGUGAACAUGAGGUACACAUGAAGAUGUGAUUGGGUGGAGAAUACGUACAACUUAAUGAGAGGCUGUUAAUGACUGGAAGAGGGUUCAUUAAUAUGCGUUGUAAAACUAGGCUGUACGUGGAAUGUGUGAGGGAGCUAAUUAAAUAUUCUAAGGAAUCCUACGAACCCCAUAUUCCUUCUAUUCUUUUCUUAUUCUUUCUGCCAACAGUAAAUAUCAAAUGUUUCCAGAAUGGAUACUGCAUAAAGAGCAGGUACACGGAAUUGUCUGUGCUCUCAAAGGAUGUAGUCUUCCUGAAUGUAAUUUGGGAGUCCACUUUCCUGCUUUAGGAAGAAUGGUAGAGUGAGCCCAGUUUAAUCUUUAACGUAUUAUUACCACCGUCUCUGCUUGCGUAAAUCCCAGUUGCAACACAGCGCCUUCUUUCUGAUAUCUUCAUUCUAUUCCUACCCCUCUUCACUCACCCACCUACCUCCAAAGCAAAGUGAUCUCCGGCUCCUCUGAACACCCGGAGCAUUUGUGCAUACCUGCUUUUUGACCUCGUCACUUCCUACUUUGUAGCAUAGUUACUAACAGCUGUUGGACGGAAAGCAUCUUGAUCCCCAGUAGUUCUGAGCACAAUGCCCUGAACAGAAAUGCUGCCCACUAUUUGACUUAUUGAAUGCGUAUUGGAUAUUAACUUUACAAGUGCAUUGGCUCCUAGAAUCAGUCAGACCUGGGUUUGAAACUCAGCUCUGCGAGUCUGGCCAAGCCUUAACUGCUCUGAAUUUCAGUUUCCUAAUCUGCAAAGUAUAUGUGAUAAUGACUGCUUGGUAGAGAUGUUGUAGGGAUAGAAAGCAGUGGUGUAGGUAAAACACAGUGCUUGGGGCAUAGUAGAUGCGCAGUUUUCUAGAUGUGUACCCACAUGUCCUCCCCGGACACAACACGCACACACACACGCAUACACACACACACAGUGUAUGUGUGCAUGUGCAAGAUGCUAGGCCCUCAGAGACCAAACCACACAAGUCCUGUGCUCAUGUUGCUUAAAGAAGAAAUGAAACCAUACAGGGUGCAGAAUUGUGGUUCUGUUGGGGCAGUGGAGAGGGUGUACCAUGGGAGUUCAUGUGUUUCUCCCAGAGAAAGGAUGGAUAUGGUUUAGGGAAAGUGUUAAUGCAAAAGAUGGCAAUUGUGCAGAAGGUAGGAGAAUGGGUAGGGCUUGAAUGAAUGUUACUGAAGGCUAGAGAGGAAGAUACGUACUUUAAAAGAUUUGUCUCUUCAAAAACUAUAGUUGUGCAGUAGAACUUCCUGGUCGAGGACUGAGAUUGGAGAUGAAUGUCUCUACUCAUCUGCCAGUAUUUUUCUCAGAAACUUGCAUGCCUAUAUGGGCUUUCCUAUGACCUACCUACUCCUUUUGGUCCAAGUGUGGUAGUUGCCACCAGGCAUGUUGGAAAUGAUAAAAUAGUUCGGUAGCAACUUUGCCAGCGUUCUAAAUUUGGUAGUUGAUAGCACUGUAUUGGGUGCCUUUCCCAUGGGCAUGGAGAAGGGGAGAAUUAACUUGGUAACUGCCUGUAAAAAUACAUCAGCAGGAAGGUUUUCAGCUUAAUGGUGAUAAAAUAAAAUAUAAUACAGAAUAGCUCCCUAGUCCUUUCCAUACACAGAUUUUUCUAAAUGCUUUGAAGUAGAUGGGGGAUAAAAGAAGCCUGUAAUACUAAACCAUCCAAAAAUGAAAUCAAAUGCUUUAUGCCUGUUGGGUAUUGUUAUCACCCAAAUUCAAGUGUGGACCUUAAUGUAGAGUCUAUAGUCGAUAAAGUUAACACUAGUGAUCCCAGUUGGCACAGAGAACUACCGCUCAGACUGCUGAAUCCAUUAAGUAAUGGAAUCGGGUUUAACUGUUCCCCUCAGAGGUUGAAAAUCUUCACAAUGAGGAAAAACCACCCAUACGCCCAAUAGGAAUGUAUUUGAGUCCUUACCUAGGGGCACUGUGACUGCAGUCUCCUUGGAAAAAUUUUAGGAGUGGUCUGAGCUCAGUUGAGUUGUGUUGUUCGCCCUCUGCUUUUCCUCAGCCACAGCUGGGCUGUGCUGCUGCAGGGAGGGCUGGAGGAGCUGGAGAGGGAUGCAAGAGAGCGUCUCAUAGACCUGUCUACUUUAGAGCUAGAAAACCGGUGACACGUUGCUAUAUAGAAGUCUGUUUAGCAGCAACUGCAUUUGAGUUCAGGUACUUCUUUGAUGUUGGGAGAUGUCCAGUAUAUGUUACAGCAGUGAGGUUCCACCGACCCCAUUACUGAUCCUGUAGCCAGGAAGGGGCUGAUCUCUCCUGGCUAUUCGCCCUCUUUGCCCCACCUUCAAAUGCCUCUCCAUUUCUUAGACUGUUUAAAUCGGACAUUGGGAAGAAUUUAUUUUUCCUCAGCCUUCGCAAUCCUGUUUUGGUUGUAAAACAAAGUCAGAAACAAGAGCCUGGAGGUGUAUGCUCUAGGGUUAUGGUGCUGUUCCUGUCAAUUACUUGCUGUAUGAUUGUAGGUAACUCAGUUUCUAAAUACUUGUGUUUGCUCAUUAGUGAAAUGAACCUAUCUCGCUAGAGAACAUAGAUUUGUAACCUGGAAUCCAUAGAUGGCCUUCUGUGAAACUACAUAUGUAGUUACAUAUUUUUGAAGCCCUUACCCUUGUUUUGGAUUCUCAGAGGAGUCUGUGAACUCCUCUUCCCCACAUUAAUCUCUCUGCCUUGGAAGUUAUUGUGAAUUUGGUAAAAGAUAAUAGGUAAAAAGAGCUUUAGUAAUAUGAAAAACAUCAUUUCAAGUAGAUUAGAAUCACUCUCUGCUGAGACCAUCUAAUUCAUAUUUCCUCUCUUUUGGAACUCCUCAAUAAACACAUCUGUUUUCUUGUAGUACCUCCCUUCUUCCCUCCUCAUCUCUUCCAUCUUUCCAGUUGUGGAAGAUCUAGAAUGGAAAUCUGAGUACAGUUUUCCAGGCUUCAACACUUGUCAGACCUUUAGUUCAGUCUCAGACUGACUUUCCCCGACUGUGCUGUUUCAGCUUCUGCCAGUGCUUUGGUGUGCUGAAAACUGGCUUUAGCGUCUUCGGUUUCCAUAAUAUUCUUCUGGUUGCUUCUGCAUUGGUGGUACUUCAGCCCCACAUUGAUAUAGAGAAAAGACUAAUUUUCUUUUAUUUAAUCCUUUGAAAAAGACACCUUCAGCUGCUUACCCCAUUUGAACUUACUACAUAUUCUCUUAAGUAUAUGAGCUUAUCUUUUGUCAGCCAGAAACAGAAAGUAGAAAAAAAUCACCCUAGAUUUCUUUCAUAAGACUCUUGCAUUCUAACCCAGAUAUAGGGGGAGAUAUAGGGGUGUCUGGGUUGAACAUCGACUCUUGAUUUUGGCUCAGGUCACGCUCUCACGGUCAUGAGAUUGAGCCAUGUGUCAGAGUCUGUGCUGAUAGCACAGCUCUCUCUCUGUCUCUGCCCCUCCCCCACUUGCAUGAGCGGGCUCUUGCUCUCUCUCAAAAUAAAUAAACUUAAAAAAAUAAUAAAAUGAUAGAUCACAUAAAUUUCCUAGUUCUUGGGGCGCCUGGGUGGCGCAGUCGGUUAAGCGUCCGACUUCAGCCAGGUCACGAUCUCGCGUUCCGUGAGUUCGAGCCCCGCGUCAGGCUCUGGGCUGAUGGCUCAGAGCCUGGAGCCUGUUUCCGAUUCUGUGUCUCCCUCUCUCUCUGCCCCUCGCCCGUUCAUGCUCUGUCUCUCUCUGUCCCAAAAAUAAAUAAACGUUGAAAAAAAAAAAUUAAAAAAAAAAAUUUCCUAGUUCUUUGAGUCAUCUAUAAUUACAUAACAAACCAUUCCAAAACUUACUGGAUUAACACAAUUAUUUUACUUGCUCAUGACUCUGUGAGUUGGCUGGGGCUCAGUUGGGUGGUUCUUCUGCUGGUCUCUCUGAUGACCGAGAGUGGUUGCAACAAGAUGAUGGCUGGGGCUGGAAUAUCCAAGACACCUUGGCUCAUGUCCAACCACCUUAAUAGGAUCAUCUGGUAGGUUUUGAUCUCUUUCUCCCUGGCUUGCUUGGUCUUCUGUAUAUGAGAGCCGCCUAUUGGUAGAUAUUUGAGAGGGCAAGCCCCACUGUGCAAAUAUUUACCAAGCUUCUGCUUGCGUCAUGCCUGCACGUACACCCCAUCAGCCCAGCCCAGAGUUGUGUGGGAGGGCACGACACAGGAUGUGAGUACCACAAGUCCCAUGGUUCAUGGGGAGCUGCUAAGAUAACAUGCCACAUUAGCAUAUAGGAGUAGCUCAUUUCCUAUUUUUAUGAAAUGAGUGAUUCAGGUUUUCAACCAGGAUAGUUCACAACUCCAGCGAAAGGGGAAGUAUGUCCUUUGCUCUAAGGAAGCUCAGAUUUAGAAAUCUAAACUAAACAACAAGAUGAAUUUACAGAGCUUGAGGCAAUUGAGUAAGGGAUAAGAUUUUGUUAGAAAUGUUUGUUUUGCAAGUGGUAUUCAUCUAGAACUCCUCAUUAAUAUAUUUUAAGAAUUCAUUAUAAUACACCAUUAAUGGCUUGAUAAAAAGAAAUAGAAAGGGUGGCAAGGGAGGAAAGGGAAUUAAAAAAAAAUUUUUUUUAAGUUUAGGACGUUUUUUUUUAAAUUUCUGGGAGUUGUUGUCAUUUCAGGACAAUCAGAAAUCAAAACUUAAAGCGUCUAUGGUAUUAAAAUCUAUGAAGGAAAACCACUGUGACAUAGUUCGUGUGGAAUCAGUCGUACAGAUUGAUGAAUGUCAGGUCAUUUUCUCAAGGAGAGUCAUAGCCUUUCUCUUCCUUUGAAAUAUCUAAGGAGCAUUUUAAUUUAUGAGAAAGACCUGACAGAUUAGGAGAAAGAUCUGGUUACAGUUAGAGCACAGAAAGCUCACUGUACUGAAGUAUAGUAUUUCUGAUUGUACUUAAGUAGGUUACUUAUGUGUAGUACUUUACUUCGUUUUUAUUUUUUUAAUGUUUAUUUAUUUUUAAGAGAGAGAGAGAGAGGGUGAGCACCAGCAUGCGUGAGGGGAGAGGAGCAGAGAGAAAGGAAGACAGAGGAUCCAGACCAGGCUCUGUGCUGACAGCAGAGAGCCCAACGUCGGGCUCAAACUCAUGAACUACAAGAUCAUAACCUGAGCUAAAGUCGGACGGUUAACUGACUGAGCCACCCAGGCGCUCCCUUCCCCCCCCCCCCGCCACCAUAUAGUACUUCUUAAACUUACAUGUGCAAGCAAAUCUUGGGGAACUUACUACAGUGCACGUUCUGAUUCGGUAGUUCUGGGGUGUUGUACAUUUCUGCUGAGCUUCGGGGUGAUUCGGUAGUGCUCGUCCAACAAGGCUUUAGUAGACCUAACCCUUCUGAGGUUCCUAUCCUGGCCAGGCCUCUCAGGUAAACCCCCUUAAUUCUCAUACACACUGGUAUGUGACUUUUUACUUCUGUCAUUGACCCCCAGCAGGACAAACAGAAGUCCUUUUAGUGUCUUAUCACACAUGCUCAAGCCAUGUAUUUCACAACUAAGGAAUAGGUAUUAAUUUAAAACUACAGUUGGCCCUGGAACAACCUGGCUUUGAACUUUGCAGAUCCACUUAUAUGUAUUUUCUUAUGAUUUUCUUUUUUUUUUUUUAUGAUUUUUUUUUUUUUUUUGGGACAGAGAGAGACAGAGCAUGAACGGGGGAGGGGCAGAGAGAGAGGGAGACACAGAAUCGGAAACAGGCUCCAGGCUCCGAGCCAUCAGCCCAGAGCCUGACGCGGGGCUCGAACUCACGGACCGCGAGAUCGUGACCUGGCUGAAGUCGGACGCUUAACCGACUGCGCCACCCAGGCGCCCCUAUGAUUUUAUUUUUUAAGUAAUCUCUGUACCCAACGUGGGGCUCAAACCCAAGACCCCAGGAUCAAGAGUCACAUGCUCUUCUGACUGAACCAGCCAGGAACCCCCUCUUCCUACUGAUUUUUUUUUUAAUAACAUUUUCUUUUCUGUAGCUUGCUUUAUUUAGGAAUACAGUAUGUAAUGCAUAUAACCUACAAAGUACGUAUGAAUCGAUAGGUGCUUGUUAUCCAUAAGGCUUCCGGUCAGUAGUAGGCUAUUAGUAGUUAAGUUUUGGGAGAGUCAGAAGUUAUGUACAGACUUUUGACUAUUUGGUAUGGGGGGUGGUUACCCCUCAAGUUGUUCAAGGGUCGAUUUUUAGUUCCUUUGGCAUAUGGCAUUAAGUCAUUUGUAUAAAUCUGGCCUUUGUUAAUGGCUGUAACCCGAAAAAAGAAAAUUCUUGGUUUAAAUUGAAUUGAUUAGUCCCUCAGGGAUUUCUUAACCACAACCCUCAUAUCUGGCUAUCAACAAGACUUUUGCUUGUCUCAGAUUCUUCUUGAAAGCCAAGGUAUAUAGAGGGCCAGACACUCUGGUCUGCCAACUUUUGUCAAGUGCUAGCUGGUAAAAUGGGAUCAAAGUGUAUUCACCAGCACUCCCAAGACUCCACGUGAGCCACCGGACCUAGAGGUGUGGCCAUCCUUCCUCACUGUGGUGCGUUCAGUUCUCCAGAACUCUGUUUCUUAUUCUGGGCUUACACAUGUCUCUGGAGGUACUCCAGUCCAACCUGCCUUUUCCUGUGCAGUUUUCAAAGUAUAUCCUUUCUUCCGACCUUCCUCUUCGCAGAGGGAAGCAGUGCAGCCUCAGAGAUCUAGCCCAUCCAAAUAGUCCUACCCAGAAAUUUGUCUUCCAGUUAAAAAAUAUUUUUAAUUGGAAAAUUACGUACUAAUCUUCACCUCAGAAGACACUAAUAGUGGAACUCACUCUUUGAACAAAGGCAAUGUGGGUAAUAGGAGAGGGCUUUGGAACCGGACAAACUUGGAUUUGCACCCUAGCUCAGCUGUUACUAGCCUGAUCUAAAUCAUUUUUCUAAAUCAAAUGAAAUCUGGUGAGGGUUCCCACUUCUCAGGGUGUGUGGGAAAUCCACUCUCAAGUUGUUGUUGGGACCCCUCACUUUCCAGAAUGCGAGCAGGACUUCCAGUCCUCAUCUGUUCAUGGUUGCCACCGUUCAUGCACCUGGCCUGGACCCUUGUCGUCACUCGGAAGGGAGGCUCGUCCGUGUCUCUGCUUCCCUCACGGCUUUGUACAACACCCCAAACCGUGUGUUUACUACAGUGUCCACAAAUACUGUGUCAACAUCUUUAUCUGAAAUCUUGCCCCCGGCAGUGCGUAAAUGGGUCAGGGCUUUGCUCUUCAUGGGACCCUAACCUUCUCCUCUCCCAGUUUGGGGAAAAUCAGGCCUACGGGUUGAAUAACUCACUUUUUCAAUCCCACAAGCCCACAGCCUUCAUACCCAUAGCUUUGGGGGAUUCUAGCACUUUAAUUCCUUUGGCCUCCACCUUUAAAACUCAGAGGUCCCCAGGUUAGUCCACCCAUCCAGAGAAUUUCCCUUUUUGUUAUAAACACCACCAAAGGUAAAAAAAAAAAAAAGUGUGUGUGUGNNNNNNNNNNNNNNNNNNNNNNNNNNNNNNNNNNNNNNNNNNNNNNNNNNNNNNNNNNNNNNNNNNNNNNNNNNNNNNNNNNNNNNNNNNNNNNNNNNNNNNNNNNNNNNNNNNNNNNNNNNNNNNNNNNNNNNNNNNNNNNNNNNNNNNNNNNNNNNNNNNNNNNNNNNNNNNNNNNNNNNNNNNNNNNNNNNNNNNNNNNNNNNNNNNNNNNNNNNNNNNNNNNNNNNNNNNNNNNNNNNNUUUAUAAUAUAUAUAAUAUAUACAUUUGUAAUUAAAAUUUUAAUAUUUAUAUAUUUAUAUAUAAAUAUAUAUAUUUAUAAAAUAUAUGUUAUAUAUAAAUUUAUAUAAACUUAUAAUUAAAAAUUUAAAUAAUACAUAAAUUUAUUAAAUUCAUUUUUAUUUAUUGUUAGAUAAUAAUAUUAUUUUAAUUUAUCUAACAACUCUAAUGGUAUUCCUAUUUUUACAUGGAAGGAAAUUGUGGCUUACGGGAUUUGACCAAGCACCUGUGGCUAGUGAGUGGAAGAAUCUCAGUGUGAGCGGAGAUCUUUGGUUACGAAACCCUGGAAACACGGUGGUUGGGCUCUCACAUUGCCAGUGACUCUUUGAGCUUGCGUAUAUUUGUUAAACGUAUUUCCCUUACCUGAAGACAUUGGCGUCGGGUGGUUGCACUCCAUAGCAUCCUUCCAUCUAAACAGUCUGUGACUCUGCGUAACUGCCGUUUUACUUCCCCUCUUUUUCAGCCAGAAAAGUGACUUUUUACACUGUAAGGUAUACACGGCUGCCGUAGUUCCUCGGGGAAGGGCAGCUCAGUGGGGGAGGUACCCAGGGACUACAGUUACAAAUUAGUGGCUCUGAGCAACUAGUUUGUUGAAGGAGCUUUUGCAGGUAACCUCAGAAGGCCCCAAUGUUGACCGCCUUUGAACAAUCACAGCGAAUUUGAAAGGGGUCAAAUACAGAAGAAAAACCACUUUUGUCCAAAUUUUAAAUGAAGCAAGAGAAUCCGGAAGCUCAGUGGAUCCUUUGACUGUGGCUCACCAGUGGAACAUAGAGUCAGAGAGGUGAUUUAUAAACCUUUAUAAAAAAAGAGGUAUUUAUAAAAUACUUUAGAAAAGUACGCAGUGUUAGGAGGUCCAGCAUGAGCUCACUAGAGGACAGAUAUUAAACUGACUUUGUUUCCUGUUUUGAAAGAGUCCACAUAUUAAGGGUAUGUGGUUGAUGUAUUUUGUCUUGAUUUUACUAAAGCAUUUCACAGAGAAUUCUAUGAAGAUGGUGACAUGUUGAUUAGAUCAGUAGUUUCCUUUUUUUUUUUUUUUUUUUGCUCCCUCCUAAGAACUAGAUUCUCAUCUGUACUCCACACCUAUUGGAAGAAAAUUAUUGAGAAAAGGGCCCAAGAAUCCAUAUGUUAGAAAAGCUUAUCCAGGUCCACUGCUGCCAUUCCAUAGACUGGCAUUUGAGAAACACCAUAGAAGUUUUCAAAUUUGGGGAGAGGGGCAGGGAAUCCCCUGCUCAAAUAAAAUUUUUUAUGAAACUCUACCAUAUAAAACAGAUAAAGUGACAUAUGAUCCUAGUAUAAAUUUUUUUUUUUUUUUGAAAUUUACACUUACAAUUUUUUUUUAAGUUUAUUUAUUUUGAGAGAGAGAGAGAGAGAGAGUGUGCACACCCAAGUUGGGGAAUGGAAAACAAAGAGAGAAUCCCAAGCAGGCUCUGUGCUGUCAGCGUGGAGCCCGAUUCAGGGCUCAAACUCACAAACCGUGAGAUCAUGAGCGGAGCCAAAACCAAGAGUCGGACACUUAACCGACUGAGCUUCCCAGGUGCCCCUGUGUUCAUAAUGUUUACUGAAGAGUCAGAACAAUGAGGCUGUUAAUGAAAAAGUUUAAAUCAGGUGCUGAUAAUCACUGUGUUAUAACUGUGUAUUCACAUCAGCUUCUGUGUUUCAUGAGAUUGUAUACUUUGCUUUAAAUGCAUAAUAUUUAAGAAAUCUGCUCUUACAAUUACUCACAAAUUAUAACCGGGUUUUUUUGGUGUGUGUUUGCUUCGUUUUUAAAUGACUUGCCAUGGAAUCCCAGGAUACUUUUCAAUUCCCCUAACCUAAGGUAGGGAAUAUUUGUUUCAGAACUGUAACCCUGUAAUGAAACCUAUGGAAACAAUUGCUCGCAUUCCUUAUCAUAAAUCUAAAGUCAUACAGGAAACAUCUAACUCCUAGAAUAAAUAUUUAUUCUCUCUCAAAUAGGAUAUUAUCACAAAGGACUUUUUACUGUGAUGAAAGCAAGGCCGUAUAGGUGCCCCUGAGCCUCGCCUGGCAUUUAAUGGAAGCCCACACUUGGGCGUGGUUUUGUGUGUGUGUGCUUACUUGAACAACUUCACGAGAGCGGACUGUGCAUACUGGUGUUUUUCCUAAGACCAAGGGAGGCCUACAACUUCCCUUACCAGUGUCACACUUACAAGAAGCCCAUGUGUGCACAUAGAGGUCCCCCAGCCAGGGUCAUGAGGCAUGACCUGUGUAUCUGCAGUGGGUGACGAGUUUGUAUAUAAGCCAUUUCGGUGUCAUUUAAAACAACUACAGCUUUGAAAAUAUAUAAAAUACAUUCGAACAUUAGGAACAGAGGGUGGUGUCCUCGGAGCACCUCCACCGGAGUGCUCUUUUUGAAAACACGGAUCUAAUAUUGACUGAUUCAUGUUGAGGAAGAUCCUUGAUUUUCUGCAGAAUACACAGAUAAAGUUGGGGACAGCUAGGUAGUUGCAGAUGAGAAAAAUACCACAGUUGAGAAAGUGGAUUUGUGUACACAAAGAAUAGAGUACUGUUGAGUGCAAAUGGGGAAGUGAUCUCUCUUCUGGCCAGAAAAUCAGGGAAGGCUUCCUGGAAGAGAAGACAUCUGACGAGGCCUUUGAGGAUGUUUAGGUCUUGGGUAUGAGAAUUAUGAGGGAGAAGAAAUGAUGUUGUAGGGCAGUUCACCUUUUUGGAGAGUAUGAUUUUAGGCAAAAAUAAUGUACAUGUCACUAUUCUCUUACACAGAUAACCUUCUUCACUAGUAAAUGAGCUGUAUGUGCAUUCAAAGGUAGAAUCCAUUCAGAAUCUGAAAAAAGGACCAUUUUCAUACAUUUACACGUGCCUCAAGUUUCCUUCAAAGUUAUCACUGUCAGACAGUGAUUCACUUGUUCAGAUUUAGACCUUUCCAGUGAUACUUUGCCCAACUUGGCUGCCCCUUUAAUACCUCCAUGCAUCAUAAAUGGACCCUAAACCUGGCCUCUGCAAGAGUUCUAGCCAUUCAUUUAUCCAGCUAUUCGCCCACGCUGGCAUAUUGAGCACCUAUAUAUGUGUAGGUCUUGGUGAGUUCUAGGCACCCAGCAGUGAACAAGUCAGCACUGGAGGGUGAAGUGGGUGCCUGGAAACCACCUAAAGUUCUUAUCGCUGAACUGCAUUUAAGAAGAUAACAAUGCAACUUUUCCCACAAACUGAUAACAGCAUAAAGUGUACACAUGCCAGAGCGUUUACAUUUUAACAAGGAUCAAAGCUUCGCCUCAAACUACUUCUAAUCAGGAGGCGUGUGAGGGGAAUUGUGGUUUGAGCCUUGGGUCUUUUCCAGCUUAUACGGCUUCUUAGGCAGCAGGAUUGGUACUGUCCUAUCUGUACUUUAAGGUGGAGACUGGCUCUGGUAAUAUUCCUCUCAGCAAAGUAGCCUAAAGACAACUCUACAGCAGGAGGGAAAUCAGUUAGAUAGUCCAUAAUGGCAAAGACUCUUUCUGAGGGGCAGGAUUGCAGAGCAUGGAGAGAGGGGGUGUAGCACGGUGGCAGGUGCACAGAGCCCGCUGGUGCAUAGCCCGGCUCUUGGUGGCUGGGUGAGCCAUCCAACCCCUCUGUGCAUCUGGAAAUACAGAUGAUAAUGGUAAUUACCCACCUCAAAGGAUUGCUGAGGGUCAAAUAAGUUAGUAUAGAAAGAGCAUUUAGAAUUGUGCCUGCCGUAGAGUAACUGCAUUAGGUUAAAUUAGCUAUUAUUUCUUUCAGCCAUGUGUUUUUCCAGUUUGCCCAUUUUCUGAGAACAUAGAGUAGCUAUAGAGGAAGAGUGCAUAAUUGGGUGAUGAGUAAUUCCUUCUUUCACCUCUUCACACCCCCCACACUCCUGCUCCACAGACCCCAGAGUUAACUUGUUUUGUAAGGCUAUAACAUCAUAUUUGAAUGUAUGACCUUGAAAUUUUCUGAUUAAGUAGUUCUGGGCAAAGCUCUAAUGGUUGGAAAAUAAAUCAGGCCUCCCACACAUACCUGCUCAGCCAAGAAUUUGUUUGCCCCAGGAACCGUGGGUGGGCGGGAGUGGAAGCAAGUCCACACCCAGGCUUAUGUGAACUCUCUGUUCCUGCUGGAGACUGGGGUCAUCCUUCUCCCUUUGCUUACCAAUGCUUCCUGGUCAUUUCUUUUCAACCUCAGUUGAAGAAAUAGAGAAACAAAUAUUUUCCUUUCUCAUUUUCUCUCUCCCCAGCUCCAGGGGAACACUCCCCCCAUCCCUGCUUGUGUGUUUUCUCUAGUUUGGCUUUGUAUUUGCCCCUUGGUAUUGCACUUGUGCAAAUUUCUCCCAAGCCCAGGGAGACAGCAUACCGUGUCUGAUGAUGGACUGUAGGGGUCCCUGCAUGGUUCCCCAGUUUCAGGGUCUGCGGCAGGGCCCUCCCGGAAGUGCCCUGGAACUUUCUGUUGGUUCUUGUAGCCAGGGAUAGAGAACCCCGCCCCUGCCUUUGCACUGGGACGAGUCACAGGUGCUCCUGCCUUCCGGGAGUGUCUGGGGGACACCUGCUGUCUGCGUCCUGGGGAGACGGGUGAGGGCUCCUCGGAAAUGUGCCAUGUUGAGACCUGUGGUCUGUGUGACCCUCGGGUACUGGUUCCUGGCUUGUUUUGUUUUUCUUUUUGGUCCAUCGUCCUAGUGAAGUCCUCUCGUUAGAGCAGGUAUGCUCUUUUCUGAGCCUGAGAACAGGUGUGUACCAGUCCCUGUCCUGAGGGAGGCAGUCUGGGAUGAGGUGGAAGGAGGGCUUCUCAGACCCGGGGAAAUCUCUUUGGGCAGAGCGAAGCUUAGAAAGUCAUGUGACCUUUCUGAGCCUGUGUGAUCACUCCUUGCCCAUCCGGUGAAUGGGAAGCCAUGCGGGAUGUGGAGAGCUCCCAGGAAUGCGUCCUUCCUUUUCCUCUGUUUCCUUCUCAAAUGGUGGAAUGCAGGCUUAUGGUAGGGAUAGGUAGGUACUGGGUCAAUUUUUUUCUAAUAACCUAAUGGGCUUCAGCAUGGGGGACUGGUAUUUGGGGGCCUUUGCCCUGUAGUCAGACUCCAGAUGAGCCCAUCUCAGGAGAAGCAUCCUUCGCCCUCCUGGCUGGCCGAGGACUCGGAGAAGCAGCAGAAACUCCUUUGGAAUUUUGCCACUUUAUAUCCCCUCUAGUUUGCUCGACUAUAAGGAAGAACUGGCAAAAUUAAAAAUGAAAAAUUGUUUUGAAAAUUACACCCUGUCUACAAACAGCCGCAGAUCAAGAGUAACCACCAGACAUCCUGUUGCUCAGCAUGCUGGCUGGUCGGGGGUUGCUGGGUUCGGGGCUCUGCCUCGGCGUUGGGCCCUGAAACAGGCCCGUGUUCUGGAUCAGUUGGCACAGGCCACCUCUUAACCGCCACUGUAAAACCUGUCGGAUAAAAAGAAGUCAGCACGAUAAAAUCUGCAUCUGGACAGUGUGCUGUGCCUUCCUGCUCAUUUCCAUUUUCCAAAUCUAGGAUAUUUUUUUGUUUUAAAAGAGGUGCUGAAAGAAGUUUAUCUGAUUGUGUGACUUGGUGUGAGGCCAGAAAACUUCUGCUAACGUCUCUGAAAUAUCUCUUUUAAAGCUGUUUUUUAAACCUCCUGAAGUGAACUAAAGACCUUCACUAACUCCUAGACUCUAAAGUUCUCAUUAUGGAGAAGGUCCACCCUGCUUCCUGCUAGAAUAAGGAAAGGGGGUGACAGUUCAUAUGCAAAUGGCCCCACCACCCGCUAGGAGGUGGCCGAAGUGGCUUCCUCAGGCCUUGUCCCAGAGCCACCGGAUUGGAUUGUCUGUGUGGCACCCACAGAGCCCAGGGCAGCUCCACAGGAAACAGUGGGACUACUGGGCGAAGGCUGUCGGGGAGGUAAGGGUGGGGAUGUGUUUACAGUCCCCUGUGAGCAGAAAGUGGGGAGAGGGGAGAAGGCACUCAGUCCGGGCCACCAGUCCUGAUGCGGGACCAGGCUUUGUGGGACAGUUUUCUGGUUUCAGGUGUGGGUUCACCUGUCAACUCUUCUUUCAGAAAGGUGUGGUGAGGUCUGUGGAAAUCCUUCCAAAUAAUAAUUACCAUUAUUAGCGAUGGUUCUGCAGUUGCCCGGUUUAUUCACCUGUCCGUCCCUCCCCUGAGAAAUCCCAGUCAGAAUGGCCCUCCAUCUGAGUGACCACAGAGCAUGUACUUGUCAUGAUUUGAGUGUUGCCAGUGGUCCGAUAAGAAGCAGAUUAACUUGGGUGAAGAUUCUUAAGAAAACAAGAACAAGAGGUGAAAUGUAAUUCCCUUUAUUGGUAUUAAUUAGUAAUUAGGGUAAAGGCUAAUUUCGGGAAAAGUUUGGUGACACCAUUGGCAUUUCUGGUAUGCAGAGUUUUAGCACAAAGGCUCAUAAAUAUUUUUUUUAAUUAGUUUUGAGAGAGAGACAGAGGGAGAGGUGGAGAACACAAGUGGGGAAAGGGCAGAGAGAGAACGAGACAGAAUCCAAAGCUGGCUCCGGGCUCUGAGCUGUCAGCACAGAGCCCAAGGCGGGGCUCGAACCCACUUCGUAAAUAUAAAGUAUUGCCAAGGUGUUUUGCCAGUAGUGGCCUCCGUACCUGCUUUAAUGAUAUACUUACUCCAAACUUUAGGGAAAUGCCAUGGGCAUAUUUUCUGCAAGUUUCCCAGUAACUGUGAAAGAUCGUUUCUUGUGUACAAAUUAAUAGGGAAAACCAUUUGUAUUACUAAGUAAUAAGUAUAUAUGGGUAUUUAUAUGCACAAGCAAAAGCAAAAUUUGGGGAUUGUUUCUAAGCAAUUACUAGAUUAAACAAUAAUUAGAUUAAAACAUGCAUGAAAUGAUAUACCUUAAUGAAUGUUGCAGUACUUUCUGUCUCUCUACAUAGGGUAGGUUCAUUCAGACUACCUUCCCUCUCAGUACCAGAAGUCCCUCUAUGAUAAACAUGACAGAUAAUAAUUUAGGCAUCAGAUCCCCUCUCUUCACUUCCCUCCCAUUCUCUUCCUCCUUCUCUCCCUCCCUCCACUUUUCAUCUUAUACUGGGCCCAGGUCACUGUGGUUGGCACUGCAGAGACACAGGUAAGUAGCCAGGAUGCUGCCCUCGGAGGCCUCACUGUAGAGAGUGUGUAGAGCAGAGUGAGUUUGCACGGGCUGGUGUGUGAUGCUCUCUGCACAAGGGGCGGGCUCUGGACCUGCUCUCAGAAGAGAGACCGCACGGGACUCAGAGGUUAUGCGGAAGCUAAAGUCUCCAGACCGAAGAGGUGGCCUGGGAACGAAGAGCCAUUCUAGGCACAGCGCUUGUGAUGCCCAGUGUCGUGAAACCGUGUUUGGGGACCGGCGUGCAGCCUGGCUCCGUUGUGACGAGUGAUACCUGGGAGGGGCAGGGCGGCAGAAAGAGGCUGGCUCAGUGAUGAUGGGAGCUCACUACUUGGCAAACAACAACAACAGAACAAAACACAAAAAAGGUGCUGUGACUGAGGAAGUGUAUUGUGUUAGAAAGUUUUACCUUAUAUUGUGCCGAAUUUGUCCCCUUUUCUAUUUUACUGUUGGGUUAGAACCUCAGGAGCCAGCACAGAAUGAACCUGUCCACUCUUUGCCACACGCCUUUAUGUGUAGGUGAUGUUUCGCUUCUUUAAGUCUUGCCCCAAGCUGUGUCUGCUACCUUCAUUUAUCCUUUUAAAUAGGUUUUGGUCGGGGAGCCUUGGUGGCUCAGUUGGUUGAGUGUCUGACUCUUGGUUUCGGCUCAGGUCACGAUCUCACAGUUCAUGAGUUUGAGCCCCACAUCAUGCUCUGCGCUGGCAUUGCGGAACGUGCUUGGGAUUCUCUGUCUCCCUCUCUGUCUCCACUCCUCCCCUGCUUGUGCUCUCUCUCUCUCUCUAAGUAAAUGAAUAAAAAACUUAAAAAAUAUAUAAAUAGGUUUUGGUUAAUAGUUUGUUUCUUUAACAUAAGCCAGCAGUAAUUCUAGUUGGUUCUUUCAGAGUCUGCGAACAAGUGAUUAUGAUCUCCUGCAUUGAUCUACAUCUCCAAAACAGUUUCUGCCGCUACACCCUUUUGUCAGUUGGCACCUUUCUGCCGGGUUCCUCCCCCUGUGGUUUUACAGGAUCCCUGAGCAGGGAAGCAGUCAGGGAUUGUGGGUCCGGCCUCUCGUCUGCGUCCUUAACAGUCUCCUCUUUCCGCCACCUGAUUUCCUUUUGUCAUCUUAGGGCUNNNNNNNNNNNNNNNNNNNNNNNNNNNNNNNNNNNNNNNNNNNNNNNNNNNNNNNNNNCCGUCUCACCACUUUUAUCUUCUACUUCAGAAGGAAACUAACAAAUACAUACCUGUGAAAUGGUGAUAAAAAUUAUUGAGGAUGAACUAAAAUAUUAGCACAGGGCUGAGGGCUGAGAGAGGUAUGCCAUAGCUCAGGUUACAUUUUCACACGAAUUAUCUGGAAUUAGAAAAUACCAGCUAUAUUCUGAAGGAGAGAUUUGGCCAUGUGUGUAAUAUGGGACCCAUCUGCUUGACAGGGUAGGGGUCGGCUCCAACGAAGGGCUCUCUAGGGCUGAUUGUUGAUAGAAGCCAGUAGUGCUGGUGCCUGAAGCAAUCAGUUGGCCAUCCACUUUCCCUCUUGAUAAACAUGGCAUGCUUUCCCAGCCUUCCCAGCCAUACCACAGUUACCUGUGGCUUAGCUUCUUUGCAAAAAAAGGAGGAGAUGGAAAAUGUUGAGUGACUUCGGUUCUCUCACACCCUCACCUCAUGCUGAAGCUGGGAGCUUACCUAUAGCAAUGGUCCUUUUUGGGGACCAUUCUUCCCCAUGGGGAGGGGAUGAGUGAAGAGAAAGACAGCCUUAUGUGUUUGGUCAAGUGGGAAUUUCAGAUUGAAUCUGUUAGCCAAGGAGGCCCCAGAAAAGACUGGGAUGUUGCUGGGAUUUAAUUAUCCUAUACCACGGAGGGCAGAUUCUUAUUUUUGGCCCAGAGUGAAACAGUCUUAAAUGCCGAUGUCUCAGUCUCUGCCCCUGGUACUUCAAAGGGAAUAGAAGGGAGAGGGGAAGGAGACAGGACAAUAACACUCUGCUGUGUACUCGGAUUGUGGUCCACUGACCAGCAGCAUCAGCUUCACCAGAGAGCCUUCUAGAAAUGCCGACUUUCAAGCCCCAACCCAGAGGUACCAAGUCAGAACCUGCAUUUUGCAGGGUACCUGCGAUUCCUGGGGACCUUGAAGUUUUGGAAAAAACACGGCUUUAGGAGGCAGUGACCGUAGUCGAUUGACAGACCAUGAGCAAUGUACCUGUCUUCGCACACUUGGAGAAAUACUGAACAAAUGUGGCGUAUCAACUAUGGGUAUUAAAUGCUGACAAUCAAAGUUUAAUUUUGUUUGCAGCUAGAGACCAGGCCCACUGAUCCUGUUUGACUAAACAGCAGCAUUCUGUUCAGGGAAAGACAGGGGUUUGUUUAGGACACAGAUGACUGCCCCUGGCUUGCUGAUAGCAAGUGAAGAGUUGCUUCCUUGCCCUGGGGCAGAAUGGUUUCCGGGACAACAGUGAAGCCACGCUCUCCUCCCCCCACCCCCUCCCCCCACAUUAACCGUAGAGCAGAGAAUAAAAAGAGCACUUAAUUUUUUUUUUUUUUUCCACAUCACGUUAUUAUCAUGGGUUUCUCAGGGAGAAAAUUUGCAAGAAAGAAAAUCUGCACAUUCUUUAGUGAUGUGCCAAGCAUUUUUUUUUUUUUUCUGGUUUGAACUCAAACUGAUACACCUGACACACGUCAGGGUUAGAUUAUAUUGAUCUAAGUCUGAUUUUAAAACUGUAUCUGUUUGUAAUUCUUCCACACUGUGAUGCAAAGAUUUUUUUGUGUGUUGGUUUUUUCCACUCUCUGUGAUGAUCAUAUGUUACUUCGCUAUAGAUAACAAUCCACUAAGUUUUCUUUUAUAAAAGUAAGAAUUAAGACCAAAAAAACCCCAAAACCCUGUUAUCGAUAAAAGGAUUAAGACUACUAGAAUCAGUCAAGUUGAGGGAGUUAGGGUUAAUCCCAGGGCAUUUCCUUCAAGUGCCAUGAAGAACCCAUCAGCUUGUUAGAAGCCCGUCCACGGCUGUACUCUAGUUGUAGCAGCUGUACUGUCUGGCCUGGGUUAUUUCUGUAGCCCACUAACUGGUCUUGCUCUCUCUUCAGUCUGUUCUCAGCCCAGCCAGAGCAUAUUUGCCUCUGCCCAAAACAGUUGGCUUCCAGGGCUCUCAGAAGAAAACCCAAAGGCCUCAUAGUGUCCUAAGAGGCCCAUCGCUUACCUCUCUGACCCCAUAUCCUAUUACCAUCUCCCUUGCAUAUCCCAGUUAGCAGGCCACACUUCUGCCUCAGGGCCUUUGCACUUACUGAUCCCUCUGUCCGGAACUGUCUUUCUCCAUAUAUUUACAUAACUGUAUCCCAAACUUUCUUUAGGUCUUUGUUCAUAUGUCAGUUUCUCAGCGAGGCUUUUUUUGACUAAUAUAUGUGUUCAUUGUUUGUCUCCUUCUAGAAUAUUACUUCGUUGAGAAGAAGGGAUUUUGUCUUGUUCGUCUUGUGUUCACAGCACUUAAAAUGAUGCCUGGCUUAUUCAAGGUGCAUUGUGUUUGUGGUUUGAAUGAGUGAAGUUGCCCCUUUCCAGCUCCCUGACUAGACAUGAAUUUAGAUCCGAGGGCAUUGUGGGACUUCUUGCUCCCAGUUCUGUUCUCAUUCACGUCACAUAAGAGGGCUAAAACGUUAGGAGAACAUCUUUAAAAUAUUAACCACAGCUGUGAGCCAUUGAAAGCAUUCUACACAGUGAGGAAAUGGCAGCUAAUUGUUGAUUUGUAAGGCAAAUGGGAGAAUAACCCAGCACCAUCCAGGUCCCCUGUGUGCCCGCACCUGGGGAAUAGGAGGGAGGAGCAGUGUCUGGGGCCUCGGUCAGGAGUCGUCACACUUUCUUGCAUGGGCCCUUUGCUUGUGCCUUAUCCCACUCAGUCUCUCGCGUCCCCUCCUCCGAGGAUUAGGCUUUGGGUGUUUGUGUGCACGCGGGUGUGUAUGUACAUUUGUUUGCCAGUGCUGUCUCAUCAGGGGCUUCCUUUGGCCACAGUUUAUGUUUUCCUUUUUGUUUACAGCGUUUCUUAGUAACUCGCUGCCACAAGUCCUCUGCACAGAGUUGCUACCCAAACGUAUCUUGAACUUCGUGCUAUUUCUCUUCUAGUAUCUUAAGAUUUAUUGUGGCCAUGGAAGUCUAGGAAACCGUAAUGUUACAGAAGUGAAUGUAGACAGUGCCCAUAUGACUGUCAUCAUCACAGGGGUAGGAGGACAUCUGGGGAGGACGGAACCCAAACGGGGAAGCCGUAUGGUCUACCUGACAGAAUGGUUCCUGUUUCGGUGAUGGAUGCAGCAGCUUCUAACAGCCCAAAGCCAUCCUUCCUUCGACAAAAUAUCUCUUGAAUGUCCGUGCUUGUGGAAUGUGCUAAUAAAAUGAGCACAGCAUCCACCCGCAUGGAGCUUCUCAUACUCUAAUGAGAGGAAUAAACAAAAUCACGUCACUGUGUAAUUGUAAACUGUGAUAAAUGCUGUGAAGGAGAAAAUCACGGUGCUAUGGGAGCUUAAAAUAGGGGCAUUUGUCCCAGUCUUGGGGUCAGGUCACAUUCGAGCCCAGACUCGCAGGUUACUAGGCACGUGUGUGCUUUGGCAAGGUGGGGGGGGGGGGGGGCAGAAUAUUGUGCCUUAAUUUCCAGGCAGAGGAAAUGAGGUGUGCAAAAUCUCCGAGGUGUUGAGGGUUUUUAUGUAUUGGAGAGAUUGAAAGGAGACCAGCAUGGCUGAAGUGGUUGUGAGGAUGACGGGGACGGUGGUGCCGGAGGAGGCCGGGCAGGUCAGCCAGGGACAGGCGAGGCUUUGGCGUGCACUUUCGGGUCUUUAUCAUGAGCUCAGUGUACAGCCCUAAAGGGGUUUAAGUAAGGCUGAGCCAUGACCUAUUUUCUGUCUUUGAAGGUAUACUCUGUACACAGGGUGGAUCGUGGACUGGAAAAGGAAGAGAGUGGAAGCUGGGCAAAUACCUGCAAGUAUCCUGCGUUUCUCCAGGAGAAGGAUGAUAGGGCGAGAAUGGUGGUGGCACGGUAGCUAGGAACACUUGUCCGGAGGGAGAAUGUUGGAGGCCAGCGGCAUCGAGAUUGUGAUUGCUCUCAUUUGCUCACUGAACAAUCUUCUGUUCGUUUGGCUUGAUCUUAACCUGCCUGUAAGGUGCCGAUACCUGGGAUUUCAGGAAAUACUUGUUGGCUAAAGAAAUGUGAAUACAUUGGUCAAGCUGGACGUAGCAGGUGUCCAGAUUGUCUGGCAAUUACGCUUUUCAUUGUAAAUGAAUAUAAAGGCAGUAUAGCUUUAUGUAUCAGUCUCUUCUGAGCUUUCUUAGCAUGCAUCAGUACUGAUAAACGUAAUCAUUUCUGGAACCUCACUGAGAUAGACUUUUGGAGCCAAGAAAUUUGAAAGACAGUCCUGAAUUACCCGUCAGUCCUGAAUUCUCCGAGGUGAACGUCACCCUGUGGAGACUCUCUGAACAGCUACCUUUCCCUGGCAGUAUCGUCUAUUUUGAUCAAUGCUUUUCCAUUGUCCUUUUUAAAAAAUUUAAGUAAGCCCAAGAUAGUUAUAUCCACGAAUUGUUUCUGUCUCUAGAAUAGCAAUUAUUCCACCCAGUGUGGGAAGGUGCUGCCCACCUAUAAAAAAAGAACUAUAGAAUUUGAUUGUUUAAAAGGCAUAUUAAAUGUAGAAAGAUUGAGAGUCAAGGAGAACCUUGUUCUAAAUUGUUUCCCUGUGCACCUAACUUUUUAUUAUGGCACGUUGAUUUCCUAUGAAACUUAAAGUUUUUGUUUUUCAAAUCAUCUGUUAUCGAGACAUCCGGUGAUACUUGUCUGAAUGGCUCUACCUAGGAACUCUGGGAAGUUGGGCAGCUGAAAUAAUUGUCUAAGGUUUAAUGAAGCCCUUUUGGAGCUCCUGAGUUCAGAAGAUGUCAAAGAAUGGUAUAAAACACAUGUGCACAUUUAUGGCUGACUAUAUUUUCCUCAUCUUUUGCAGGACAAAAAUGGAAGAAACAGAGGUCCUUUUAGAUGGAGCAAAGUGAGCCACUGAACAGGUAGAUAAUUGAAAAUAGCAGGGUGUGUGUAUGCAUUAGCUCAAUGAAUUAGUAUUUGUGAAGUCCUUGGUAGAGUACCCAGUGCAUAGUAAAUACUGUAUGGAAGUAUUUGCUCUUAUGAAAUUCUUUCAAAUGUAACUGAGCCCAAAACAAACCAGUUGUGCAACCAAGAAAGUACCCCACAAAAGCAAGCCUUUGCUCCUAAAGCAACUGAGAACAUCGUCGGUAAAUUCUUUUUUUUAAUCAUUGGUAAAUUCUGACAUGGUCUCUGUGUGACCUGUCAUGCUGGCCUGAGAGACUUAUGGUCUUCUUAAUCUUGGAACACCCAAAGUGUUUGAACACUCAUCCAUUUUUGAAUUUGAGCAUUCGUUCAUCAUGGAUGACCUAUUAAGUGUCAGGUCCAUUUCACUUUUGAAACAAAACAAACUUUUAAAAAAAUUCUUGAAGUAGUUCCUUACCGUUUGGGGAAUGAGAUCACGGAAUUUGAACUGUCCCCUUCCUUGGCCCCUGUGCCUACUUCUCUGGAUCUGCACAGUUCCUGCCUUCUUGCCUCGCUGUGGGGAGACCUGGGUGUCCUGGUGCUCUAGAAUCCCACCUUCCCUCUCAUUUCAGCUCCUCUGUUCCCCUGCCUCCUCAAUAGGUCAGCUCCGUUCAGGACAGGGAGGAAACGCUGGGAGUGGGGCCCACAGUCUGAUUAGGUAGAGCUAGACAUUUCUCUAGAUGGCAUUCAUAUUGCACCUCCUCUCCCCCUGCCCCAGCUUCUGUUUUACAAUUUCUGUAGUUUAUUCUUUUUUUUUUUUUUAAAUUUUUAAUGCUUAUUUAUUUUUGAGAGAGAGAGAGAGAGAGAGAGAGAGAGACAGAAUGUGAGUGGGGGAGGGGCAGAGAGAGAGGGAGACACAGAAUCCGAAACAGGCUUCAGUCCCCGAGCUGUCAGCACAGAGCCCGAUGCGGGGCUCCAAACUCACGAACUGUGAGAUCAUGACCUGAGCCCAAGUCGGAUGCUUAACCGACUGAGCCACCCCGACGCCUUGUAGUUUACUCUAAAUAUUCUGUUGUUUUAUGUUUUGUCAUGUCUCCCUUCUGCGAUUUUUGGAUAUUACCUUUGGAAAUUAACUCUUCUGUUUGGAGAUGUUCCCGAUGACAUUGUUUACUUGUGAGAGCUGGGCGCUGGUGGAGCACUCGGUAUGUCCGUGGCUUUCAGACCUUUAUGUUGGAAGCCCACAGGAAGGGACCACGUGCUGCACCAGGAGCCAGUGCACACCUUCGUGCACGUGGCUGUACGGUUUCCCGAAGUCAUACCUUCGCUGUUUGUGAAUUGUGAUAGAAUGUCCUAGUCUGUUGUAUUUGAUCCCUUUUUUUUUUUUUUUCUCUUUUUUCUCACGUCUUUUCUCUUUAAUGCUUUGCAUAACCUACAACUGCUGGUCAGUUGUACUCUGACAGGCUUGCAGUAUUUUUAGGUGGUGGCAGGGGCACAUGCUUUCUUCCUGGCCAUAUUCUGUAGUAAUGUGCACAGGUCUCUUUUACCCCUACGCACUCCUUCAGACUUGCCUUAUUUUCAUUCCUUAUGUGCAAACCUUCUCUUUCCUUUUGUAACUAAGCUUCUGUUUCUAUUCCACGUACUCCUCACUUCUCAGCUUUCUUUCUGUUUGAACUUUGAUUUCCUCUCCUGACCGAUAGCCAAGAAUCAUUUUACCACUUUUUAAAAAAUCUUAUUUUUUAUUUUUUAAUUUUUUUUUCAACGUUUAUUUAUUUUUGGGACAGAGAGAGACAGAGCAUGAACGGGGGAGGGGCAGAGAGAGAGGGAGACACAGAAUCGGAAACAGGCUCCAGGCUCUGAGCCAUCAGCCCAGAGCCCGACGCGGGGCUCGAACUCACGGACCGCGAGAUCGUGACCUGGCUGAAGUCGGACGUUUAACCUUAAGACUGCGCCACCCAGGCGCCCCAAAAAAUCUUAUUUUUAAGUAAUCUCUACAUGGAGCUUGAAUUCAACAACCCCGAGAUCAAGAGUCGCACACUCCACUGACAGAGCCAGCCAGGCACCCCUCAUUUUACCAUUUUGAAUGAAACAGAUUCCUAUGUACUAUUAGGUCUUGCAUAUUAAAUGUAAUUUUCAAAAAGUAACACUUAUUUUUCAUUAAUUCCUGUAUUUGCUUAUAUCCCCAUAUGCAGUUUUUCAGAAGCCUUACUUUUCUGACGGUCUGCUCUCACAAUUCAUGCCCUUGCACGGUCCAGGGAUCACAGAAGUCUAGUAAUGCGGGAGUCUUCUCUACCCUGUUAUCUUUUGGGUUGGUGUCAUGGGUUACAGAGAGACAUCUGCUGGCUCAAAUGUAGUGUUGCAUUGUUUUUCUAUCCUGAAGUUUAGUGUAUUGUCAUUUUUAGGACCUUAAAGUUUCAUAGUGCGCAGGUAAGCUUUUCCAUUGGAAUGCAUUGAAGUCAUUCACCUAAUCCCUUCAAGCGUUUUUUUUAGGAUUUCCAGCUCAGCAUGUAAUGAACUGAAAAGUACUGGUAUCAUACCACCCAGUCAAGAAGCUGACACCUAAUGGGGAAAAGGAUUUCAUGGCCAAACUAGAUUCCUUCCCUUCAUGUGCUCUUAGUGGGACCACAAAAUGAUAGUUUAGUAAAACACCCAGUAAGCCAAGAUCCAUUUAAAACUUCUGGAAAUGAGAAUUCACUUUUCCAAGAUAGUUAAGACCUUAAGUUUUACACGGUUUAGGUUUGCAGCUUGGUUGUAUACGAGUGGUACAUUUGGUUCUGGUUAUAGGACUAGUGCUGGAAAGCAGGAAUCUAAAAUCUAUUGCUUAUUUAUUUGGAAGCUGUAAUUGGAAUAUUGUAAUGGCUUCUGUGCAGCGCUUGUAGCAAAAUUUUUGUUCAUUUCAGAGGCGAGUUUAUUUCUCUAGGAAUCAUAAUUAUAUACACCUAAGAUUACUCAGUGCACACAACAGCUUUUAAAGAUUAUAGUGUGCAAAGUGGUUCUUUUGAACAAAAGUAGUAUUCACCUGUCUUUGAGGAAUAUUUCUAAGGUUUUGUAGGCAAUAAAGGAGGCAGCAUGCUCCAGUUUUCUGUCCUUGUUUACUCCUGGUACACAAUCCAUGCCUGGAAGCCAGUGAAAAAACACCAGAAUUUGUGUGUCCGUUCCUUUAAUCAAGGGCUUUGAGAGCGUACAGGAGAGAGAGCUAAAACCGUGCCCUGCCAUGGCUCCAGCUCACAGCAGUUGUCUCUUCUCCCGUCCAUUUCAAAAGAUAAACUAAGUGUCAUCGAACAAGAUCAUACCGGCUUCGGGGAAAGGCAGAAAAGGAUGUUAUUAAUCGUCCAAGAGGACAAAUUACGGCAGAAAUCUAAACAGUAUCUGGGAACAUCAAAUACUGUGUUUGAAUUUAACAACCCCACACAAGAAGAACGACACGCAUUUUUUAAAGUAUUUCAUACUUGGGGCGCCUGGGUGGCGCAGUCGGUUAAGCGUCCGACUUCAGCCAGGUCACGAUCUCGCGGUCCGUGAGUUCGAGCCCCGCGUCGGGCUCUGGGCUGAUGGCUCAGAGCCUGGAGCCUGUUUCCGAUUCUGUGUCUCCCUCUCUCUCUGCCCCUCCCCCGUUCAUGCUCUGUCUCUCUCUGUCCCAAAAAUAAAUAAACGUUGAAAAAAAAAAUUUUUUUUUAAAGUAUUUCAUACUUGCCUAAUUUUUCUGGCCAUCUUCCUUUAUGCCUGUUCGGAGAGGGGAACCUGAGAAGAAAAUAGAAACUAUUUUUCCCUUAAUCAAGGCACCUAGAUUGUCAUGAGAAGUGGGAGAAGUCACAUCAGGUAGCCAAGCACUUCUUCUAAAAGCAUGAAGGAAAGAAACAAGACAGCAAACAACAAGAUCUGAAACAAAGUGUGUUAUGGGUUGUGAGUUUUGAACUUCAGUGCUAAAGUUGGCUUAUGGUAUUGUCAUGAAACAAGAUGCGUGAAAUGCUUGGAACACGGUCAGCGCUCAGUGGGUAGCAGCCGCUGUUGCAGUGCACGAAGGUACUCCGUGGCACCCUCCGUAAAUUCUUCUAGUUGUGUUUCUUCUAGGCAGGGAUGGAUUUGUUUUGAUCCAGCCUAUAUUUUUCGUGAUGGUGUGUAUGGCAAAGGAAACAAUAAUGUUAAUGGCAUUUAUUAUUUUCCCACAUUCUAAGCCUUGCGUGAAGAGCGUGAGGGAAGAUAGUGCGCCAUCCCGGUUUUACAGAAUGUGCGUGUUAUAAGAAGGCUUAGUUAGACUAGCGUGUGGAAGAACUCUGUUACCUAGCCCCUGUUGGGAAUCAGCACUAGCCAGUCUCAUCAGAACCAUAUGCUGGUUGGCUCUGAAUAAUGUUGCAGCUGUAUAUAAGCUUUAAAAAAAACUUUGUUUUACAUUGUUCAUUAGCUGUGAUAGCCAGAAGGGAAAGUACCAGUUACUGAAAGAAAGUGGGGUUUAAUAACAGAAUUAAAAAGUAACUCAGAGGGGCGCCUGGGUGGCUCGGUCGGUUAAGCAUCUGACUUCAGCUCAGGUCAUGAUCUCGUGGUCCGUGAGUUCGAGCCCCGUGUCGGGCUCUGUGCUAACUGCUCAGAGCCUGGAGCCUGUUUCAGAUUCUGUGUCUCCCUCUCUCUCUGCCCCUCCCCUGUUCAUGCUCUGUCUCUCUCUGUCUCAAAAAUAAAUAAAUGUUUAAAAAAAAAAAAAGUAACUCAGAGGGGCGCCUGCCUGGCUCAGUUGGUUAAGCAUCUGACUUCAGCUCAGGUCGUGAUCUCAUGGUCCGUGAGUUCGAGCCCCGCAUCAGGCUCUUUGCUGACAGCUCAGAGCCUGGAGCCUGUUUCAGAUUCUGUGUCUCUCUCUCUCUGCCCCUUCCCCGCUCAUGCCCUGUCUCUCUCUGUCUCUCAAAAAUGAAUAAACAUUAAAAAAAAUAAAAAAGUAACUCAGUUUUCUAAGUUUGGAGCAUUGCUUUUUACAGUCUACUGGUUAGUCCUCAGGGAUAGAGUAGUGGUAAUAUUUUCUAAAAAGUUAAAAGUAGCCUCUUUUAAAAUGUGCGUAAUCAGAAUAUCCUCGUGUUUUCAGAUGUACUUAGUAUAUCUUGCUAUUUCAGUAGGAAAUGGUCUUUUUAAGGUAGACAGAUUCCAAAGGAUUUCAGUAUUUUGGGUAUGUCUACAUCAAUAAUGGGAAGAAAAUAAAUCCAGGACCUCUGAUUGAAGAGGCAAAUAACUAUGUAUCUAUAACCAAUUUUCAGUUUACCGCCUUCAUAGCAUGAGUAAUCAAAAAUUCCCUUUUCGCGAUAACUUACUUUCUUGUUUAGUUUUUGCUUUGGGGUUCUUUGUUUUCUGGAGUGCAGAGGAACUGCCAGUGGGUUCAGAAGUGGCUUGUAUAGGGGCGCCUGGGUGGCUCAGUCGGUUGAGCGUCCGACUUCGGCUCAGGUCACGAUCUCAUGGUUUGUGAGUUCGAGCCCCGCGUGGGGCUCUGUGCUGACAGCUCAGAGCCUGGAGCCUGCUUCCGAUUCUGUGUCUCCCUCGCCCACUUGCACUCUGUCUCUGUCUCUGUCUCUCUCUCAAAAAUAGAUAAAUGUAUAAAAAAAUUUAAAAAAAAAGAAGUGGCUCAUAUGUAUCUGUGGAAGAGAGGAAUAUCCCUGUAACUUAAAAUAUAUCGCAGAUAUUGCCAGGUGUCAGAAGUAAUGCAUUGGGAGUUUAUUACAUUUCAUAUUCAUUUGCCUAAUCCUAAAACUAUGAAAGUCUAGGGCAAAGCAGGAGUUUAACGAGACAAUCUGCUUGAGGAGCUCUCUUGGCCCCCCUCCCCUCCUCUUCCCAUCUUUUUUUUUCUUUUCUUUUAAGAUGAAAUUAAUGUAGGAUUAAGAUCAAAGAUACUUGAAGGGGAAAAUAAGUUGCAAAAUAAAUUAAGCUUGUGAAUUUGGAAUUGAAAGGUAGGUUAGAGGAUGUUUACCUUAACGUUUUCAAUUUGCAGGUAAGGAAAGUGAGUUUCCCAGAGCUCCUGGGGCUCGCACAAGGCCACGGAGCUAAUAAGAGGUGAAACUGAUCCUGACACAUAGAUAGGACUUAUUCAACCAGAAACUUCAAUGGGAUUUUUUUUUCACCUUUAUUGAGGUAUAGUUGACAAAUAAUAUGGUAAAACAAAGCGUACAACAGCGAUUUGACAGAUGUAUACCUGGUCAAAGGAUUUCUUUCACUUGAAUAAUUUUCAAAAACGGCUAUUUAACUCAGCCUCCUUUUGCCUUUUGUUUUUUGUUCUUUAACAUACUAUUUGGAAAGUAUGGGUCUUAGCAGAAUGUCCUGGAAAGCAGAGCCUACUCAUAUACCCAGUGCUGUUUUUUCCACUCUGCUACAUUGAGGGUGGCCUGACAUGUGCACAGACAGGAGAGGAAGAGAGAAGCCCAAUCUUUGCCUCAGUGACCAUGACGCUGGUGUGGGAUAACUUGUAAACCUGGAACCACUUCCUUUUCUAACAGUGGUUGCUCCCUGGGAAGUUCUGUGUCUCUCUCAGCUGGUGUACCCCUAUUCAGCCUAGAAAACAACACCCCUAAUUCCUGUAAUCUAGGGAGGCAUCCAGCAGAUCCCCUCAAUAAACAAAAUGCUCCUGUUUGGAAGGUUCUUAUCCAUAUUAUUUUUUACUGGUGUAGAAGCAUCUGGAUGGCUGUCUUAAAAUGAAAGUGCUCUUGGUCCCAAGUAAUGAAACAGAGUAAUUGGGCAGCAAAAUGAGCAUCACCACCAAGAAAAGUCCCACUAUGUAAUACCACUAGUAAAAAGUGUCAUAUUCUACCCACAGGCUGUAUCUUUUUUAGAAACUGCUCAACUAGAUUGGUACAUACUUGAAUCAUCCUUUUUUUUUUAACUAUAGAAAAUGUACCCUAACCCAUGUGAAAAGUAUUGGUUUUAGAUGCAGUGAAUACCUGUUAGAAAUCUAAUCUGACCUAGAAAAGAAGUACCUUUGAAUAUACCUAAAAAUAACCUAAAAUUAUUAUAGUGAUAAAUAGUAAAAUCCUAUUUCUGGCUUUUGCUAUGACUUUGACACAGGCAUCCACACAGUUACUAUUCAAUUAGAAAUUUUAUUUUGACAGAACUCUACCUUAUAUGUAUUUUUAAAAGUGUUACAUUGCCUUACUUUUUUUCUUUGGUUGACUGAUUGGUAAGUAAUCUUCUAAACCCAGUGUGGGCCUGAAUUCACAACCCCCAGAUCAAGAGUCAUAUGCUCUUGCCACUGAGCCAGUCAGUACCUCCACCAUUGUGUUACUUUUUUCUUUUUAAGUUUAUUUAUUUUGGGAGGCGGAGGGGCCAAGAGAGGGAGAGAGAGAAUCCCAAGCAGCCUCUGCACUGACAACUCAGGUUCGAUCUCAUGACCUGUGAGCUCUUGACCUGAGCCAAAAUCAAGAGCCCGUCACUUAACCCACUGAGUCACCCAGUUGACCCCGUUGUUUUACUUUCAAUAGACUUUUUGGAGUAUGUAAUAUGUAAACAGAGUAUGAGAAAGCGUUGUCACAAUACACUUAGGCCUCAGAUUUUAACUUUGUUAUCGGAGUAUUUCAUUGCAUUUUGAAAGAAUCCUGAAUUACUUGAAUAAUUGAAUUCUCCACAUACAGUACAUUAUUAUGCAUUAAUUUUUUAAUAGCUUUUUUAAGUUUGAAAGAUAAUCCUGUUUGGCCACAAGGCAUUUUUAUGAGGAAAGUUUCAGAUUAUGUGGCCGAGGUGUGGGGGUCAGAUGAAGAUCCAAACAUGGUUUCCCUUUGGUUCUGGGAUUCAUUUGCAUGGGCCGUUUUAAUUCAGAUGGUAUAGGAAGAGGAACAGUACUUUUCUUCUGCUUCCAGUGUGGAGAAGCACAUUGUGUUUGCUCAGCACUUAAACAGUGCUGUGUCAGUUUCUUACUCGUGAACCUGGUAGCUGGGAAUGCUAACCUUGCUACCGAGGAUAGUGUCGAUUUUUAUUUAUUUUACUGUCUGUCUAGGCUCCGCGUGCACAGCUUACUCUAUUUACCUGAUGGCAAAGCUGGGUAGAUUGGAGGAAAAAGAAAGCUUUGGUUUAUAAUGCUUUCAUACUUUUCUGAAAGAUGAUGGUGCACCUGUCACGGUGUGUAUUAUACCUGCGAUAUCUUUGGAUCUUGUUUGAAACCCGUGUGUAGAAUAACAUAAGUGGAUGCAAAGAAGGAAGCACUCCUCAGAGCUCUGUGUAACCCAGACUGGCAGUAAACACAAGGGCUGCCGGCUGCCCGCUGGUUUGUGGAGAUAAGACACGGAAGGAAUGUGUUAGAAAUGAUUGGCUAGGGGGCGCCGGGGUUGGCUCCGUUGGGUAAGUGUCCGACCUCAGGUCAGGUCGUGAUCUCAUGGUUCGUGGGUUCGGGCCCUGCGUCGGGCUCUGUGCUGACAGCUUAGACCCUGGAGCCUGCUUCAAAUUCUGUGUGUGUGUCUCUCUCUCUGCCCCCACCCCCCCGCCUCUGUCAAACAUAAAUAAAUAUUAAAAAAAAAAAAUGAUUGGCUAAUAGGAAAGUUUAAGCAUCCAAUAAUGAAUUCUUUUUAACUUUAAAUAAAUAAAGGAAGCUCGAGGCGCCUGGGUGGCUCAGUCGGUUGAGCGUCCGACUUCAUCUCAGGUCAUGAUCUCACAGUCCGGGAGUUUGAGCCCCUCGUCGGGCUCCGUGCUGACAGCUUGGAGCCUGGAACCUGCUUCGGAUUCUGUGUCUCCCUCUCUCUCUGCCCCUCCCCAGCUCAUGCUCUGUCUCUCUCUCUCUGUCAAAAGUAGAUAAACAUUAAAAAAAAAUUUUUUUUUAAAUAAAUAAGAGCUCAACUCAUUACCGAAAAGCAGGGACACACUCAGUUGCAUUUUUACAUGUUUUCUCAGGAGGGAAAGAAGAGAUGGAGUUUGAACUAAUUUGUUGGGAAGCGUGUUCAGAUGCAUCAGGGUAUCAGAGUGUAAAAGAGGCUAACUCUCUGUGGCAUAGAUGAUGGACUUGAACCGCAGGAGAAAGAAGCAGGACAUCGAAGCCCAGGCAGUAGUGUUAGGAGCAUAAGUUUGCCUUUGGGUGUAUUUAUUCCCUGCUUCCUCCCUGUCACAGACUUACCUCUAUUAGGGAUGACUGUGGAAUGAACUGUUAAGGAUGCCAUACAACAAAGAGGGAAGGCUCGAGAUCCAGACUUCUGGGUUGAGAUAUGGCUCUGCCUCAAAGGCAGAUAACUUAAUUCUCAGUCUCCUCAUCCGUAAAACAUGGAGAGCAUUAGUAUUUACCUUUGUGGGGUUCUUGGGAGGAUCAAAUGAGUUAAUGACAUGUGAAGUGCUUAGAACCCUGUCGGGCGUGUAAUAAGCAUUGGGCGUGUGUUAACUAUUCCUAUACGAUGUGACCUUACUUAAUUUUUUAAAAUAAUUUCACCCUCUCUCCAUAGCCUCUGCCUAGAGAGAAUAGACACUAAACUGAUGAAUGAGUGGAUAAUGACUUGAAUGGUAUCUUUACGGUGGUUGACUGGUAAUGUAAAUGCAUCUUCCGUUGUGGGUCACUUUCCAAGAUGAGGCCAUGUAAGCACAGCACGGAUUAAGUUAAAUCCACACAUGUAUCCCUCCCACCUGUUUUCAAACAUGAUCUUUAAUCUUCUUUGCUAAUAAACCAUUUUCUUUCCUAGGACUCAAAGAAAGGAUUAUGUUUGUGAAAAAGUAGCACAUAACACACACACACACACACUAAAGUAACAACUAUUUUAUGAAACAGUAAUUACACUAAGUGUGAAAAACUCUUUUCUGUUUUAUUCUAUUCUCUGCUUAUAGUGCAUCUAAUUUAUUUUACAAGCCACUAAUGGAUUACCCUGCAGUUUGAAGAACCCUACAUUAGACAAGUUUGACUCUUGUCCAGAACCAAAUAGGGAUUGUAACCCAUAUUCCCUUCCUUUUCAUUCUCUUUCCAUAAUUGUCCUAUAAUGGAACUGGAAUUCACCAGCUUUAGACAUACACGGUCACACUCACUCAAAAAUGCCGUCCCAUCUAUUCAGUAAGUCCAGAUUUUGUGUUGUCAUAAGAAAGAGCUUUAAAUAUUACUGUAUUUCAGAUUUCCUUUUAGCACGUUUAUAACAUUAAAAAGGCAUAUAGCUUGGGAUACCUGGCUGACUCAGUCGGUGGGGUAUGCAACUCUUGAUCUCAGGGUUGUGAGUUCGAGCCCCACACUGGGCAUAGAGCUUACUUGAAAAAAAUUUCAUGGGGCUCAUAUCACUAUAAGACAGGGUCCAGUAAGCAUUGUCAGGAGACCGUUUAAGGUUAGGUAUGAUAAUAGUAACCGAUGUCUCAGAUAAUGAUAAUAUAACUUCAGUUCCAUCCCACCCUCCCCGAUUAAAUAAGGAAUUAACUGUGUUGUACAGAAAAAUGAUUUUAUUGUUAGAACAGAGCUCCAGAGAGCUGUUAUCCUGUAUGGUCGGUCUAUAGGCUUGGUUUGUUCCUUCUUUUUGGCCAGCAUCGGUUGCUUGGGAGCCUGCUGCUUAGAGCUCUUCAUGCCCCGUGGCCAUGAAGCUGAACACACACCACUCACUACCCCAUGCUGAGCCUUGACUCUAUUCUCAUCGACUGAGUCCCCAGCCAGGCCAAAUAACUGCUUCUUUUGAAAGAUUGACAACCAAAUUCUUACCAGAUUGAAAAUGCGAAGCCUUCCUAGAUUGUAAACACUUGGCUUUGUACACAUUCUGGUCACAUUCAUGACCAUUUGCACGUUGCCUUUGGUCAGUCUUCCGUACGCUCUGCUCCACACAAUAGCCAGACUGUCCUGGCUCAGCUGGAGAAGUCUAAUCCAACAUUUUCCCAUCUUAUUUGGCAGAACUCUAUUAAAUUCUCUUCUUUCCCCAUCCCCUUUUUAGGUUAUAGUCUUCAUUAAUUCCCUCCAUUCAUGCUACCAUGUUUCCCUAUAUUUCAAGUAAAUCUCUCUUUUUCUAAGCUUUUUUUUCUUUCUUCCCUCUGUUAAGUUUUGGAGAGCCCCCAGUGAUGCUAGUCGUAGCUAUAAGCUCAAGGGUAGGGAUAUAAUAGUGGUCAAGAGAGAAGAAUGGAGUAUAUUUGGAGGUACAAUAAGGCAUAGUAACCAAUGUCAUCAACUUUUGAAUGAUUUUAAUUGUCUUAGUGUAGCCAUCCUCUUCUGAUUAAACUUUCUCACACUUGCAUAUAGAAAAAUCAAAAUCAUUCUUAUUUGUAUUAGUUUAUUCCUUAUGUAAUUACUAGUGUUGUUACAUAGUUACAAUAUACAUUUCAUUUCAGGUGCAUAGUAUUACAGAUACCUUAUAAGUGAAAUAAGUUUCUGUGGUGGGAUCUGUGCACUAUCACUAACAGCAUCAUUCCUAAGGGAAAAGUAACACCAGUUCUGAACCCCAACCCUGGUUUGGGUAACAUAACCAGGUAUUUGAGGACUGUUUACUGUCCUUAUUUCUCUUAACCAUGCUUUUUGUUCCUGGAAAGAGGUUGACUAUUUUAAAAUCAUCUAAGUACUACUAGAGUGCUUCCAUAAUUACUUUUAAUAAUCAAUUAAAAUGAAAAUCAUGGGAGAAUUCACAGUAUUUUGAAAUGAGAAAUAUGGUUAAUCAUGGAUUUUGAAAUGACAAGUCGCUUUUAUUCUUUAUAUGUAUGUGAAUGUUUAGGAUACAGUCUCAGACCUAGAGUUUGCUACUUUUAAACACUGUGUUUAUUCUGAGGGACAGAACUUCCCCCCCGAUUCAAGUUACUGGUUCCAGGUGACCCUGGCCAUUUUCUCGCAUGAACACCAGAAAUAUGUUGUCUUUGCCUGAUGAGACACAAUAACCUUUUUAAAUAAGACUGGGGAACAGCAGCCAGAAAAUGCUUAAAAAUAGAAAAGGCUAUUACACUUUCUUGUUAGCAGAAUAUUAGAAGCAUUGACUCUUCAUAAGGGCAUUUCAGUCUUUGUUCUCUGUGCUGAUCUGGUAUUACACUUUUUAAAAUAAUGAUUACCUGGCAACACUUUAAAUCCAUUUUCAUACUAAAUCUCAAGGUAGUAUUUUUUUGUUUUUGGCUUGAGUUUUAUAGUAUAUAGUCUGAAACUUACCGUAUCAUAAGUGGCAAGCUAAUGGUCACUGGUGAAAGUAGGAUCAGAGCAGGGGAUCUUACAUGUCCUGGUGAUGUUCUUACUCAUUUAAAAUGAAUUAUCUUGGGGCACCUGGGUGGCUCAGUUGGUUAAGCAUCUGACUUCAGCUCAGGUCAUGAUCUCAUGGUUUAUGGGUUCAAGCCCUGCAUCAGGCUCUGGGCUGAGAGCUCAGAGCCUGGAGCCUGCUUCAGAUUCUGUCUCUUUCUCUCUGCCCCUCCCGUGCUCACUCUCUGUCUCUCAAAAAUAAACAUUAAAAAAAAAAAACAACCUUUAAAAGAUAAAAUUAAAUUAAAUUAAAUUAAAAUAAAAUAAAAUGCAUUAUCUUGACAAGAUUUUGUGUUUAUAAAAUGACUUUGAACUUGCAAAUAUCCUAAGGAUAUUGUUGCCAAAGAGAUACAAAUAAAGACCAUAAUUUAAGCCAAAUAUGACAUAGAAUUACUGAGUUUAGUGUAGUAAGCAGCAUUUGAAAUGUGAUUUGAUGCUUAAGAAAUUGUGCCCGACUUGGAGACACAAAGGCAUACAUAGAAUAAAAUACAGUAUGAGUUUUAAGAUGGCACCAAGGUAUGGGAUGGGAAGAGAUAAAAUAGAGCCUUUCGGGUUUGGCAGCGUUGCCUCAGUAGCCACCUUGGGGGGGAUAAUGAGUAAAGUGGGCCCAAAAAACCCCCAGGGAGGGACUUUGCACCCUCAGGUCUUCCACAUCUACUAAGGACAUUCCGCUUUCAUCUGGUGCACGGAUGGAGCUUUCUCCUAAGGUUUUAUUUGGGGGAAUAAGAGUAGUUCCAGUGCUCACAUCUAGUUUGAGAACCAUUGUCCUGCCAGGUGUAGAUUUUCCUGUUAGGCAAAAUACUUGGAGCACCAGAUACACCAGACCAGCUCAUCGUAAGGAGGAAAGGUAUAAAGUCAGUGUCCUUAUUGUCAGAUGCCACAUGUGCUGGUCAUCCUGAUGCACAGAGGGGGAGCGAGCACUGGAGAGCUUAUUUUGAAAUGUUUUGCUUUCUAAGUUGGGGUCCCCAUAUCCAGAAAAAUUCCUUAGAAACUUUGUAUGUAUUGGAGGAAAAGGUAAAACCCUUUUUUAUUAAAGUAAGACAUAAUUUUCAUACUUGUUGGUGAUGUUCAAAAAAACAUUUUUUUUUUUUUUUGUUCAUGUUAUAAUGAUAGGGUUUCCCCCCAGCACUUUGCACUGAAGUAAAUUGACUGGACAAAAUGGAGAACAGGUGAUUUGAAAACCAUUGUAAAUAUUCUGAAAGUCCCCACAAUGUUAGGUUGGAUAAAGAAUGUACCAAGAACAAGAAAUAUGGAAGUGUGGCACCAUUUCAGAUACAUUUCUCAGUUUCUUUUUUAAAAAAUCUUUUUUAAACAACAUUUAUUUAUUUAUUUUGAGACGAGGAGGGGCAGAGAGAGAGGAGAGAGAGAGAAUCCCAAGCAGGCCCUUUGCUGUCAAUGCAGAGCCCGAUGCGGGGCUAUGACGCAGGGCUCGAUCUCACAAACCAUGAGAUCGUGCCCCGAGCCGAAAUCAAGAGUUGGAUGCCUAACCGAGACCCCCAGGCGCCCUGAAAAUAUCUUUUAUGUGCAGGGGGUAAUGGGGUGGAAGUAGGCACAGGGGGCCAGUGCAAAGUCAGUCGUAGGCAACGCGCUGCUGGUGUUCCUGCUGUUAGAUGUAGACUCCUGAGCAUAUGUAUUAGUACACUUUUGCAGAAGUUAUUUUUUGUUGAGACUUUUAUGGCAGACAGAACUGGCAGAAAGUUCUUCGUCUGGUGCCUGGAGCAUAGUAAGCAAUCAGUAAACAUUAGUGUCCUCUCUUCUUCUGUUUCUCCCUCUUGUUUUUAGCAGUGUAUUUUAUCUUGUUUUCCAGUGGCAGCGUCUUUUAAUGUAAUGUUCAUUUCACCCUUGAGCACUGCAUUUUUCAGGUUCUGAAGCUCAAGCUUUUCUCCCUUAAUAGAGGGAUAGAGAGGUGGGGGGGGGGCAGCGGCAGGUGGAGGUCAGGUGAACCCAGUCUGGCUCUCCUUUUCCCAGUUAAAGCCACAGAUUGUUCUGGGGAGGCUUUAGUGUUCUUAUUGCUUCUGAUUUCAACAGUAAUCGAAGACAAAACAAUUGAAUAAGAAAGGAAAGUGGCAGCAACUGUUAUCAGUUGUUCAGUCCCAUUGUCAGGAAGACCUACAAUCUACUUGCCAUGCAGAUUCCUGGGUUCUACCCCCAGAGACUCUGAGUCCACUCUCAGGUCAUUCUAACGCGCAUGGUCCAAGGACUACGUGCUGAAAACCUCUUAAUUCUAGAAAGAUCCGUUUACACCAUUGCUCCAUUAUUCUUGUUUUCAUUCCUUGGUUGAUCAUUACUGUAGCACAAAGAUCAGAUUUCUUUUGAGAGUUUUCACCACUCCUUGGUAAUUCUGAGCCUCCAAACCAUGGCUCAGAAUUCUUGGCUUAAAAAUAAUGUGUACCAUGCCUAUACCAAUGCAUAACUCUUACGCCGUCAUAUAACAGGAGAAACUUUGGCGGUGGUUUGAGAUUAAUUUGUAAAUUGCCGGUGUUGACACAAUAAUUCUUUCUUUCAUUGGCAUUGCCUAGUGAAGCAGUCUCACUGUGGUUUGUUCUCCUCGUGGUUUCCGUAGUGUUAGAGAUUCUGCUACAGAAAAACGAACCCUUUCUGGUUUUGAAUCACUCAGGAGUUACUCUUGACUCUUUAUAUAAGAGGCAUGUCCUGGGAGGGGGCAAAUCAGACCUCCACACGCGUUGCCCUCUCCUAGCCAAUAGCUUGCUGAGAACGUGGAUAUUACAACGUGCAGUUUCAUUCAUCAAGGGGAUUUUCAGGCUCUAGCAGCAAACUGCUUUGAGUUUUUGGGUGAAUGCUGGGCUUUUGGGUCUUUGCAUUAACUCUGCCGUAGAAUCAAGCAGGUGCAUCUGGCUGUUAGAAGAAUUAAUGAUCGUGAUUCAGGUAAGGAUAAAUUGGAGAAGUUACUUUCUUUUUUUCCCUUUGGGUGGGUUUGAGAUUUUAGAAGAAUUAGUCCUCUCUUUGAGAAGAGCUCAGAACUAUUUAAGUUAGUCCCUCUGAAUUGCUUUAUAGUGUUACUCAGUGUAUCAUCGUUUUAAUGUGAAAUCCACCCUCUUCAAAAUGUAGUUUCAUUUUCAAACAUUAAAGUGAGGAUUCCGUUUUACUUUCUGUGCAUGAAAUUUUUUAAAUGAAAGAACUAUAGUUGCUAAGAUACUAAUUACACAUAGUUUCCUGGUUUGGAGCUGAAGUCUUAUAAUUUUAGAAAGUAUGCUUUAAAGGUUGGGCAGGGGAAAUCGAUGGGUUUGCAUUUGAUUUAUAAAACAAUGAUGUUACAUGUGUGUCAGACUUUUCCCUAUUAAAGGCCAAAUUUUGAGAUAGACCGCUUAAUCUGUUCUGACGUGAGAUUCCCCCACCCCCCAUCUCUCCUCUCUCCGUGUUUCCUGGUGGUGGGAUCCACUCAGCUCCUCCGCUCAGGCAUGUGGUUUAGUCUGUGUACAUUCAGUGCAGUGGCAUUUUUCUUGAAAAAGUGACUAAGGCUUCUUGGAUGAAUUCUGUCUUUGAAAGAGGUGGUAGAGUUGCAUCAGAAAAGCAUUUACAGUAAAUGGCUCCCCCCCCUUUCCUGUAAUGACCACAUGUGAAAGAAUGCAUUAAUUCUUGUUUUGAGGAAAUGAGAGUUGUAGAAUUCUAUGAAAAACUCCCUUUUUAUCAUUAAUUAACCAGAUUUGAAUGUUAAAAAUUCUAAAAUCUGAACCACUUUCUGCUGUGUAAAUAAAUGUCGCAAAAAUAUCCAGUUUUUCACUCCAUAUUCUAUAUGGAGUAACCACUUAUAUUGAGUUCAAGAAGAGAGGAAAUAAUGUUGACGAUGGCACUAGUUAAAGCAUACGCCUAACCUAAAUUAGUUUCUUCAUAGUCAUUUUCCAUAUUAAAUUAAUAAUUUCUUACGUGUGUUGCUGAUUUGUUUCAGGAUUUGUUUCUCUGUGUGGUAGAAGCUGAAUCUAGAAGGAAACUCCCAUAGCUCAUCUAGCCAGGGGUUCUCUUGGGAAAAGUACCGCCCCCUAGGGGACCUGCUAGGAAUGAGAUAGUGUUUGGUUCUGCAGUGAAGGGCUUUUAAUGGAUGGGAGCCUUGAGAUUUUAGAUGUUCCACCGCGGAAAAGACAGAAAGAGCUGUCCUUUAUCCCCCGUGACUUUCAACUGUCAUUUUGGAUAUAAAAAUAUGUUUAUAAUUACUUGAGCCUUGAGUUAAGUCCAUUUUAUGUAAGGAUGCAGGAUAACAUUUACAUACUUUUAUUUUUUUUUUUUAACGUUUAUUUAUUUUUAAGAGAGAAAGAGACAGAGUGGGAAUGGGGGGGUGGGGGCAGAGAGAGAGGGAGACACAGAAUCUGAAGCAGGCUCCAGGCUCUGAGCUGUCAGCACAGAGCCCAAUGCGGGGUGCGAACUCACAAACUGCAAAAUCAUGAUCUGAGCCGGAAGUCGAAAGCUUAACCGACUGAGCCACCCAGGCACCCCUUGCAUACUUUUAAUAUACACAGAAUAUACUUAUUUUCAUCCUUUGGCCCACCCGUACCUCUCCUAUUUCGUUUUCCAGUACUUUUAAGAUGGAAGGCUUCUGACUUGGCUCCUCUGAAUCCAAGCUGUUCUUUAUAAGUAAGUUGUAAGCAUUUCAUUACAUAGUUAAUUGGACCUAAAAAUUAUUUAUAUAUUAUUUGUAUAUUGGGUAUAUAGUGUUUUAUUAUAAAUUGUUUUUCUUUUACUUUCUCCUUUAUAUUACAUUUAGAGCAUUAUAUUGAUGUUUUAAAGGUUAUAUGUAUGCUAGUUACUAUUUAUUAAUGAAUUUUAUUUCAGAAUAGCAAAUAGGGCGUUACAGAAUUUUUGGUUCUAAAAACAGGGCUUUGGGACUAGUAGGGUUUUGAACCAAUAAUCCAUUCUGUCUCUCUACUUUCAGGAGGGACAGUAUGCAUGCAAGCCACCCAGGUGGGAGGGAUGUUUAUCUUCUCUGUGAAGUUCUCCGAGGAAGACUGCACAUGUACCUCAUUAAUAUGUUUUAGUAUCUUGAAGACUUCAUAUUAAGCUAGUUCUUCCUUAGUAAUAAUUUCCAGGAGUCUUCAUUAUGUCACUGGAAAAACACGACCUUUGGUUUUCCCUCUUUUUGUAGGAAAGGACAGACAGGUAUUGAGAGACGCUUAUAAGUCAUGCUGCAAGCUAGCAGAGGAGUUAAAAACAGACUCAGGUCAGGCCGCCUGGGUGACUCAGUCAUUUAAGCGUCUGACUUCAGCUCAGGUCAUGAUCUCACGGUUUGUGAGUUCGAGCCCCGCGUUGGGGUCUGUGCUGACAGCUCAGAGCCAGGAGCCUGCUUCGGAUUCUGUGUCUCCCUCUCUCUCAGCCCCUUGCCUGCUCACGCUCUAUCUCUGUCUCUCAAAAAUAAAUAAACAUUAAAAAAAAUUUAAAAAGAAAAAACAGACUCAGGUUUUCUUGAACAAUGGUCUUGGCCUCAUUGUCUCCUUACCGUGAACAUGUUCUACAUGUGCGAUUCUGAUUUCUGACUGUGCUGUAAGAAUAGCACAUCAUGGGUAACUGUUGUCAGUGUAGUAGAAUUAAAUCACCAGAAUCAUAGCUGUGAGCUUAUGGUUCCUGGGCACAUGCCCGUGGUGUUCACUCAGACCUGUUGUUUGGGGCCACACUUUUAAUUUGGUAGAUCUUUUUCUUGGAUUGUUAGUCCUUGUGGUAUUUUGUUGUCAUUGUUUUUCUUGUUAUGUCGACGUGAUGUUAAUUAUUGCUUCUCAAUAUUUCUAGGGAAGCUAAUAAUUAAUAAAGUUGUCUUUUGAGUUCUUUAUAAAGUGUCUUCACUCCCUUGAAUUUUCUGUUUCUUCCAGGGUCUUUCUGUUGUUUAUCUUAGUUUUCCGCUUUGCGUCGCAGGCUUUCUUUAAAUGUAUUCCUGCCCUUGACACUUCGUUCACAUAAAGAUGAGGUGGCACGAAGGCUGACCGGGGCUCUGUGCACGUGGGCACGUCUUGCCACUGGCAGCCUCCCCUCUGGUGGCACAGAAGCAGCUCUCAUGUUGGGGAGCCACCAAGCGUCAGAGGAAAGAGGGCUUGACUUUGGGGUUCUCAGAACCACACUAGCGGUUAGUCCUCACCCGACUUUUUGUUUAGUUUCUUUGGAGAGUUAACUUUUCAUUUUGAGUUUUUGCCUGGCGGCCUGUAAGAUUUGUUGUUUUGAGAUAGACCGCUUUUGAGAUAGACCUGAUAAACACAGGAAUUAGGCCUGGGAGGAACGAUUGUUGACACCGGACUUUUCAGUUCAUCUUCUCCUUUCUGCCGUUCUCGAUGUUUCUUUCCCAUAUUGCGUUUGCUUUUUCUUUUCUUUCUUUUUUUUUUUAAUUUAUUUAUUUUGAGAGUGAGUGAGAGAAUGAGCAGGAGAGGGGCAGAGAGAGGGAGAGCAAGAAUCCCAAGCGUGCUCCAAGCUGUCAGCACCCAGAGCCCAGUGUGGGGCUCAAACUCCCAAUCCAUGAGAUCAUGACCUGAGUCGAAGUCAAGAGUCGGAUGCUCAACCGACUGAGCUACCCAGGCACCCCUGUUCUUGCUUUUUCUGGGUCUAGAGCCUCUUUGGGGUUUCACUGGGGAAGUCAGUCCCCACCCCAACCCCCGCCCCGCCGUCUCAGCAGCAACCCUCCGAGAACUCUUUGGGCGGUAAGCUGCCUCUGCUCAACUUUAUCACUCAGUACUUCUCCGUCAUUUUCUGGCUUCCAGACAUUUCUUGAAAUCUCUCAGGCCCCUGAUAGUCUUUUUAUUGUUGUGGGUGUAUAUAAUUUUUGUUUUUAUAACUGCAGUGGGGUCUUUCAUGCGCCCUGACUACUAUUUUGAAAUGGUGUCUUAGUAUAGGUUACUACAACAAAGUACUGUAGACUGGGUGGCUUACAAACAAUGGAAAUUUACUCCUCACAGUCCUGGAGGCUGGCUCAUAGACAGCCAUCUUCUUGCUGUGACCUCCUUUGGUGGAAGGAGGAAGAGAGCUCUCUGGGAUCUCCUUUAUAAGCACACUAAUCCCAUUCCUCAGAGCUCCACCCUCAUGGCCUAAUCACUUCCCAGAGGCCCCACCUCCCAGUGCCAUCAGAUUAGUAUUCUGACUUGGGAAUUUUGGGGCAGACGGGAAGGUCUUUCAUUUGUUGAUUUGUCAGAAGUAUAUCUGAAGAUGGGGCCCUGGGUGGCUCAGUCAGUUAAGAGUCCACCUCUUGAUCUCAGCUCAGAUCUUGAUCUCAGGGUCGUUAGUUCAAGCCCCACGUUGGUCUCCACCCUGGGCGUGAAGCCUACUUAACAAAGAAAAGAAAAGAAGUAUAUUUGAAGAAUUAAAUCAGCCUGGGGAAAGAUUUGAUGGGGGCACAAGAACUGCAGUGAGUAUUGGGUUUGGGGAAACUACUUCUUAGAAUAAGUUGGCUGGGAAGGAACAAUGAGCUGAUGUUGUUAUACAGAUAUGCUUUCCAGCCACGGAGGCUAUCACCAUUAAUCACAGAGCUCUCUCAAGAGGCUCUUCUGGCUCUGUUGCUAGAAGACAAGAUGUGUCUUGUCAAACAUCCAGCUUCGUCGUUAAAAAAAUAUAUAUAUAAAUGUAGUGGUAGUUGUUUCUGAUCAUAAUACAAAUGUAAAUGUGGAUAUGCUUACUUUUCAAUUUCUUCUCUGCCCUUUGGCAUAGGAGUUCCUGAGAGAAUCUACUAUUCCUUCAUUUCUAGAACUUCUAUUCCUUAGGGGAUAGACCCUCCUACUACUUCUCCCCUUUCUUGUAAGAAGCAUCUCAUAUUCUUCCUUCCCAUUUCCUUUGUGGAAAAAAAAAAUCCAAAUUCUUAUCGAUCGUUGUGUUUGUUGUGUAGUACCUGCAAAUGGAUAGCAGAAACAAUGAAGAUGGGAAAAAUUAGGUGUUCGCUGAUUAGUGCUUUAACUUCCCUGACAAAGUGGUAUCCAUUUGUGUCUUAGAAGAAACUCCGAAUUGAUGUUUCCAAUCUUACCAUUAACUCAUUUUACUUGGAAAAAAAAAAUAGCCAUUUUCUUGUGAAAAAUCCUGGAGAUCUUCUCUAGAGGUCCUCCAUAGUUAGGGAUGGUGGCCCUAACAUAAUCUAACCUGAAGCAGAAUCUUCUCAGGCCUGUCUGAUCUCUGGAAGAGUACCAGGAGCCCCAAGUCUACCUCUGGCGUUUGCAAAGUAGUUCAGUUAGAUGCUAAUUAUUCUUUGCGUAGUGGCAUAGAGGCAGUUGAAGAUAGUAAAGGUCCUUACUUACAGGAAACAGUAAGUUGUUCAGCUUAGAGCCUUUGGAGCAGUCCUAGAUCCUAGGGCAGGCCCCCUGAGACCGUGCCCCUGGAAGCGGAUACGGAGAAUACUGAAAUGUCCUGAGCUCCCAGGGAAGCAGGACAUACUUGUAAUUUUACUUCUGGUAUUGGCCAGAAUGAGUAUUAUCAGCCUGUUCUAAGUAACUUUCUUCCCAAAUUUACUUUCUUUUAUCUAUCCCCCUUAACCUGCUGGCGGUGAGGAAUGUGUUGAAUACAGGUUAUCACUUGUAUACUGAAAAAUGGUGAACCUAAAAAGGACCUUCUGUGAGCAUUUAGAACACGCUUACUUUGGUUUUUAGAACCUGGGAUAUUGAUUGGCUUUUACUGUUGGAUGAGAGGAAACCCAGCAAAUUCCUUCUUUUUCCUUUGGAGAAAAUACCGUCUGUAGGUGGUCCCAAAGAAAUGAGACAGCCACAAUAGUUGUCAAACUGGUUGUCUGUUACUCAGAGUAGUUCAGAUAUAGUCUCCCUUUGUUGGGGCCAAGGGAUACAAAUCAAAUCCCAUUCUUCAGGGGGACUUGGGGAUAUAAAGACAUUCAGGGAGCCCUCCCAGCCCUCCUUUUUAAUAGGUGUAAAAUUUACAUGUGGAAAAAUGCACUGAUGUCAAAUGUAGUCCUGUAACCGAACCACAGUUAACAUGUAGAACAUUUCUACCCUCCAGGUUCUCUCAUGCCCCCAUCCAGUCCCUCUCCAUCCCCAUUGACAAAUGCUUUCUGAUUUGUCAUAAUAGAAUUUUUUUCUCCUGUUACUGACCUUUAUAUAGAUGGACUCCACAUGUACUUUUUCAGGCUUGGCCUCUCACCCCAGUUUUAUGUUUUUGUGUGGAUCAGGUGUUCUUUCUUCCUUUAUUGCCAGGUGGUAUUCUGUCAUACGAAUACACCCAAUUUGUCACUCCACUUUCCUAUUGACAGACGUUUGGGUUGUCUUCAUCUUUUCGGCUGUUGGGAAUCUGAAGCUGUUGUGAGAGCUCACUCACCCCUCUUUGUAGAUCCAGGCUUAAUUGCUGGGCCGUACCGUGCACGUAUGUCUUUAUGAGAAACUUCCAAGCAGUUUUGCAAAGUAAUUGUGCCUUUUAUGCCCCAGCCAGCAGUCGACGAGAGUUCCAGGUGUUCUGGUUCCUUUUUAGCAUUUGUAUAUUGUUGGUUCUUCUGAUUUUAGCCAUUCUUCUGGAUAUGAAGUGGUUUCUCAUUGUGGUUUUUAAUUUGUAUUUCCUUGAUGACCAACAUAUUCUUACUGGGCGUUUGUAGACUUUCCUUUUUGGAGUAUCUGUAUAAUAUUUUACCCAUUUUUUUUUAAUUUUUGAAGGGGCCAUUUUAUAUUGUAUGUCUUACUAUUAUAGAUUGGUAAGAGAUUUUAUAUAUAUAUAAAAUCUGGAGAGAUAUAUAUGGAUUAUAUAUAUAUAUAUAUAUAUAUAUGCAUAUGUAUAUAUAUCAGAAAACUGUGAUGCAAAUGUAUUCCAGUCUGUGGCUUACCUUUCAUUGUCUUAAAAAUGUCUUAAGGUAGAAGUGAAGGUUCCUUUUUUUGCACGUUUCUCGAGUUGUUCCAGUACAAUCUAUUGAAAAGACUUUCUUGUCCCCAUUGAAUUGCGUUGGCGCCUUUGUUGCAAAUCCGUUGUCCAUAUAUGUGUUGGUCUUUUCAAAGGAACCUGAAGAAUGUUUGCAUAGACCACGUGUGGCAUGCACUUAAGUCUAGGAAAUGAGUUCACAUUGGCCAACUGUAAUAAGCCUCAAGUGGCUGACUGCCUUAAACUUCUGUAUCAUGGAACAUUUGCGUUAAAGGUCACUGACAGACACAUAUGGGGGGCACUUUUUGCUUGCUAACCCAGCUGAGACUUCCAGAAGUUCCAGUGUUCCCACACUAAAUAUAAGGCUCUUAUCUGCAAAGAGAGAAUACCGUCAAGUCUGUGAGACCCAGCCUCAGCCUGCAGGCAACUUCGCAGAGAACUAAAUAGUAAUUUUUCUUAUUUGAAAACUGGAUAUGCAUGAAUUUAACAUAACUGAUUUGGAACUCAUUAUAGUUAUGUGUGGGUCCGACUAAAAAAAUAUUACUCUUAAGAAGGAGAUUUUUCAUAAUGUAAAGAAGCUUGUGAAGAAAAAUUUGUUCUAAUAACUUGUGCACAUUGUGUGCAGAAAUAGAUUUGCUGACUUUAAACGAGUGUUGCCUAUGAGUAGAAUCUCUACCUGGAAAGGUUUUUGUAAACAGUUUUACAUAGUAUUUUUACUUGAAUAUAGUAAAUAAAAAAAAAUUUAUUUUAAAAGAUGCCUUAAUUUGAAAACCAAAGGAUGAAUAGAGGAAACAUACCAAAGUUACCCAGGUAGAAUAAAUGGUGAUAGUCUCUUUUUUGAUACCUUGAUUUUUAGAAUCUUAGCAUUCGUGUUUUCAUGGUAUGGCACUGGAGCUCAGCGCUUGAGCACAUGACUGACGCUGGCCUGUCUGGGUUGGGCCACCAGCUCUCCUAGUCCUCACAGGCAACGGACUUAAGCCUCUGUGUCUCCCCCCUAAAACUCGGAGAAUAAGAGUGUCUGAAGGAAGUUCAGACUUAGAGCUGAGCAGGCUCAUAGUGAACCCUAUGUAACUUUUGGCCAGUCGUAACAUUAUAUUACUUUCAUGAUAAAAACAUAUGCAGAAAGGAAAUUUUUUUAGAAAGAAAAAGCCAGGAAGCAAAAGUAAAUUACAGUAUCCUAUGGUUCAGACACCUCGCUGUUCAUAGUAGACUUCCCAGUUGGUUGAGUUGGUCAGAUUUUACUGUUAAUUCCCAUUCUCCCCCAGAAGGGGGUAGAACUAAGGGAUUUUCUUUUGAGCUCCUUGGGAGAUGUUUGCCCUGAAAAUACAAGAGGCACUCCAUGCUAAUUGCUAGACUUACUCUUGUCUCCAUAAAAAGAUUUUACAAGGAAAGCUAUUCUUUCAAGCUCAUGUCUUCCUCUCCUCCUGCUUUGCUCAGUUAACUCAAGUAUAACACAUCCACUCACUUGAAAUACCACUUUCCCUAGUCCUGUGUUUGGACUUGCACAGCCGUGCUCAGCUCCUGGCCCCUGUUUUUGCUUUCUCCAGCAAUUUCCCGGUCAGAGCGGGAACUAGAGCCGAGUCUCGGAAAAGUGGCCGCGAUGGGCCUUUUUGCCCGCUCGUCUUCCCCACGGGACGUUGGAAGGGGGGAGGUGUCUGACCCUCACUGUAAUCCUGUGGGCACACGUAGCAGGGUUGAUGAUACCCGGCAGCAAAAUCCAGCUGGGGCUAAACGUGAAGGUUGCUAACGCACUGUUGAUGAUGUAAUUCCAGGUGAGAUACGAUGUUUUUGUCACACGUACAAACCAGGUUUGCCCAUAGAAGGAAGUGUGAGCCUUCUCCACAUGGUCACAGGAUGGCCAUCAUAGUUCCUGUGAAGCAUUUGUCUUUGUUGUGCACAUGUGGUUAAGGCUUGAGGAAAACUGAUACUAUUACGGCUGACUUACCUGAUCUUACGAUAUUGGAGAUGAGACUUCUCAUGAGGUCUGCUCAAUGCAAUCCAGUUCUUGUUUAUGUUCUCGGUGAUUUUUGGUAAAGGCUACAGGUGCAUAGAAUCCUUGCCUGUGGCUCUCCUGAGCUGACAUUCUGCAAGGUGACUUUUCCUCCCUGCUGUCCCCGCCCAUCUCGUCCCCCAGCAGCUCCUGCAAGCACUUGUUAGCUCGCUCCUCCACCUCACUUCCUUCUGCAGCCGCUCCUACGUCACAGGCGAGCUCACUUGGUUGGGUUCUCGCCCUGUCAACAAGCUUCGUCCGCGCCUGCCUCGCCUCUGGUUGCAGCGGAAGAGGAGUCUUUCCUUAUGCCCACAGCUCCAGAUCCCAGCCCCAGCUUCCCGCACCUUCUCAGAGACGUUCUCUCUGACCUGAUACCUGCCAUUCACUUUUUCCUAUGCACAUUUAAGCCUACACAUGUCUCGGGGCGCCUGGGUGGCUCAGUCGGUUGAGCGUCCAACUUCGGCUCAGGUCAUGAUCUCGAGGUUUGUGAGUUCGAGCCCCACGUCGGGCUCUGUGCUGACCGCUCAGAGCCUGGAGCCUGCUUCAGAUUCUGUGUCUCUGUCUCUGUCUGCCCCUUUCCUGCUCACACUCUGUCUCUCUCUCAAAAAUAAACAUGAAAAAAAAAUUUAAACCUACGCAUCUCACUAAACGCACUCGGGCGCGCGCACACACACACACACACACACACACAUACACAGGACUUCAGUAUUGCCUUGCUUUUUGGCUCCCUCUCUGUUUACUUGUCCUGCUAGGGCCAAACUUCUUGGAAGAAUUGCCUCUAUUGCUGCCUCCUCUUUCUCUCACUCCCACCCCCUCCUCCGGGUGCUCCAGGUUGGCUCUCGUAUCUGUGACCAAACUGGUACUGCUCCAGCCAGAGCUGGAGGCGGCCUUCCUAUCCUGCUGUUGCCACGUGGACCAGAUACGUUUGGAUUCUUACCUUCCAGGACCUGACGACAGUGACGGUGUUUGGUGUCCUGUCCUCUUUGGCCUCCAGGACCCCGCCUUGCCCCUUCAGCUUGUUCUCCCUGUUGCCUUCGUUCUUUCCAGCUGUCUCUAAGCUCCAUGCUUUGUGUUCAGAUGCUAAUGGGACAUUUCCACUUUGAUAUCUUGCUGGCAUCUCCUAUCCAGCAGGUUCCAAACGGAUCCAAGUUACCCAGGCUUGAAACCUGCGGCUUCCUGACCCUUCUCUCUCCUCCCCUUCCAAAUCCACAAAGAAACCAAGUCUGGUCAAGUUCUUGAAUCCAUCCGCUUUGUCUGCACUGUGUCCUUCCUGUUUUUCAUCACCUUUGACCACAGUUCUUGCCUUUGCACCUGUCUCCCUGCGAUUGGUAUUCUCUCCCAAUCCACUCUGCAUUUAGGGGUCUUCCUGACUGCAUCCAGAGUGAGGCCUCUAAAAAGCAUCUGUGUUGUGUCACUUCAUUCCCUGAAUUCUUCCCCGUUUCUAUGAUCUCUUCUCCCCAAAUUGACUGGGGCCUCUGCGAGGCUUGCAUCCUCACCCCGUGCAUAAAGAAGUCAUCAAAUCACUUGGGAUUUACUCAGAGAUGGAGAACAGAGUUACUUUCCCCUCCACACAGCAGAAUUUCAUGAAAACCCUCACUGGACGUCAGUCCCUCCACCCUCCAGAAUUCCUAAUUGCUCCCAGCCCUCCACCCUUCCCCCCACUCACCUGUCUGUGCUUCCCAGCCCCGGCCUCCCCCUACCCGUAGUUCUCCUGCCGUUUCCCCACUUCUCUUUUUGUACUCCAAGCAGCUCCGCCCUUUGCUGAACGUUCUGAUCUGAGUUGCAUCCCUGUCUUAGAUUGGGUUCUAAUUAAUUGGUUCAUGGACAGUGCCUAAAACUGUGUGACUCAUAGUAGUGAUCAGUCAGACUUGCCCCAAUGAUAAUAAUAACAUUUGCUAUUGACAGUAUUACUUCCAACAGGUUUCCAGACCUGUAGACCAGAUGGGAGCCCCCUUUGGGUGUGCCAGUAGCGCCUUGUGCCUCCAUUAAAUCAUAAUAGCCAGUUCUCUGAGGGAAGGGUGACGACACCCCGCUCGCCAUCCAGCGCCUAGCCCAGUGCCUGGUGUGGAGUGCACAGUGUGGACUGUGGACGCCAUAAAUACUUCUUGAACAGGUUUAAUAAAAUGACUCACAGAAAGAACAUUCCAGUUCUGUUCUUAUCUUUAAUAAGGCACUCUUUAAAAAAUAAGACUUAACGAACGAAACAUACGUGUGUUCUAGGAGUUUGUCACUAAAUCCCGUGUUACUGAGUGAGCCUGGGCAAACUCUCUGGGUGUCUGUGUCCCCCGAACAGCUUUACCUAAGGGCCUUUGUCCAGCUCCAAAACUCUUCAGGUCUGCAGCUGGAGUUCUCAGUAAGGAUGGAGUACAUUUCUAGGACCCAGAGUUUCCUGUGUUCCUUCCCGUUAGCUGAUGAGAAGACGUCAUUGUGUUGCUUGGGCUUGCAGGUUCUUUCCUAGUUGUGGGGAAUUUUUCAAGCUGGCUGUAAUGAGAGGGUCUCAAAAAACCACAGAGAGGUCUGGUAUGUUCUCUUCAAGUGAAACACGACGUCCCUUCUUAUUUUCAGUUUUGAUCUUCUGUGUUACGGAGCUGACUUCUGUAAUUAUCCCUGAAGAAUCUAGUAUUAGAAAUAAGGUCUAGUUUAUUUCAAUACCUGUGCCUUUGACAUCCUUUAAACUCUUCUUUCAUCGCCAAAUCAGAAGCCUUCUUCGGGACUUCUGAUUCUAACGAUUUUGGUUCUUUCAAGUAUAUAUAUGUAUAAUUAAUUGUAAAAUAUGUACAGCAUAAAAUGCAGUCUUCACAUUUGUAAGUGUGCAGGUCCGGGGCAUCGAGUACAUUCACAUUGUUGAACAGCUGUCAGCAUCAUCUAUCUCCAGAACCCUUUGGUCUUGCAAGACUGAAACUCCACACCCAUUAAGCGCUAACUCCUCUUUUCCCCUCCCCCAGCCCCGGGCAACCACUAUUCUGCUUUCUGUCUAUGGAUUGACUACUGUAGGUACCUCAUUUCAGUGGAGUCACACAGUCCUUGUCCUCUUGCCACUGGCUUAUUUCACUUCGCACAGUAUCCUCAAGGUUCACCCUUAUCGUGGCAGGUGUCAGAGUUGCCUUACUGUCUAGGGCUGAAUAAUAUUCCAUCGCGUUUAUAGACCACAUUGUGUUUAUCCGUUCAUUCGCUGGUGGGCACUUGGGUUGCUUCCAUCUUUUGGCUGUUAGGAGUAAUGCUGCUGUGAACAUAGAUACGCAUGUAUCUCUUCGAGACCCUUCGAAAUAUUUUGGAUAAUGAUUUUUUUGAACCUUCUGUCUUGAUGCUUCUGUUGUUUUCAUGAACUCCUGCCCUUCCUCUUUUGGCCACUAAACUACCCCACUCCCAUCAGCUUUCUUCACUAUUUCCCUAAUAAUGUCCUGCUGUUGGGAUGGAUCCUCAUGCUUCAAGAUGACCCUCACAGAACCACUGCAUGGAGAAACACUGACGUCUGAGAAGUAGGAUUUGUUCGCACCUCCGACAUUCCCAUCGAUUCCUGCUGUUUUCUGAAAGGUGUGCCACUGGUUCUUAAAGUGAAAAAAAUAAAAAUCCCUUAGUCAUGGGGCAGAUUUUUGUGACUAUAGGCCUUCUGUAUUUUGAAAUUUAACUGUUAAUAGUAGUAUCUUCUUGAUAUAUCAAUCUUUUUUUUUUUUUAAUAUGAAAUGUAUUGUCAGAUUGGUUUCCAUACAACACCCAGUGCUCAUCCCCAAAGGUGCCCUCCUCAAUACCCAUCACCCACCCUCCCCUCCCUCCCACCCCCCAUCAACCCUCAGUUUGUUCUGUUUUUAAGAGUCUCUUAUGCUUUGGCUCUCUCCCACUUUAACCUCUUUUUUUUUUCUUCCCCUCCCCCAUAGACUUCUGUUAAGUUUCUCAGGAUCCACAUAAGAUGAAAACAUAUGGUAUCUGUCUUUCUCUGUAUGGCUUAUUUCACUUAACAUAACACUCUCCAGUUCCAUCCACGUUGCUACAAAAGGCCAUAUUGCAUUCUUUCUCGUUGCCAAGUAGUAUUCCAUUGUGUAUAUAAACCACAAUUUCUUUAUCCAUUCGUCAGUUGAUGGACAUUUAGGCUCUUUCCAUAAUUUGGCUAUUGUUGAGAGUGCUGCUAUAAACAUUGGGGUACAAGUGCCCCUAUGCAUCAGCACUCCUGUAUCCCUUGGGUAAAUUCCUAGCAGUGCUAUUGCUGGGUCAUAGGGUAGGUCUAUUUUUAAUUUUCUGAGGAACCUCCACACUGUUUUCCAAAGUGGCUGCACCAGUUUGCAUUCCCACCAACAGUGCAAGAGGGUUCCCAUUUCUCCACAUCCUCUCCAGCAUCUAUGGUCUCCUGAUUUGUUCAUUUUGGCCACUCUGACUGGUGUGAGGUAAUAUCUGAGUGUGGUUUUGAUUUGUAUUUUCCUGAUGAGGAGCAACGUUGAGCAUCUUUUCAUGUGAUAUAUCCGUCUUAUAAUUGUGAUACUGACAUUUAUUUAUUGUCAUGGAAGCAAUAUAUGACAAGGGUAGAGAACAUGUAAGAUACAGAAAAAAAAAAUCACACACAGAAGCACUUACUGAAAGGUGACCAUUAUUAACAUCAUGUUGCAUAUUCUUCUGGUCUUUUUAAUGUGAAUUUUUGCAUAUUUAAGAUCCUACUGUUUUGUAUUUCUUUUUUGCACAUAAUAAUAAGGUAUAAGCAUUCUUUUGUUAAGAAGGUCUUUGUAAAUAAUUACGUUAUGUGACUGAAAAUAUUUAUAGGGUGCUGACUAGCUUACAUAACAUUUUUCCAGUUAUAAAAAUAAGAUUUCCUUUAGAAAAUGUCAUAUAUAAAUAUCUUAAUAUUGUAAAGAAGUAACAAAAAAUCUAAAUUGCCUGCCCCUUCUUAAUCUUCUAAAAUUACUCUUUUCUAGUAUCUUUUUGAGAUUAGCUUUUGUAUACCCCAUUUGUCCGUGCUUCCUUCUCUCUCCGCUUUCCUUUCUUACUAAGCAAUGUUGAUACCAUCUUCAUACACAAUUUUAAUUUCUUUUUAAAUUUUUUUUCAACGUUUAUUUCUGAGAGACAGAGAGAAACAAAGCAUGAGGAGGGGAGGGGCAGAGAGAGAGGGAGACACAGAAUUCGAAGCAGGCUCCAGGCUCUGAGCUGUCAGCACCGAGCCCGAUGCGGGGCUUGAACCCACAAACCAUGAGAUCAUGACCCAGGCUGAAGUCAGACACUUAACUGACUGAGCCACCCAGGCGCCCUCACAAUUUUAAUUUUUUUUUAAUGUUUAUUUAUUUUUGAGAGAGAGAGAUAGAGUGAAAGCAGAGGAGGAGCAGAGAGAGAGGGAGAGACAGAAUCUGAAGCAGGCUCCAGGCUCUGAGCUGUCAGCACAGAGCCCGACGCAGGGCUCGAACCCACGAACCGUGAGAUCAUGACCUGAGCUGAAGUUGGAAGGUUAACUGACUGAGCCACCCAGGUGCCCCCAUACACAGUUUUAUAUCCAGCAGUUUCAUCCAACCUGUAUCCUGCUAUUUCCAAUGUCAUUAAGUACUCUCCAUUAAACACAUGAAUUUACCUACUGAGUCAGAUGCUCCCCUCCAUGUUUAAUAGCAAUUUUAGGUGAUUGUAAGUAUGUCCUUGUACAGUUACCUUCCUGUGUAUCUGUGAUUGUUUCUUGAGGUGGUAUUUAUAGAGCUGUUCUGAGUCAGAACAGUUUUAAGGCUUUAUAAAAAGAUACUGCUUGGUUUCCUGAAAGGAUGCUCUCACCUCACUCUGCCAGCUUAACUCUUUGUUGUCCAUCUUUGUGAAUUUGGUGGUUGUUUGCUAGUGAAAUCCAACUCUGUUUCAUGUUAAUUGGCCAUUUAUAUUUUGGAGUGAAUUGUCUGUUAAUAACUUUUACCUUAUACAUUUAUAAAUGAUAUGAGGUUUAUUGCCCUGUUGCAAGUAUUUUGUUUUUUUCUUUACCUUUCACUUCAGUUGCUUUUGGACUUAUAGGUCAUACAUGUUCACAUAAAUGUGUUUACAUAAACAUUUUAAUGUAGUCAGAUUGAUUUCCCAUUAUAUUGCCUUUUGUUACUUUUUUCGUUACUUCUUUUCCUAUCUCUGAUUCAGAAAUGUCUCCUAAUUGUAUUCUUUUCCCCCUUCCUACAUUUAACUCUUUAAUCUCCACAGAAUUAAUUUUGGUGAAGGUUGUAAAGUAGGAGCUCAUAUUAGUUGUUCUAGAAUAUCCUCUUACUCCCAUGUGUGUCCCAAAAUCCCAGCGAAGCUGCAGCGUGCACCAAAACAUGUGCUUUUUCUUACUUUAGUGUCUUGAUCUUCCCACUGGACAAGAGGAGGAGGCUCUGAUGUAUACCUGUGAAGGGAGGAGCCAGGAAGAGGGCCUGGGACCAGCUCUCAGAGCUCUACCCCCAGUCCAGAACUUGCCCUGUCUCUGUCCAGCUCAGGAAGGUACUCCGCACACACUGCCGGAGGACCGAGAUAACAGUGACAAGGGUCAGGGGGCCCGUGAGUUAGGGACUGAGUGGCCCAGGGUGAGCCCCUCUCAGUCUUGACCCUGCUUCAGUUAUUCACAACUACGAUAAGCAACCAGGACUGUGCUCGUUGGAGACUUUACCUGAACCUCCAACUGUAGAUGGAAGGCAGCACGUGGUGAAGAAGAGCCCUAACCUAGGAAAGCCAGAAAGUUUGGGUCCUGUUGCAGCUGUCAGUCAACGGUGCAACCUAGGAAAGUCUCUGAACUUCUCUAAUUUCCUGACUUACAGAAUUACGGAGCUGAGAUGUAUGUUCUCUGAGGUGUCUUCUCAGUAAAUUAUGGUCUAGGCAAGUGGCAGAGCUAGAUCGUGCUGUGAAUCUGUUGGGGGAUCUUUCUUGAGAACUAAUUCAUCCUUCCUUAAUUCAGCCAACCAGUGUGAUACCGGAGAUUAGGAUCAUUUAACAAUGUCAUUUAGUACUCUACCUUGGAGAAUUUGUGCUUUUUACCUUUCCUAACUUUUCCUUAAUCUACCUCAGGCUUCCUUGCCGAAAGACAUCUGUUUUUCCUAACAAUUUCUUCUUUUGCCCAGCCACAUCUUGUGUUUAGGAAUUAAAGAAAGAUGACCUAGUUAUCAAGUACCCAGAACUGAUUCCUGUCACUGACCUUGCCCUACCACUUGCCCGAAGCCGUGACACACAUUUUUCUAAAAAGCUGAAAUAAAAAUGGGAAAACCAUUUUUGAAAACUGUGAAGCAUUAAUAAGGUGAUAAAAGUAGUAUCUAUGAGACACAAAUACCUGCUCUCAACCAUGUUAAUUGCUUACUAUUGGUAUUCAUAAAUCAUUUAUUAACAUGUCAGUAACUGAAAUUGCAUUGAGAAACAACCAACCACAGGCCAAACCUUUGGAAUUUCACGUAUCUUUAUAUUAACAUACUUUAUUUUAGAGAAGUAGCACAGAGAAUAUGUCUUAAGUAGCUCUUGUAUAAUAGAGUCAUCUGUCAGUCGGUCCAUUGUAGUCAGAUGUGUUUUAACACACAUCUCCCACUUUUUGAUUUCCAGAGCAAGUGAACGUGGUCUGAUAUGUGUGGCAUAACUUAUUUAACACAUAAGGAUAAUUCAGAUUCUAUCUAAUGGUGAUCUUUUUACUAGUUUCGAGGCUGCAGAUGAAAAUUUCAGUGCACUGGCAUUUUCCUCUGGAGGAUGUUAUUUGCUGUACUAAAACACAGUGACCACUUGAAAUCUGUAGAACUUGGGCGGAGACUGGAUGAAUCUAAACAGCUUUCUCCUUUGUGCUCCAGGAACACAGAACACUAUAUAUUAAUACGUAUAUUAUUUCUUUAAUGUAUCCUUUAUGUGUUUAUACACAGCUGCAGCUGAUGUUUUGUUCGAUUACAAUUCUGUAUUGCCUGAUCUUCAGAUAACAUGGAAAAAUAGCCUUCAAAGUAAACCUUGAAUGGAUAUGAUCUUCAGAGAAAACCUUUCCUUUAUUAAUUAAACUUUCACUUCUCACUGUGCAUUGCUUUGAUCUCAUAGUUUUAAAAAUGUCCCGAGGCCUUAUUUUCAAGGCUUCCAAACAGAUUAUUACUUCUCAAAAGCCAUACUAUAUUCAUGGCUCAAUGAAUCCUAAAGACAGUAUUUUUAAAACCCUCUUAAGCUUAUUUUUCUUAUGUGCUCGUCUACUGCAUAAUUUUCGUUGCUAUGGGUCACAUGAUCCUUCCCGUCUGUAACACAGGCACUUAAAAUUUUUACUUCCUGAUUGAGCCAUCAAGAUUACGUAAAAUGUAAAUCGGUCUAAAUACCCCAAAGCAGGAAUUUUAAGGAAAAGAUGUUUUUUUCCUCUGUUUCUUUAUUGACGCCUAAAAAAUCAGAGUGAGCGUGUGCCUGCCUAUCUGUACUUGGAAAUGAGAGACGGUUAGGGAUUUUUUGUGUGUCCCGUCCCCUUUCACAUUGAAUCAGACUUUGCUUUCAUUAUAAAAAUAAUGUAGCAACUAGAUAGACCGUGGGAGUGGUGUAGUUGCAGGGCUGAAAUCAAAAUGGUUCCCAUUACUGAGAGAGCUGUUCAUUUACUUAUUACUCCUUUCAUGAUCUGAGUGAAGGUACAGCAUCUCUCAGAAGGUAACGAUCUGAUGCUUCAGAAUUGUAAAUGGCCAUUUAGUCUUGCUUGCUGCCUGAUAGAAAUGAAAGUAAUUUCCAGAAGGCUGGACGACACUUGUUUUAUCAUGGAUCUUAAAAUCCUUCACAUUUUCUCAGAGCAGCUUUGAAGUUGUCAUAGUAACAGCAUGACAUUUGAAGAGUCUUUUAAGUAGUUCUUUAGCUAGAGUUAAUUAAUUUUAUUAACUCUAGAUGUUUUUCUUCUUACUUCUCUCUGACAAACAGGGGCCGUAAUUGCUCAAAUAUGUAUUUCAUGUUCUUUAUUUCUUGGUGACUACAAUUUGAGAACUUGAUGUUUUGUUAAGCUGUUUCAGGAAAAGAACGAGAAUGUCACCGAUUGACUUCAGAAAGGUUAAACUUGGGGUUUUAGUUACUCGUCUGUAAAAUUGCACUACCACGAUAGGACCAGAACUUGGUUUUAUUUAAAGAGGUGGAUUAUGGGAGAUGUCCCCCCAAAUUUAAUGGUGAUUUGCUCCAGGGAUUAUAGCUAUCCUUUGGUUUGAUUUGGAUAUAUUUAAAAUAAGAAUUGAAGAACACGGAAGGGGGAAUGUGUCAGACUUACAGGAGAAAAUUAUUUCUUUAAAAAUGCAACACUCAGAUACAUCACCAAAAGCAUAUUCCACAAAAGAAAAAAAAAUGGAAUAAUCUGACUUUGUCAAAAUUAAAAAUGUAAUAAUACUCUUUGGGACUCUAAAAUCUGCUAAAAUAAAUGAUCCUCUAGGAAAGUUUGUGGGAACCUUCUACCGGGAGAAAGUAGGUCGGGAUCUUCUGUUUGUAAAGCUCCAUGGCAGAAAUUCUUGCCAUUAUGGUGAUUGGUGAGAAAGGGUCAGGUGGAGGGUCAGAAGAAAUAAUGAUCCGUACUAGGUCUGGAAGCUGGAACUUUAAAAAGUAUCAGGUGGUCGGUGCUUUUGUUUGCUUGUAAGAGUGACCAGAGAGGUGAAUACAGAAGGUAUCAUGUGAGCUCUGGGGGUUUAAUGCUGAGGCCGGUAUCCUUCCUGUCCUGGGGAGUAUUUGUUCAGGCAGGGGCAACUGAAGACCAAGGGGACAGCAGCGUGUGCCCCCGACAGCAGUAAAGGUGCUAAUGCACAUCCAGUGAUGUCAGGAGUUACGAGCCAGUGGUUUCAAAACACUGCAGUAAACAGGGUCAAAGUGUCCCGGUUUUGCUGGAAGAAGGUUUGUUUUUAUGAGCUGGACAGUACGUGGAUGAAGUAAUUUUUCAAAACAAACCAAAUUUAUACGCUUUUUGUUUGUUUGUUUUACUUUGUGGGUUUUAAAAAAAUUAACCAGAUGAGGUUUAGUAAGGGUUACAUUUUUAAACAAAAUUAUACUUUUUCCCUUUUUUAAAAAAAAAAAAACGGUUUUCUAUGGUUUUCACAGAGGAAAUGAAAAUACCUCCGAUCUAGGAUUUUUAAAUGGAGUUUUAGAGAGCAAGCUGGAAGCCAGUGUGCAGCAACCGCCAAUCACAAUCACUAGUAAAAUAUUCCUUGUAAUUUUGUACCUUCUGCUCUUCUUUAGACAGGCAUUUAAGUACCAGAAAGUUAAUGGCACAGAAUACUGCUGACUGCGUGGUUCUCGUCUUAAUGCAUUUUCCAACCUUGAACCUGAGAAUACCAGAGGCUGGGGACUCUGGACACUCCUCUGCGCAGUUUUCUGCCGGUGGCCUGGUUCCUGAGGUAACAAGUGGGUGUCCCGGGCGUGUGUGUGUGUUAACAACAGCAGUGAUGCCACGUGGUGCCCAGAGGUCGCCGCGAUCUGUCCCGGGGGUUCCUGGUCCUCGGGGCUUCUGAGAUGAACUGUGAACUUGGGGCAUCCUGAGAAGUACAGGCGUUUUGGAGUGUGCCACAGCAAAUCUGGAUGUCGGCAUAAACACAGCUCUCAAAGUGAAAGCAGGGGCCUCGAGGAAGGAAUUACCCUCAUCUCAUUCCCGACCUGCUUACUGUGCUGGAAAACAAAGUAAGUUUUGUUUGUUUCUUUGUUAGUCAGUCGCUGCUACAUGUUUUCUCUUGCUAACAUUGUAUUAGACACUCCAUAUCUGGCAAACGCCAAGUUUUUCCCCCCUCAUUGGGAAGUAGGAUAUGAAGUUUGUUAAAUAGCUACUUGCUUCUUUAAUCUUUUCUGUCUCUCUUCCUAUAUCUAGCGUGCUGGCUUCCUUGUUGGAGAUCGUAUGAGACUGAAAUUUAUUAUCAAUGAGAAAACACAAAGUUCUUUUUUUCUUCUUCUUUUUUUAAACAAUCCAAGAACCUUGCUGUUAAUUAAAGGACAGUGACACAGGCAAAACUUUUUUUACGUGGUGCAGCCAGCAGCAUAUCUAGCAAAAGAGCCCCAGUUCACCGUCCUUAUUUCCAUUGGGAAGCAGAAAGGGUUCCUGUACGAGACUUAUGUGAAAAUAGAGUGUCCCCCCUGUGGGAACGGCAGACACUGGCUGGGAGUGGUGCCUGAACAAGAGGCCGUAACUUAAAGACCUGUUGGGAAAUGGGAAGGAGCUGAAGAAUACGAAUUAUUUAGUGAUGUUGGGGGAAAAAAAAAAACCCACAAACAAACAGACUUUCUAUAAGAAUGGGAUAAAAUGUAUAAAGACCUAAAGUUGUCGAGGAAACUGAUGUUUUCCUUCAAGUUAGAAAGAUUCAUGUUUUGUAGGUUUAUAGAAGAUGUGUGGCUUUCAGAAAAUAAGAGGCAUCACCACCUGUGCAGAUUUUAGGACACCAGCCUAAAUCUGACACUUGACCCCUGUCUUCCAUUUGUGUUUGUUUGUGUUUUAUCUGAUCCUAGCUCCAGAGCUGUGGCAUGGCUCAGUAAAUUAAUACAAAGCUCUAUGGUUUUGAAAAUGCAAAACAAAUGGAAAUGCAGAGUAGUUUAUGAUUUGUAAUUAGAUUAUCCCUCCUCAUAAAAUGGACUGUUUUUACCGUAGAGUUUUCUGGACUUUUCUCAACUCCCAACGGUAACACUUUAAAGGUAGAAGGAGGCAUUGUAACUACGGAGUGGCAUUGGAAGAGCAGAAAUCAGGAAUCUUCCUUCUAAAUCUCGUAUGGAGUACUGAGUGAAUUUAAGUUAGGGCUCCUGUGCCGUGGGAAUUCACGUUUUAUCUCAACGUGGUGGUGGUAGGACGUGGGGUGUCCGUUUUUCAUUUAAAACCCUCCAGGCUCCUUUUAUGAAUGUCUGUGGAUUAUUCAGCAAACUUCCUUUAAACACCUUUUUGCAGAGUACUGUACUCAGAGCUGCAGUUUGUCACAAUUAAACCUACCAAGAUUUGGUUUGUCAAUUAAAGAUCCAGAACAGUUUGAAGCCAGGGUGAAUGAGCAGAGCAUUCCCCUCGGAACGGUUUGUUAGAGAUGGUGCCACAUGAGCUGGGCUCUCCGCUUCUGAGCUGCCCUCCUAAUUAAAGGGGAAGGUGCCUGCCAUCUGUCUGCUUUCAUUCAGGGCAGUAGGGGGCCUGGGGUGGAAGGAAGCCACCCCCCUUUAUUUUUUCUCCCACUCUUUUUUACAGUCCUCUUUCUCCCUAGUCAGUGACCCAGAAGGUCAUUGAUGAUCUGUCUAUCUCAGACUGAAUAGUAACAUAAGCAUGCAAGGCACUUGCAAAAAAAAAAAGUUUAUAACGUGUGCUUAUCCAUUUAGAAUCCUGCUUGAAUUAUGUCUGGGAGCAUUGUAAUUUCUAUCUUCGUGUCUUUGCUCCUGUUAACUGAGGGCACUACUGGCAGAAAAGUAGGGAUUUUUAGUUUUACUGAUUUUGCUUUUUGUGUGAAAAAAUUGUUUACACUUCACUGGGCAUAAUCAGAAGAUGGCAGCAUCGUAACUGUGCGGUGGGGAUGUACAGAAAUACCGUUCUGAACAAAACCAGGGCUACCUGUUGACUGUGAUACGCACGCGUCAUCACAAGGGAGGUUGUGCACAGGGGUGUUAACACGUGUCCGUGUUACUGAGCGGUGUGCUGAGGCUUCCUGGGCCAAUCAUUGAAAUAAUUCAUGGUAUUUAUCCUUUAGUUAGGCAAUAAGCCUUUUAGCCCCUUUCUCAUGAGAAUAGAUUAUUGGAGAAUUUGGUUUGGGGUCAUGGCUUUUAAUUGUUUUUGAAAUGUAGGGUGCUCUAACUAAAUGAUUGAGCUUUCUUGCCUCAGUUUCCAAACCCUGGAAGAAAUCUGUGCUGCUUUCAGAAACAUUUAAGAGAAUAUGAAAUAAAAUUUUGUCCUCGAUAAAAACUUUAUUAUCACUGAAAAUUUCUAAAAUCUGCGGUGGUUUCUCUUUUCUGUUCUUACGUACUUGAGCAAAGUGUCAGCCGUCAUUUAAAAAGAGUCAGUCCUGGGGCGCCUGGGUGGCGCGGUCGGUUAAGCGUCCGACUUCAGCCAGGUCACGAUCUCGCGGUCCGGGAGUUCGAGCCCCGCGUCGGGCUCUGGGCUGAUGGCUCAGAGCCUGGAGCCUGUUUCCGAUUCUGUGUCUCCCUCUCUCUCUGCCCCUCUCCCGUUCAUGCUCUGUCUCUCUCUGUCCCAAAAAUAAAUAAACGUUGAAAAAAAAAUUAAAAAAAUAAAAAAAUAAAAAAAAAUAAAAAGAGUCAGUCCUGACACACACUGUUGAGCUACCCAGGCAGUAGAUUUGGACUUUCCAGAAUUUACUGGGUUUUGGAACUUUCUGUGACCAGGAACUGUGGUGUCUCUUAAGCCCUCCAUGUUUGGAAAGCCCAAAUGUGAGAGUCGUGUCUGUAAUUUUAUUUAAAGGUUUUUUUUUUCCAAUUUGUCAUCAACUUAUAAUGAGCUUCCUCGUCGAUGUGCUUAUGUUGUUCAAUCUGGGAAGAGCAGCAUGUAGGUUCUGGAGACAGUGACGUCAGUCUGCAUGAUUGGAUGACCAUGAAAAGUAGAUCGUUUCCCAGGCGCUGACGGGUGCACAGUGCCGAAUAGGCAGGUCUUUUCAUCUUUUUUAUGUAACAGUUUUAGAUACCCAGCGAGGUACUUCGCUAACUGUCGUCUCUAAGGUGUGAUUUAAAGCUAAUUUGGUUUCACUCAUCUUGUAUUUACUUCGGGGGAUCUAAGUAAACAAUUUAAAUGAAUCCCAUCUAGAAAGCGUUCCUUCAAAGUAACGCAAUUAAUAUUUUAACGCACGUAGCAAAAGACACACAGACAUGCAAAUGAAUGUUGCCUCCUUAAGUACCGAGUCAGCUAGGAAGAAGUUAAGCCGCUGCUUAACUGCAGCCAUGUCAUGUCUUUGCCAGGGACACGCUUAGAACUUGCCGUUUGCUGGUGCCUUGAGAGCCUUCCAUCCUUUUUUAUUGCCCACUGUGGUAGAAAUUCUCUGUCCUUUGAGGACAGGAAGGAGACAGUAAUCAGGUCUGAUGAACAGACUUAUGAUCACGUAACUGACUGGUGUCGUUGGUUCAUGUAAACGUUUACGGAGGCACCUACUACAUUCCAGCCAUGAGGACUGCAGUUUCAGAAAUGGACGUGCCACGGACCUGGCCCUCCAGGAAGACACAGCUCAGUGGGGUAAAUGAUGUCUGAGGAGGUAACGCUACAUACCGACAAGGACUGUGACAGAGGCACACGUGGUGUUGCGAGGGCCCAGAGAUGGGGUUAAAACCAAACUUGUUGGAAAAACGAGAGUUGUACACGUGAUUUAUAAAGGGCAUUACAUAAUAGCAUUUGGGAAAUGAAAGCCCUGGGAGCUGGGGGGAGGGGGGACCUUUUCUAUUUUAAGGAUGAGGAGCUUGGAAUUCAUUUCUGCAGUAAAUUCUCAGCCGUUUGAAAGCCUUUUGAGAAAAGGUGUUUCGUUCUGUAAUAAACAUCCUUCUUUUUCACCAGAAGAAAUCGUGGCUGUAUAAAAGGGGGGAGGUCUAAAAUUUUUUUUGGACUUUGUGAGAAUACUUCUGUCAUUCUCCAAAGGAGACUGUUUUGAAGAAUGGUUUUUAUUUACAUAUUAAAAUCAGGUACUUCUGAAAUACUCAAGAUACCAAAGCAUGACGUGCCAUGGUUAUUGCUGAGAUUAGCUGUGUAGCUUGUGGGAGACAUGAAACUUACGGCAUCUCUAAGUAUAACUUGGAAAAGAAAAGGCUUCUUCAUGUCCUCUCUCAUGUUUCCUGCCCUAGAGACAGAAUUUCUGUCCUGUAGCCAAUAGUAGAUCUUCCUGUGGAUAAGUUCAUUUAACAGUUACUUGUGGCGUGUCCCUCAAUGCCAGGUACAGUUCUAGGAGCUGAUCAGAAGCUGAGCUGAUUAGCUAUAGACCCUGGAUGCUGGUGCUACUCAGAAGGACUCUGUAGGGUUGCCACCGUUUCCUGGGUGUUUUUUCUGAGCAUGGCAGUGUGGGCGUGGCCACGAUGCUAUCCUUGUAGAACUUGGAGUAAGAUUCCGUGCACAGGUGACAGGAUGAAUGUAUUAACAUAGAGAGCUAACUAAACAUACCACGUGUCUGCAGAAAAGAAAGCUUGUCUGUGACCAGGAUGAUCACGAAAUCAUUUAUGGAUUAAGGAGCAUUUGAGCUGGACAUUGAAAGAAGACUCAGGGAGCAUGUUCCAGUCCAGGGAAAGCCAGGCAAAGGCCUAGAGCGGGAUGGGAAAUUCCAGUGUACCGAGCAGGCAGUAACUGAUUCGUUGUUGCUGGGCAACCAUGUGUGCAAAAGUGACUAAUGAGAGGAUAAGGCCGCCAAGGUCCCUUGAGGCCAGAUCCGGGUGGACCAUGUAUGUCCAACAACUAAAUGCUUUAAACUUGAUCCUGAGCCAUCGGGGAGCAGUGGAAGUGUCCCGGUCAGGAGAGUGACAGUGGGAUCUCUCCUGCAGGAAGCCUUGUCUGAUGUCAGUGUGGGGGGUGGUUGGCCAGGGAGAGAAUCCAAGCGGAAGGCAUGUGAGCUGCUGAGACACAGUCCAGGACAGAGGGGAAGAGGGUCCGGGUGAGGGGGGACGACUGGAAUGGAGAAAACUAGACAGGUUAAAGAGGUGGGCUUUAGGAACUGCCUGGAUAACAGAGAUUAGCUGGUGGGGAGGUGGGAGCAAAAAUAACUCCAGAUUUUAGAACCAGGCUCUGUUUAUUACUUCUCGGCCACUCGCCAGGCAUUUCACAUAGAUCAGUUCAUUCAGGUGUAUCCUAAUUCUAUAAGGUUGGUAUUUUUGUCCGUAUUUCAGAGAUGUAGAAAACCAAGGCUCAGAGAAAGAUUUGUCUAAAGUUGUCCAGAAGCUAAUAGGAUAUUGAACAGGGCGUUGCAGGUGUUCCUGAUUUCCAUGCCUGUGUUCUCUCUACUGGGUUUGGAAGAGAGCAGGCGUGAGAGAAAAGGUGAUCUCUCGUUGUUUUGCACAUAUUCAGUGUAGAUGCUGGUGAGAUGUCCGUCAGGUGACUGGAGACACAGAACCAAAUCUCUAGGACAAAGUCAGGAGGACCAGAGCUUAAGAGCCAACUGUAUGUUUAUUUAGCAAAUACUUGUUGAGUGUCCUUUGGACCAGUGCUGCAUGGCAGGAGUACACUGGAAAGCAAACAGGCCAUAGUCUUGAUUCACAGACCCGCAGGCCAGGGAGUGAGACGCCACCCUGUGGGUUGAGUAUAAUGCAGGGGGAAGUGCAGAUUUGCCACGGGAAGAGCCACUGAGGGGAAGCGAACCACGUCUGGAGACACAGAAGGCCUCGGAAGAGGUUGUAGCACUUAACAUGACUCUCGAUGAUGAGUGCCAAGAUAAAGUGGAAAAAGGCCUAUUUGAGGCAGGGGACCUAGAAUGUACUACACCCAGAGGCAAGAGAGAAACACAGUACGUCUGAGGAACUGGACAUGGUAUGCGUGGAACGAGAGAGGAGUAAACCAGAUAAGUUAGAGAGGUGGGCGGCAGCUAGGUUAGGAAAUGCCCCAGAAGAACAAAGGUCAGCAUGCAAGUUUCUGAAGGCAGCCGUGUUGUUGCUGGUACCUGCGGGCGGGGGGGGGGGGGGGGGGGGGGGUGUCAGAUUUGGGGCUUAGAAUUGUUAGGUUUGGUUAUCCUGAGUAACCAGUGGCCUAAAUAAUUGGUGAAUACAGUAAUGGAGAGCUCAAGGACACGAGGUUGCGGCCGAGAGUGGGAUGUCCAGAUUUAUUAUUGCUCAAGUGCAGCCGUUGGAGGGAUGAUGAGAGAAGAAGGUCAUGAGAGCGGGUGGGUGAAGCGGAGGGCAGAGGCCGGCUGUGGGAGGUGAGGGGGUUGAGGAACUAAGAGACUCCGUCCUGUGCUGGAUGUGGGGUUCACGGAGGUUGUCGGCCCGACUUGGAGCAGAGAAGGUCAGCGUGAAGGUCGGCUGAGGAGGCGUGGAGGCCGGGCACUGAGGUGGGCCCUGAAAACGUGAUUUCCGCAGAUCGUGUGACGGCGUUAGUGAACGAAGACAAGCAAGGGCACAAAGACAGAGUGAGUAGGACCUGGGGCCAGGGGUGGGAGGAGAUCAGGAAGGCGUUUUCAAAGAGGAAAACAGGGAAGUUCAGAGUCCCGAAGGCCAGAGGAGGUCCGUGCCAAAGAAGGAGGCGUUGAGCAGCAGCCACUAACUCAGGGCUCAGGAGGAAAGGACUGGCGAGGGACCCUCCGGCCGGCGAGCGCAGAGCGUUCGUUGACUUAAGGAGUGUAAGGGAAUCCCCAAGUACAGGCAGCGAGUAUAACCCCCACUUGCAACACAUUUUUGGUUGGAAGAAAAGAAGAAGAGGCCUAUGGUAGCUUGAGAAGUAAAUCUACUGUAGCAACGAGUCUUGUUACUUUGUUAUUUCUUUGACAGUCUUCUAGGACUCUCCACUGUGUGUCCUGUUGCUGGUCAAACUGUUUACCCUUUCCAUGCUUCGUUUGUCAAACGAGUACCUGCCUCAUGGGGCUGUCUGUCAUAAGGAGUAAAUAAAUGGGUUGUAAAGCGCUGCCUUGGACACAGUAAGUGAUACACAAAUGAAGGUGACAGAAAGCAAAGAAGGAAGCAGAUACAUACGUUACAAUAAUCGAUCAUAUGUAUUAUAUGUAACAUGUAACAUGCACACAUGCACCCUCGCAUUUUAGGCACUUAUCCCUGAGUAUUCACGAUAAUUCUGUAAUGUGAGUGAAACAGAGGCCCUGAGAGUUGCAGGGAACUUAUUCCAGGGCGUGCUGCUGACGAGCGGUCAUCCCGGGAGACAGGGCCCCGUCUCCCGACUCAGAGUCGGUGGCCCUCGCACUGAGCCAGGCUGCGUCCUUGGGCUGUUGCAGGAAGAGUGCUGGACCUGCAGCUUCACAGAAGCAGCUCUUCUGUAUGUGGUGUGCACUGUGCUCUCCACACAGCCCCCGCCCCGUUGGUGUCACCCCUCUGUGCUGCGUACUCGGCUGGUACCGGUGCUGAGUUUGCAACCUUUGUUCCAAAGGCUUGGUCCCCGGUGACUGGAGUGCCUUCCUUCUCCUGACUGAUCCUGCCGUGCAGAUGCCAUCAUCUUCUGCAUCUCCUUUGUAGGGUUUCUUCAGACUUAGAAUUCACCUCUAAAGAAGGGGGUGCCUCGUCAGAAUUUCUUGCCUCUAAUCUCAUCUCAGAGUGAAAUUGCUGUGCGUUCUAGAGAAUUUUCCCACUGGAAGGAACCGUCUGAACAUAUCUCUUUUGCAAGGAUGGUGUGAUGGUCAAUCUUAUGUGUCAGCUUUAGCUAGGUCACGGUACCCAGCUAUCUGGUGAAACCCCAGUGUGCGUGUCACAGUGCAGAUAGACAUCAUUUAGUUUUAGAUGAGGUUGAACAUUGAAGGCAGUAGACUCUGAGUAAAGCAAAUGAUCCUGUAUAAUUACCCUCAUCCAGUUGUGACAGCCUUAGAGAAAAAGAUUGGUCCCCCUGCCCCCACCACCACCAAGGAAGAGGGAAUUCUGUCUCCAGACAGCCCUCCAGCUUGGACUGCAACACAGCUCUUCUCUGGGUCACCAUCCUGAGUGUGGGUUUGCCAACCCCCAUAAUCGCCUGAGCCAGUUCCUUAAAAUAAAUCUCUCCGUCAUUCUCCAUCUCUCUCUCCACCAUACGUGCACACUGAGACAGACAGACACACACACACACACACACACGUGCACACAUCCUAUUUGUUUCUCUGGAGAACCUUUAUUAUAGAUAGGAAAAUACAGAAAUUGAAAUUGCUCAGCUGCUGUUGAUAGUAGCAAAAAGCUGCAUCAGCUCUCUCGGCAUUCUUGGUGUACAUGUGUGUGCAUGUGUAUAUACAUACAUAUGUAUACAUACAUGUACUUAUAUAUAUAUACACACACUUUUAUUUAUGUAUAAUUUGUUUUAUAGAUGGGAAAGUGAAUUGUAGAAAGGAUGUGGGGUACUCAGUGUGAUGCAUAAACUUGAUGGGAGAGUUAAAGAAAGAACUUGAUUUCCUCUGGUGUGGUUCAGUUGUUGUCUUGCUAUUUGGCUCUCAUGUUUUUGUUAGCAAGAUAAUAAAGUUCCUGGGUUUGCCAUACAUAAUUAUUGCUAACAUUUAUGGAAUAUUUUCUAUAUGUUGGGUACUAAUCUAAUUGCUUUAUAGCUGUUUAUGAUUUUUAUCCAUACAACUACCCAGUGAGAUAGGAUCUAAUAUUAUCCUCAUAUUACAGAUUUUUUUAAUGUUUAUUUAUUUUUGAGAGAGAGAGAGAGGCAGAGUGCAAGUGGGGGAGGGACAGUGAGAGAGGGAGACACAGAAUCCGAAGCAGGCUCCAGGCUCCGAGCUGUCAGCACAGAGCCCGAUAUAGGGCUCGAACUCAAGGACUGCUAGAUCAUGACCUGAGUCAAAGUCAGACACUUAACCGACUGAGCCACCCAGGCGCCCCCCUCAUAUUACAGAUUUGAAACACUGAGUCCCAGUGAGCAACAUGGUCACUGCUGUGGAGAACUGAGUGAUGGAGAGUGCUUAGGGCCCCGGCAGCCUGGCUCCAGAGGUUAUGUUCCUAACCAUUCCUUCUGCCCUACUGCUUCUCAGCAUAAGACGUCUUGAGCAGAGCUCUUCAUCUGUCCUUGUGGAGUCAUCAUCCAGAACAGUCUUUAUGGUAGCGGUACUUUCCGUAGGGUUUGUUUUAAAAGAGAAAAUGCUUGGGGUGCCUGGGUGGCUCAGUCUGUUAAGCGUCCGACUUCGGCUCAGGUCGUGAUCUCGCGGUUCGUGAAUUCAAGCCCCACGUUGGGCUCUGUGCUGACAGCUCGGCACCUGGAGCCUGCUUCGCAUUCUAUGUCUCCCUCUCUCUCUCUGCCCCUCCCCUGCUCAUGCUCAUGCUCUGUCUUCGUCUCUGUCUCUGUCAAAGAUAAAUAACAUUAAAAAGAUAAAAAAUAAUAAAAGAGAAAAUACUUAUAAGUUAUAUCAGUUAUAAGAGGCCAUCUAAUACCUGCAUGCUACCUCCUUGAGAAACAGAGAACAUACCCAUUGCAACAAUGGUAUGGGCCUCUUGCUGGGGUAAACUUUUAGCAACUAGACUUUCCUGUCUAGCUUGGUAACCAUCUAAUUUGUAAAAAUCAUACAGAAAUGUGAUAAAGUGGUGAUGUGGUUUAGUUUCUUGUCCAGCAAUUUGGUGAGUGUCCCGGGGAAGGAGAUGGCAUGCUUCUGUGUAUAUGUCCCUUGGUUCUCUGCAGCAAUAACCAUCAAAACUGCCAUUUACUGGGCCUUGUGUGCACCAGGAACUGCUACAAGUGCUUUACAAACAUGCCUCAUGGAGUCUUCUCAACAUUAUCCUUCCAUUUUACAUUUAAAUAAGGCAGUGACGAGGGAGUUCAAGAACGUUUCUGCGGUAAGUGGCACAGCAGGACUUAAACUUCAUCUUAAUGACACCAGCCAGUGCUCUCAGUCUCUCUGCUGUAUAUCCCUGAGACCCACUACUCUUCCCUGCUAGACUGUAAGCUCCGUGAGGACAGGAACUUUUUGUUUCACUGGGUUCACCAGCAUAUUUGAGCAUCUACCAAGUGCACUGCCUGACACAUAGUAGGUACUUAGCGCCCGAUGUUGAGCAACGAACUCACUGUGUUCUCUGUGAUCGCCACCAGCCAGCUAUGGGCCAGGUAGAGAGCACCGACCUGGGAAGGGUACUGUGGACUCCUGCAGAUUCAGCCCUCAGGUACCUGUUGGAGGAUAUUUUCUCUGUGUCUCAAGAUGAGCAUAUCAGCCUGACCUUCAGGUAGAUACUGCAUAGCUCUGUCAAUAGUCUCCUUCGCCAGAGAAAUCUAAAUGAUGUUAUGUACGUCCCUGUCAUUAGAAUUCAGGACUGAUAUUUUAUAGCUUGUACUCUACACUGAUCUGGACAACAUCUGAAUAAUAUUGGUGCUUUUUAAGGAAACAUCAAAUUAUAAAUUACAUAUAAAUAGUUUUAAUUUCUAAUGAAUUUUUUUCUUUUUUUUUUUAGAGAGAGAGUGAGAAAGUGAGCAGGGGAGGGGCAGAGAGAGGGGGACAGAGGAUCCAAAGCAGGUUCUGUAUUGACAGCAGCAAGCCCAGUGUGGGCUCAAACUCAUGAACUGUGAGAUCAUGACCUGAGCCAAAGUUGGAUGCUCAAACCGACUGAGCUACCCAGGUGCCCCAUCAAAUUACAUGUUCUUAAGACAUUCCCAAAGGUCUCUGUUUCUUCCAUUUUUCCAGAUCUCUCCCUCUCUCUUGUGUCUUUCUUUCUUCACACAUGCACUCGCACACACACACCCGCACUCAAACAUGCACUCACACACACACUCACACACUACUCAUACAUGUACACGCAUGUACAUGUGCUCACACACACAUGCAUUCACACUCAUACCCCUUAGUUUCUCACUAAUUAACGAAUCUUCUUUGUAAAUACUUUGUAACCACUUUAUAAACCAAAACUGCAUUACUUGUAUUUGUAUUUUGUCCCAUUUUUUUUCCUUAAAGUUUAGUUUCUUUGCUUCGCAUAACUGGACACUAAGUAUUGCAAUCUGCACCAUUAUAUAAGCUUGUUUUUCCUCUUGGAAGUAGUAAAUUAUGAUGAGUUUGAUAAAAAAUAGAAAUCAGAAUAAGCAGCAUUCAGUACUUAGCCUUCUAGUCUAGCCUAUAUUUGUGCAGGUGUAUGAUUAUUUAUGCAGACCUAUAGUAAAUAGUGUGAAUUUUCUUUGCAAAACAAAUGGUACGGUCCAGAAGAACCACCUCUGGGCUUGUAUGUUUUGUAAACUACGUGGGUCUGUAUACACACUUGACUUGUGAGCCACGGCUUACACCUUUUAUAAUUUUUUUCACCUUAAAAAAACCCUGCAUGGCAAGAAACUCCAUUAUUAUUAUUAGUAUAAAAAGCCUUAUAAUUUAUAGCCAAAUCAAGCCCAGGAAAGAAUGCAGAUUCACUCAGUAAAAACUCGUUAACAGCCUGCUCUGUACCAGAAUGCACUUCCUUGUAGCUUUGGAAAGCCUCAUAGUAGGGCGGUUUCUGUUUGAGAAUGAACAGUCACAAGAGCAAGGCAGAUAUAGACAAGAAUGUAAUUUUCCAAAAUUUAAAUGAGGGGUGGUAGAGUAUACAUCCAAACAAAAUACAGGGGCAGGCACCUGGGUUCUCAUCUGACUUCAGUUUAGGUCAUGAUCUCAUGGUUCGUGAAUUCAAGUCCCACAUCAGGUGAACAUGAAUCCUGCUUUGGGUGAGCCCUCCUUCUCUCUCUCUUUCUCUCUCUGUCUCUCUCCCCCCACCCCCACCCUCCUCUCACUCUCUCUCUCUCUGCCCCUCGUGGGAUUCUCUCUCUCUCCCUUUCUCUCUCCCUCUCUCUACCCCUUGCUCACUUGCGCCCUCUCUCUCUCAAAACAAAACAAAAUACAGUCCUAUUAGAGUUACAAAAGUAAUAGAUAAAUUUGAAAAAAAUGUACCUUUGCAGUCUUCUCAAACUUAAAUUUUUUCUGGCAUUCCUCUUUUUGAAUCUGUAUGCUGAAUUGUUUAUUCUUUUUUUUAGUAGGAAGGAAGAAAACGUUCUCUUUAGGAAUUCAUUAGAAAUUAAAAUUAAUUUCAGCAUUUAGUAUUCUUUAGACUCUGGUGGAGGCUGAUUUGAAAGGGUGUGUUUAGUUGGAUCGGCCAUGGAGAAAGAGAACAAGCAGUUGUCCUGGCCAGUACAUCUUUGCUAUGAUGGGGAAAUGGCGUCGCUUUAACGUUCAUUUAUUUUUGAGAGAGACAGAGACAGAGUGCCAGCUGGGGAGGGGCAGAGAGAGAGGGAGACACAGAAUCUGAAGCAGGCUGUGGGCUCUGAGCUGCCAGUACAGGGCCCGAUGUGGGAUUUGAACUCAUGAACCUUGAGAUCAUGACCUGAGUUGAAGUCGGACGCUUAACUGACUGAGCCACCCAGGCGCUCCGAGAAAUGGCGUUGCUUUAAUUGCAACUCUUUCAUUGCCUUCCUUGCCAAGCCCAGUGGCUCCUGUUAUAACAUGUGGUGACUUUUCCCUUGGAGACUAACUCGCUCCAAGUUACCGUAAUAUUUAGGACCAGCUACAAAGACAUUUCUUCCCCUAAACCCAUGCCAAAUCUAAAUCAAACUAUCGUCUCCUCCCUGGCCACUCAAAUAGACCCGGCUCAUAUUUGAAAAGGACAAGAAAUGCACAGGCCUCUCAUGCCUGUUUGAACAGAUAGAUAAACAAGGCACAUCAUGCCUAGUGUUGCUUUGAGCUUGGUCAUUUCCUUCUAAAAUAGACUCUGAUACUAUGUUCACUUAAGACUUGGAACUUAGAUGUUCUAGAAAGAAGCAUAUUUUAAGUCUAGCUACAGCAAAUUUAGUCUGCUGUCAGUGCUGAUGCAGGAAAGAGGAGUAAAUCUAAAAUCAUGGGCCUUCAAUAGGUGUGGCUCUGAGCUUCUCCUACACAAACCUCAGUCUCGAGUGCGGGCGGGUCAGCUAGACGUCCCCAUCCUUAGUGGCCGCAGGUUGUCUGCUCACCACAGGUAACGCUAAACAAAUAAUGCUAAUCCAUUUUGUUUUGAAGAAGGCAAGACUGGGUGGCUCAGUCGGUUGAGCGUCUGGCUUCAGCUCAGGUCAUGAUCUCACUGUUUGUGGGUGCGAGCCCCACAUCGGGCUCUGUCCUGACAGCUCAGAGCCUGGAGCCUGCUUCGAACUUUGUGUCUCCCUUUCUCUCUACUCCUCCCCUGCUCAUGCUCUGUUUCUCUCUCUCCUUCAAAAAUAAAUAAAAACAUUGAAAAGAAGAAAAAGAAAAAAAAUUUUUUUAAAAAAGAAGGCAAGUCUAGCAAAAUAGGAAAAAUAUUCCUGAUAAAUAAAUUUGUUCUGACCUGUAAACCUGGUGUAUUUCAGUCAUCCUUGAUCAAGUAGUUCUGUUCCAUAACCAGCAUUAUUAGCAUACAUUAAUUUCUUCCUAGUUUUAGCAAGAUUGACUUCCUGUGCUGCUUAGCUUAUCGUUUUGAAAUGUAACUUUCAACACAAUUCAGGUUUAUAGGUUGUAUUUCUUUUUAAUUGAUUGAUUAUUUUACAUAUACAAAAGAUUAUGUGUAACAUCUAUAAGCGAGCGCUAAAAAUAAUUUCAAAAAAAAUGUGCUCCAGUGAACCACCACCCAAUUUAAGAAUUUAGAACAUGACAGUUUUGGAUCUCUACUUCAUUCUGUCCAUUCUCUGCCUUCCUCACAAUUCUGAAAUUUGUAUUUAGAAUUCUCUUGAGUGUUUUUAACAAAUAUAUAUUUCAUCAGAUAAAUGUACAUUGCUGCAGGUGUUUUGAGAUGGGUAGACGGGUACGCAGUUUUUUGCAGCUUAUGAAAAUUUUCCUCCAUAUUAUGUUUAUAAAAUUCAUUCGUGUUGUCGGGGGCGUGGAGUAGCUGUUCCCUCAUAUACAUUGCUGCAGCAUUCCAGUGUGUGUGCAUAUAUCCUGAUUCACCCGUUGUCUUGUUUACGGGGGGGAGGAGAACAAAACAAGGAGUCUCGUUUUGGACAUGUUGACUUUGAGACGUCUGUUAAAUCCUCAGGGAGACGCCGGGUUGACGGUGGAUAUUGAGGUCUAUAAUUCAGGAGAGAGAUCUGAGCCAGAGAUACCAGCACGUGGACGGCAUGGAAAUCGUUACUUCCCCAGCUGUUCCUAGAGUCUCCAUUGAGAUACUUACUUAAGAGACUUUUUUUUUUUCUUAAAACUUCUUUUCGGUUUUGUUUUUUCCAAUCUGCCUGGUGUCUUUGCCGAAGUGUGACUUGUGAGAGAAUAAAUGAGAAUAUGAGCUUCAGAGAAAAUAGGGAAAGUGUUCUGCAAACUCUGAAGGGUCGUGUAAAGGUUAGGUGGUGUUAUUAUUACCUGUCUCACAGAGUCGCGUGAGGUACAAAUGAAACUGUAUAUAUAAAAUGGCUUUGUAAUAUGGAAAAAUACAUAAUUAUACUUGAUUUUUAUGCCUUGUUAACUUUUGGCUAUGAGCUAAUACUCGCCUCCCCGAGUGCAGACAAUAACUCAGCGAAUCUUCACAACCAUGUGUGACCAAUAGAUACUAUUUCUUCCUAUUUUACAGAUGCGCAAACUAAAGCUCAUAAAUGGUGGACCCAGGAUUCAAAUCCGUAGAAUUGGCUCCUAAAAGCUGUGCUCUUGGCUGCUAUGUGGGACUGCCCCCCUUUUAAAUAAGUUUCAUCCAGUUUCUUCAGCUUCAAGAUGUAAAAAAUUUUAGGGACGUAUUUCAGGGUGGCCACUUAGAACCCGGCUAAAACAUGGCGCUCCAGGCAGGGGCUCCUGGCAAAGGGCUUUGUCUGUACUGAGUUUCACCAUUGAACCUGGCCUCAGACCUCACAGAGCACUGCCCACCUACCAAGUGUCCAUUCUGUGCCUGUUGAAUGUGAUGUCUACUUGAUUUAAGCGAAUUUGCCUGCAGCCACCCAGUGAGUCAGUAGUGGGCCAGGGACUAGAAUCUGGGUCUCCUGCCUUUCAAGCAUCACAUUUGUUUGGUAUUAAUAAACCAUAUUUCUCCAGGGGAUCUGGCAGAAAUUUGAAAGUGCUUAAUUUUACUGCAAUAAAUACUAAGAAUCCUUUUUAAAGCAAGGAAGCCAAGCCCCAACCAGGGAAAACCCGAUUUGCUCUGAGGGCCUUUGACAAACCCACACUGGCACUAGGGUUAGAUCAUAGAUUAUUGGCUUCGAUUCCAUCUCCCUCCAGGGCUUUCUGCAGGGGUUAAGACCUCUGUUAUGGCCACAGGCCGCAGCUGGACCAGGAAAUACUCUUGCACAUGAAGCUGGAAUGCACAGUGUUCUAUCCACAGAGUCAGCAGGUCACGGCCGAUUGCCAGCAGGAGGGCGUGAUGGCAAAGGUUACAUUCCUGGCACACUGCUGAUGCAGGUCGGGACCCAGGUGAAUUAGCCCGGCUGUCAGAAGGGAGACCUCUCUGCCUUUCCCACUGUGAUGGGUGCUGUGCUGUUAGCUUCCUGUGUUUGUGAGUGCAUGGUAUUUUCUGAAGCCACAUCCGGCAAGGAAAAGGUGUGGGCAUCCAGGAGGAGGGAGAGGAGCAUCUGAGUUACAAACGACUUGAGUGCAGAGAGUGAAGGGGGUGAUUUAUUUUGUCAUCAGAAGACUGCUAGACAUGCGGUGGACCCUCAGCUAACAGUUGAUUUUGAUAAAUCGAUUGAGAAGCAACUGAGAGAAAGGUUUCGGCAAGAUGAAAGCUGGAUUUCCAAGGUUGGUCUGACUGCGUUCAGACGGGAGCUGGGUUUGAAUGUAUUUUUCACAAGGGAGAUUACCACGGGAGACCCACAGUAUUGGGGUACAAAAGGCACGCGUUCUUUCUUUUAAUUCUCACGAUUCCCAGGGCAGGUGACAGAAGGUUACGUCUGUCUCUGUCUCAACAGAAGGGCUUCAGGCAGUUGUGGCAAAAGCGGACCAGAUGAGGGCUGUUCUCAGCUCAGCGGGUUGUGUUUUCUGCCACUAACCGUUCCUGGACAAGAUACUUCAAACCAUACUGGUCUGUUUGGACUUUUCCUUUCCCUGAAGAAAAAGUCAGCGUUCACAUUUUCUCUGUGGUGCACGUGAUUUUGCCGCCACUUCCUGCCGCCCAUGUCACCUGCAGAGACUGAGCAGUGAGGCCCACAAGGAGGCGUGCGCAGCCUCAGAUCUGGGGCUUUGUGAGCCUGGCGAGUCCUUACCUGUCCUGCGUGGAUCACACUGCCCACUUGGGGUAUGUUGUGUGAAGGGGAACACUGCGGGGCUCCCUCUCGGAGCCAGGCGCCUGAUCAGGGUUCACAAGGAUCCCCUUGGAGACAUAAUCGCCUUCCUAGCCGUUGAGUCUGAGGUUGUCCUGACCCCAGUGACCCUGCUUAUUGUUGGCAUAUGGUUUGCUCAUUGACCGGGGUCUUAUGUGAGUAGUAAAAAUGGAAAGGAUUUUUUUUUUAAUCUCUAUAUUUUUUAAGUAGCAGUAUUGAAUUUUUUUUAAUGUUUAUUUGGAGAGAGAGAAAGAGAUAUGGAGAGAGUAGGAAAGAGAGAGAGAGGGAGGGGGAGAGAGAGAAUCUCAAGUCGGCUCCACGCUGUCAGUGCAGAGCCCAACGCUCGAUCCCACGAACCGUGAGGUCAUGACCUGAGUCGAAACCAAGAGUUGGACGCUCAACCGACUGAACCACCCGUGUGCCCCGGGAAGGGUUUCUGGAGAACUAGUUCUUCCUGCACAUAAAUUGAUCCAAAGUUAAAAGUGGGGCUUUGUGUUUCCAAUAUACGUUGAAUGAAUAAAAAGGGAAGAAACUCUCGACCUUUAUCACAAUUUUAAACCAUCCACUUAGAGAAACGGCUCUGUAUUUACAAACAGGUAACUUGAAAGGUCAGUAAGCAGAGCAACCUGCUUUAAGUGGCUGUUGUAUAGACACAACGUAAAAGAUGUAGGAGCAAAUUAUUCCUCACUUCCGUGCUUCUGUGUCAUAAAUAAUCAUUUUAAUUUAAUGCUAAAAGAUCCCUUGGGGUUAUGAGAUUUUAUGAGGUAAUAGUUACAGAGACUUUUAAAAUCAAUGAGUGUAAAAUCUGAUGAAACUGUGAAAGUCUUCCUUCUGUUUACUGAAGCUGGAACUAGCAUGGCUCCUGUUGAGACACGUCUUCCCUUCCUUUCCACUUCUCUCUUCUUCCCUCCUCCCCUCCCCCUUCCUUUCCCUUCCUUUCCCUUCCUUUCCCUUCCUUUCCCUUCCCUUCCCUUUCCCUUUCUCUUUCCCUUUCCCUUUCCCUUUCCCUUCCCCUUCCCCUUCCCCUUCCCCUUCCCCUUCCCCGUUGCAUCCAGCCACAGUGUUGAUCCAAAGAUAACACAGACAUUACUGCUGCCUUCGUGGGAUUCACAAGCUAGUGGAAGAAGCAGGUGGCAUACAAGCAUGCAAAGGCAGCUGCAGGUUAUGAUGUGCCAUGAAGGACAAGACCAUUACGGACAAAUCUAGAGAACACCGGCAUGUUACUCAUUGUGAACAUACUCAGAACCUCAGGGUAAUGACAGAACUGAUCUCUUGUUACCUAUUAGAGGGUAGAUUUGUAAGCAUAAAGACCUUGGUUUUAUAAAGUAUCUAGUAAAGAAACACUCUUGGAGAUUAGUAUUAUGAGUUUGUUUUCCUAUAGGUAAAGAAUACAUAGGUAGGUACACUGAUACACAGAUGUAAACGUACAUAGACAUUUAACAUCCAGAGUUUUUUUAAAUUUUUUUUAAACUUUUUUUUUUCAACGUUUAUUUAUUUUUUGGGGGACAGAGAGAGACAGAGCAUGAACGGGGGAGGGGCAGAGAGAGAGGGAGACACAGAAUCAGAAACAGGCUCCAGGCUCCAAGCCAUCAGCCCAGAGCCUGACGCGGGGCUCGAACUCACGGACCGCGAGAUCGUGACCUGGCUGAAGUCGGACGCUCAACCGACUGCGCCACCCAGGCGCCCCCAAAGUUUUUUCUAAUAAGCACAAGUGACAGUGUAUGGAAACUUAAUUUUUCAUGUGUGCAUUGUAGGAUCAGAUGAUGGCAUUGGUUGAGUUGUGAUAGACUGGAGGAGAAAGAUCUUUUAAAAUUUUUUUUUUUUUUUUUUUUACAAAUACAGUUAGAGCUCUACCAUUUUCAAAGAGGAAUUGGAAAAAAGAGCGGUCAUUUCUGUGGUGUUUACAAUGGCUGUCUGUUCUAAAGAAACAAUACAUACAAUACCAUCAAUGCCCUUAGACGGAAAACAGGGAUCAGGUCUGCUGUUCAUACAAGACUCAAUGGGCGAGAGAGCGUGGAUGGAUGUAAGGAAGGCACCAUCCCUGAGGGUGGCCACCCUGGGUGGCAGGUCGGCCGGCACAGGAAUACCUUCUAAACACGGGUACCUUUGCACGUGUGCUGGGGGCUGCUCGGCCCUGCGCAUUUCCGAUUUCCUGUUGGAAAGAGGGGUUUGGCCUCAGGUUCUUCCCAGUCGUCACUCAUCAUGCUUAAAGUAAGCAGAAAACAGUGCCUUCAGCUCAGGGAAUGGGUCCGCUGUCCAUUAAUUCUCAGGUCUGUCUUUGAGUCCCCUGGGGGACAAAUGUUGUGUCUUUUUCUUUGGCCUCCCGACUAAACGCAGCCAGGGUUUUUAAACCCACUAAUUUUCAAAGAUUUGCUAACAGAGUAGCAAUAGGAGUGGAAUACUCGACCUUUGAAAGCUGGUUCAUGUUUGUGGUUGAUGCUGUAUUUUUAAGUGAUUUAAAAACAAACACCUCAUUUUAAUAAUAGUUCACUUCACUGUCCUUCUCACCACCGUCAUUUCCAUGAGGUUCUAGGUCUUUUGUGAGCAAAUUAAACACGGUACUUUCUUUAUGGCAUGAAUUAAAUCUAGACCCCAAUGAUAUUUGGCACUUUCUAAAUACCCAGAUGGGCACAGCGUUUGCCUUGAAGUGAAGACGUGCGCAGGGUUUUAAUCAACAUCAUGUUUUAUUUUUUCCUCUUUUAAAUAUCGCCUUUUCAAUAGUUGCUCCUUAAUGAAUGACUGAUUGUUUACUGUGGUUUAUAACCAGAAAUUUGAACAUCAGAAAAUUCUAACCAAGAUCAGGAUGAAAAAAAAUUUCCCCUCUCAUUCUCUCAUCCCUUACAUUAGACAAAAAUAAAUUGUCUUCCUUAAGUUUGAGAAAUCCCUUCGUUGUCUUCUUGAAAGCUUAAGUGUAAUAAAUCAGAGGAAGUUUAAUUAUAGUUCUUAAACCAUAAAAAGUUCUUAUAAAAUAAAAACAGAGGUAGGGCUAGAAUAAGUUUCAUGAACUCUUGAGUGUAACCAGCACUUGAAAGAAAAUGUAGUUAAAAAUCUAUUUUUGCUGCAUCUUCUCCAUUAUUUUUCCAUUAUUUGAUCACUGUGAACAUAACUUGGGGGUUUUUUAACAGUAGAAACAAGACACGGAGUUUGUUACCUACUCAGGUAAGAUCAUCUGAGUCCAAAGACCAGAUUCCAGAACAGGGCUCAGACACCUGUCGAGGGUGAGGGUUGUUCAGGACAGCCUGAAGGCAGAAGGGCGGUAUUGUUGUAGGGGGUCUUAAAUGAGAGUUUGGGAUCAGAAUUGUACCCUCUUUUAUCUUUGAAAGUAAUAAGUGAAUCUUCGUAGCAGAUUAUUCUCUUGAAGCAGAUUGACUUGAUGACCACAUUGGAAGUGAAGUGCCCAUCUAAUUAAGAAAAGAAAUAGCUGAUUAAAAAAAAAAAAGGCCAGGUAGCUGAGAAAUGGUGUUUCUUCUGCUGAACUUCUUUUCCAAACGUGAACACAGAGUCAUGGAAGCAGGUGAUCCCAUUGCUAUCCGUGUGUUGUGCUUUGCCACACGUCACACACACGCACACACACACACACACGCACACCCUCACAGACAGCCUCUCAGCCCUUGGUUUUCCAGCUUCAUCUGUCCCAGAGGGCCCCAUGCACUGUGGGUUUAGGCUAGGGCUUGGGUUUGGUGACAGUCAGUGCUCCCAAGGCAGAGGACUGAACUUAGGGCAGACGUGACAACAGAAAACUUGUCUGCACUUUGCCUGGUAUGUCUGUAGUCAGCAUUGCAUUUAUAAUGGAAAUAAAUGAUCCGACACUCACCUAGAUAAAUAUAAUUUAUAAUUUUGAUGUAAGGUCGAAACAGGAAAGAUUAUGCUUUUCAAACUGCUCUGAGGACUAACCCACACCACUCAUUUUAAAUAGUGGUGAGCUGAACCUGGCAGCAUCUGAAACAGUGUUCACCAUUUGGUCAAACACCUGCAGUUGGGUACUAAUGUGCAUGUUUAAUUGCUUGAACUUAAGUGAUAAAAUCCCUAAAAGGGUGUUCUUACCCCAGAAAACAAGACAAGUCUAUUGCAAAGACUGUCUGCCCGCUCUUACAAGCUCCAUGCGUUUCAUAGGACUUAACACUCCAGUCCCUCUUAGAAGAGCCCUGUUUUGAAAUACAGGAAGUUUAGCUCUUGAGGGAAAAGCCCAGAUGGCUGAACCAUCAGCAGAAUCCCUGCAUACGCUCCCUUGAGAAGUGUCCUCUGUCCGAAACACGUUCAGUUCAGGAGCUGUAGUUCUGUGGGUUUCUUGAAGGUGCUGAUUAGCGUGGCCAGAAGUCUGUUUCAUCAGCCCGGAGACUGCCGUUAUUUUCACCUCCAGCCCCUCACCUCCGCUCGUGUUGACUCUCUGGGGCCAGAGGAGAUACCAGAAGGCGAUUAAAGCAGCCCUGCAACAGAGCAGGGCGCUCUUGGCUUGUGCCUUGUUAUCUGUCCCUCCAGCGGUUCCUCACUGUUGUGACGUCAAGGCCGCCAUUCAAGGCAGAGAAAAAGGAAACCGUGGCCUCUCUCCGCAUCAGUAGCCCGGACAAGCUGUCGUUUCUCAGGCAUGCAGAACGCUCUCUGUCUGGCAGAGCUGUGCAUUCCAUGCCUGGGUGACCUGGUUACAUGGAGGAAACCAAAUGCUCUCCACUGGAUGCUCUCCAAAACAAGCUUUCCACCCUGAGCUCCUGAAGCAAGGGCUUCGCGGCUCCUGAGGACUGCAGAUGGAACGGCAGCACGGCCGUGCGUCGUCUACUUGAUCUUGGGCUUCUGGUUUGUCUUAAAAGACAGAAUACCCUUAUCAGUGGCCUUCGCUAAUCUACUCUGCAGCAGCAUCCUGAUGCUACCCUUUGGACCAGUGCUAGAAAAUCCUGUUUGGAAAACCAGUCCUGUGUUACAUGUCUUCUGGAAUCAUGGUCAGAGGUCCAGAACCGUUGACCUGCCACCUCUUCCCUCCCAUCCCACUUCUGCUCACCCCCGUUCCCUGGUUCCAGACUGCUGGAUUCCAGAAAGGCUCUCGGAUAUACUCACAUAUUAAUUUUGACUCUGUAUCACUCAGUUUCUGUACCCUUUGCACGUAGGAGAAAGGAGCUCUGCUAUGAUGUGUCAGUCACCGGCUCUCGAUUUUUCUCAAUGAAGAGUAAGACUUUUGCUUUUCAGAGGGAAGGAGCUAUUUGAAAGUGUCACAGACCUGCUGUCUCUUUAGGAACAGGCCAAGAUCGCUACAGAGGAUAAUAAUUUUGCAAGGCGAGAAACUCACUGGUAGUGUUCUGAUUGCUGACACAAUUUACCAACUUAAGAAUCCGUCUUCUGAGGGCACACCUUCUUGGGUUUCUUUCUGGCAUGGGAGACCACAUUAUUUUAUUAGAUUUCUUGGAAGUGGACAUUAUAGUCACUAGAAAAAGCACAACAACCACAAUUUGUUUCCAGAGUCGUCCUGGUUAAGUCAAUAUGCAUUUGAGGUUUUAUAUUAUAAAUCCCAUUAAAUCAUUCUCAAAAUAGCCCUUUGGCGAACCUAUGAUUGAAGGAUAUUUGCAGGAACCCCAACCAUUUAGUUGUAUUUUUUCUCAUCAUGGUAAGUGUACUCUUUAAUCCCCACCCUGUUUCCCCCCACUCUACCACCCCCUUCUGGUAACCAUCAAUUUUUUCUCUAUAGUUAAGAGUCUGUUUUUUACCACCGCCCCCCUUUGCUUAUUUGUUUUGUUUCUUAAAUUCCACAUAUGAGUGAGAUCAUAUGGUACUUGUCUUUCUCUGAAAGAGUCUUAGCAUUAUACUCUCUAGCUCCAUCCAUGUGGUUCCAGGUGUUAAGAUUUCCUUCUUUUUUAUGGCUGAAUGAUAUUCCAUUGUAUAUAUAUAUAUAUAUAUAUAUACCACCUCUUCUUUUUCUUAGUGUUUGUUUAUUUUGAGAAAGAGAAAGAGCACAUAAGCAAGGGAGGGGCAGAGAGAGAGGGAGAGAGAGAAUCCCAAGCAGGCUCUGCACUCUGUCAGAACGGAGCUCGACACGAGGCUCAAACCCAUGAACCAUGAUACCAUGACUUGAGCUGACAUCAAGUUGGAUGCUUAACCAGCUGAGCCACCCAGGGGCCCCCAAAACCAUUUAGUUUUAUAUAUGAGCAUAUAUACAAGUUUUUUGUUGGGAAGGAUUUGGAUACAGUGGGGCCUUUUUAAAGUGAAUUCUUACAAGACAGAAUUCUUUCAGAUUAUAAACUCUUGUCUUCCGGGGGGAAAAAAAAGUAAAAAUCAUCAGGAAACUGGGUAAAGAUGGAAUGGAUGGGGGUGAGUCUUAUAACGUUGGGACUUAAACUAAGUUUACUGGACUGCAAUCUAGCUUCACAUAGACAGUCAGACUUGACAUAUGAUGCCACACCUGUGCCCCCAUAGAUGCAGUGAGGGGAGCGGGGCAGGAGCUGAUGAGCGUAGCUUCUUCAUGGGUGCCUUGGACUAGGGGAGCCUGAGAAUCUUGAAGUGAGAGGAAAACUAGGACGUUACUUUUCCUUUGUGGACCAGAGAAGUUCUCCCUUUUUUUGUUGACUGCCAUUUGCCCAUCAAUAAUCCCUUCAUUCUUCUUUUUCUAUCCCUGCCAUUUCAGAAGGUCCUUAUUAUCUGAAGAGAACUGGCACCAGAAAACUGCUUUAAGAGAGUCAACUUAAAACUGAAUCAGAUAUUUGAAACAAACAGUAAGAAAAAACUAUUUUAAGAGAUUGGUAUUAGGACUAAGCCUUGAAAAGUUAAAAAUAAGCGGAAUCUAAAUUUGUCUUAUAUUAUAGAAAAGAAACUUGGGAUACGAUGCGCCAAUAUGUUACUUCUUAGAACAAAACUGCACGGUGACUUCUGCCACAGAAUCGUAAAGACGGUGAUUUUGGUGUAAGCGUUCAAAGUUUCCCAAGGGCCUCUCUUAGCCUUUGGAUAUACAAACCAUGGUCUUGAAGAGGCUCCCUCUCAUGAAAUCACCUCUUGUUGACUUUGACUUCCUUCGUCGUCAACUAUUCAGCACAAGUGAACCACAUUGCAUUUGCGUUCUGUGAUACGUAGCAACCAAAGAGUGAGCCAGAAUAGAUGCUGAUGUUGAGGACUAAGCAUUAAGUGAUCACUUUAUUUGUCAGUGUUUUCAUGUUAUGAUGACAUUUGCUUCCUUGUGCAGCCUGGUCACCACAGAGACCCAGAAUGAUUACUGAAGUAAUCAUGGACCGUUCCAUAUUAUGUUACAUCUAAAGCGCUCAGUACGGCUUAGUGGGCUUGAUAAUCAAACACACGUACGUGUGUAUGCACUUCCCUGGCACUUAACGAGGUUCUAGAACCCUGGGUAAGUUAUUCACAGAACCUCAAUCAGGUUCUUGAUAUGUAAUGUAGAGUAAUAAAACCAGCCUUUCAGACUGGUCAUGGAAAUUCGAGCCCAUGGAUAUAAAACUCCUGGGUACUACAUAGCACAUGCAAGUCAAAAUGAGAAAUGUUCCCUGUUAGGGUUCGUGUUGCAUUUGUGUGGUGCCUUCCGGUUUAUGUAAGACUCUCACGUUUAAUUCAGACUGAAGAACUGAAAUUUUAGGAAAAUCACUAAAGAUUUUUAAGGUCUACAGUGACCUGAGGAAUCUAAAUUUUGGAAGACUAUAUUCGGCGACCCUGUACGUCAUGGAUUAGGCCACAUGAUUUGAUCACCAUUUCCUUCAUGCUGUAGGUGGGAACAGUGAGGCCCAAGGAAAUUACACAACUUUCUCAGGAUCACAUGGUUAGUAUCUGGCAGAGCUCUACCUAGAACCCCAUCUUCUUACUCCUUACUGUGUUUUCCCAUCACAUAGUUGCUCAUUGUCAAGAGAACCAAUUAAAAAGGCCACUGUACUUGUCCAGGAACAGAGGUCCACCAUGUUUAUUGGCAGUGGGAAAGGGAGGGGGAGGGAAAAGGCAGUGGUCAUUGAAAAUGGGUGCUUUUUUACCAGGCUCCGUGAAGAGGGGAGUCAGAGGCUGAGCUUGCAAACUUGGCUGGAUGGCCAUACAGUUAAUUAAAUUAAAAUAAGUAGAAUUUGUUGGUUUUGGUUUUGUUGCUUCCUAACAAGUUUAAAGGGACCGCCCCAUCCAGAUGGAAAUAGGUAGGAUUAAAAGUAGGAGAAAACGCCAGUGCUGAAGACAUAAAUUCGAGACCAAAAUGCUAAAGCAGGAGCAUUGAAACAGUUUUUGUCUCUAUAUGUGAAUAUAUGCACCUGGACUUUGUGACAUAUUCUCAGUUUGACACCAGCCCACAUUGUUGUAAUUUCCUGCCCAGUUAUAAUCACUAACUGUUGUACCUUCAUCAGAAAGAAUUGUCCCCAUAGAUUCUUCUGCAUUUGUGUGUUUGUUUUGUUGGAUGGCUCCUGCUGUGGCACCGAGAGACAGACUUUGCCGGGCCCUGUUUUAUAAACAAAUCUGUUCGUGCACACUUUUCUUCUAUCAUUGUGUGUGUACAACUGUCUCUGCUUUUCCCUCUAGACACACGGAAGCCCAGGAAGUUAGAAGCUUGUUUUCUUUUAGAACUAUGCAGGCAUCAAAGAAAAAUGUGUCCAUGCAUUAAACAUGUACACAUCUAUCCUGUGUAAGGUUUUGAAUCUUCACUAUUUUAACUCCAGGCAGUGACCUCUCCAAGCAUACAUUGCAGCCCACUACACACACAGUAGCCCUGAAAGACAUCCUUAAAGCUGCCACAAAAGUUUUGAUUAAGCUCAGUGAAUAAAGCUCUUUUUACUUUUAAAGUUCAUUCUGUGGACCAUAAAUGGGACUAGUCACCCAAGAUGAUGAAAGCAUAAUGCUGAAAGAUAAUUCGUCCCUUGCUUAGAUUGGAAAGUGAAUUUAUAAUAAUAUAUAUUCAUAUGGUCACUUCCUACCUGUAGGGUGUGUGUGUGUGUGUGUGUGUGUGUGUGUGUGUGUUUUAUUUAAUAUUCCAGCCAAGUUCAAGUUUUUAUGACAGGAAGUAUGUGAAUGGUUAUGAUAGGAGCAAAUAACACUUGAUUUUAUGAUUAUAUAGUGCAGGAAGUAACUUUUCAUGCCAAGUAAAUCUUUGGGGGAAAAAAAGUGCCGGCUUAUAAAUCUAACGUAUGUAAGUUUCCCAGAAUCUUUGCUCUAUUAAGUAGAAAUGACACCAGCAUGUGGUCUUAUUUCUUCCUUUUCCUAACUUUUCUUGUCGAUAAAUGUCUCUGUUUUAGGAAUGGGCAUUUUCAGGUAUUUUGGUGUGACCCAACAUGACCCAGAACCACUCAAAAAGUUCUAAGUGAAUAUAUAAUAGGGCCAGACUUGAUGGAAUAUAUAGCAUGAAAAGCUUGAAGGCACUGAAUAGGAAAGUUCUUUUUCCAUGAAGAGUAAAUGGCCAAGUCCUCACUCGCCAUCAAAGCGGAGGAGUCCCCUAAGUUCUCUUACUCGUGGGGCCAUCCAUGUUCAGUAAGCAAGUGGGAAAGACAGUUUGUUUAACAUCCAAGAGUCUGUAUAUGAGCAGGUUUAAGAGAAAAGAAAGAAUUGGGUAGAACUUCGGGUAUGUUCCUCACCGGCAGACCUUUAAUGGAGGCUUUUGUUUUUAAUAGUGAUGAUGAUGAUGAUGAUGAUGAUGAUGAUGAUGAUGGAAAGAAAAGAUGAUUUUUCCUCAUCUUUCUCUUUUCUUCUUAAAGCCUGAGGGACUUAUAGUGAGAAGAAAGUUUAUAACUGAUGCUUGUUCUUAGGACCGACCGGUAUUACACACACAUGCAUCACAUGAGUGAAUGGAUGCCAGUUAGUCAGAUAAGAAUACCCGAGAAGUGUCUCAUAAUUCCGCGUGCCUCCACAGCUCCUGUGGGCUGUGACACAGUGACACAGCACCACUGAGGGAGUGACUGGGUGGAGAUUCAAACUUUAACCCUGUAACCGUGAGCCUCCCUUAACUACACUGAUUGAAAACACAGUGUCUAAAUACCUUUUACCUCUAAAACUUAGUAUCACAGAUUUUGCAAAGAAGUAGUUUGCAAAUUUAUGAAAACAAAUGUAUUAGAGUUACCAGUACUUGGUUGUCCUUAAUUUCCUUUAAAUCCGGUAGAGAAAAUAUUUGCAUGUGGCCUGAUGAAAAAUCUGCCUCAAGGAAUAGUGCACAAGGCAGUUUCCCGAGUGCUAUUUUACUUCACGCGCACCCAGCCUGGUGUGACUGGUGGGCAUCCCCGUGGAAGGCUCCGGAGCAGAGUGGUCAAGGUCAGGCUCCCUGGUUUUGAAUCUUGAAUCCUGGCCCCACCACCCACUGAUGGUGUGACCCUGACCAGGUCUGUAGAGUCCCAGAGGCUCAGUUUCCUUGUGUGUAGGCCAGGGAUAGUGAUGGAAUUCAGGGUUGCGGUGGGAAUUCAGCGAGUAGGUAUGUGUACAGCUCGUGGUAGUGUAAGCCAGCCCUGUAUGUCGUUUUGCCUUUACCACUGAUGAUUAAACUGGGCGAAAGGGGUCGGGUGACCCGAACCAGAGCAAAGCAUAGCCAGAGGAAGAGCCGCAGCUCAAACACAGGCCUUCUGUGUGCCCUCCCCAUGCGAGGCCGCCCCCCCUCCCUUUCUGUAAAAGUGCUACUAAAGAUUGCACUCCUUUUCACUGCUUAAAAGAAAACUUGGAGUCAGGUUAAACGUAAAAACAUUUGUCACAGGGUUUUAUUUUGUUUGGGAGGAGCGGGGCAGGGGAUGGUGGGCCCAGAGAUCUGGAGGGUGAACACUGAUCUAUAAACUUGGACCUGAAUGAUGUCUGCAGCACACCAGAUGGCAGCAAGACCUGGGUAGUCUGUGUGGUUCAGUCACGUUCAAAAUACCCACCCUGAGAAGUAAUCCCCUUAGCACCCCCAGUGCACAGGCGGCAGCUUCUUGGGGGCAGCACAGCUGGAGGGUCCGUGUUCUGUGUGCUGUUCCCCCCCCCCAAGCACGUAUUUCGUAUUUCAUGGUCUUUAUUCUGUGUUGCUCUACUUUUCCUUUCUCUUCUUAAAACAUCUGCAUUGGCCACCCAGACCUUAAGAGAGAGAUUCCUGUGAAGCACAGUCUGAAAAGGGAACCAAGGCACAGAAGCUUUGAGAGCUCUGGGCAUGUGUGUGACUAAGGCCCAGUGUGAGAGAGAAGCUGGUGUUUUAGUGAGCGAGGACACUAACCUAUUCUGACACGUGAGUAGUUGUCAGGCCUCUAAUCACUGCUUUUUUUAACGUUUAUUAUUUUUGAGAGAGAGUACAAGUGUGGGAGGGACAGAGAGAGAGGGAGACACAGAAUCCAAGGCAGGCUCCAAGCUCUGAGCUGUCAGCACAGAACCUGCUGUGGGGCUUCAACCCACGAACCGUGAGAUCAUGACCUGAGCUGAAGUUAGGUGCUUAACCAACUGAGCCACCCAGUUGUCCCCCUCCCCCUUUUUUUUUUAAUCUUUUUUAAUGUUUAUUUAUUUUGGAGAGAGAGACAGAGCACAAGCAGAGGAGGGGCAGAGAGAGAGGGAGACACAGAAUCCGAAGCAGGCUCCAGGCUCCAACCUGUCAGCACAGAGCCUGACGUGGGGCUCGAACUCCUGAACCGUGAGAUCAUGACCUGAGCUGAAGUUGGAUGCUUAACCGAUUCAGCCAUCCAGGUGCCCCUUCCCCCCAUUUUUUUAAAUAAUUUUUUUUUAGGGGCGCCUGGGUGGCGCAGUCAGUUAAGCGUCCGACUUCAGCCAGGUCACGAUCUCGCGGUCCGUGAGUUCGAGCCCCGCGUCAGGCUCUGGGCUGAUGGCUCAGAGCCUGGAGCCUGUUUCCGAUUCUGUGUCUCCCUCUCUCUCUGCCCCUCCCCCGUUCAUGCUCUGUCUCUGUCCCCCAAAAAAUAAAUAAACGUUGAAAAAAAAUAAUUUUUUUUAUUAUUUUUAUUUUUGAGAGAGAGAGAGAGCGUGAGCAGGGGAAGAGCAGAGGGAGAGGAUCUGAAGCAGGCUCUGCAGUGACUACAGAGAGCCGGAUGCAGGGCUCGAACUCACAAACCACACGAGAUCAUGACCUGAGCCGAAGUUGGACGCUCAACCGACUGAGCCACCUAAGUGUCCCAUCAUUGCUCCUCCUUUCACCAUGCUUAGUAUUGAUAGGAUUUUUUGAAGUUGUAGAUACUUAAAACUGUUCUCCCUGUAAUGGGUUCCUCUUCUUUUGACAUUAUACAGAAUGUUCCUCUUGCUGUUGAGGAGGCUCAUAAGGUCUUAGGAGUGAGGGCAGAGGAUAGACUCUUACGCUGUGUUGUCGUUUUGGAUAGAAUUCUUAACAUCAAUUAUUGAUGCUGUUUUUACUCGUUCUCAAUUUGAAGAUUAUAUUCAUAUCAUGCAAAUGGUUCCCUACUGUUCUUUUUAAAAUACCAGUUUGAAGGGCACUUGGGUGGCUUAGUCAGUUGAGCAUCUGACUUCGGCCCAGGUCAUGAUCUCCUGGCUUGGGUGUUUGAGCCCUCUGUCAGCCUCAGCACUGACAGCUCAGAGCCUGGAGCCUGCUUGGGAUCCCGUGCCUCCCUCUCUCUCUGCCUCUUUCCCACUCACAACUCUGUCUCUCUCUCUCAAAAACAAAAAAACGUUUAAAAAAACUAAAAUAAAAUAAAAUAUCAGUUUGGCAAAGGUUAUAAAAAUAUAUCGCAUUAGUGAACAUUGGCUUCCAAAGCAUAAAACACAAUGGCUUUAUUAAAAAAUCUUCCCAUGUGUUUUCCAUGUUUACCUUGAGUAUUCAAAACCAAGAAGAGUCAGGAUAAAAGUGGCAGAGUGCCACCACAUUAGAAAUCACGGGCUGAAGGUGCUGGGUCACAACUGUCCAUUCAUUGGUCUUUAGUCUUGAGUUUGCACUAAGUGGAAGCUGGUAUUUUUCUCCUCAUACCUUCAGGAGCCCCGCCCCCUCCCCACCACUUCCACCCAAGACAGAAGCACAGUAACAACCUGAAAAUAAAGGACAGGAUUUUUUUUUAAUUAAUUAAUUAAUUUAUUUUAGAGAGAGUGUGUGAAGUGGGGAGGGACAGAGAGAGAGGGUGACACAGAACUCGAAGCAGGCUCCAGGCUCCGAGCUGUCAGCACAGAGCCCGACACGGGGCUUGAACUCACGAACUGCGAGGUCGUGACCUGAACCGAAGUUGGAUGCUCAACUGACUGAGCCACCCAGGCGCCCCAGAGGGCAAGCUUUUUUAAAGCCCCUCUUUCAGCACGGUAUCUACUAGUCCCAUCAGAAAAUGGUCUCUGUCACCAUUGGAACUCUCUAGGAUAAAAGCAGUUUUUUUUUAAAUUUGCCCAGUUGUUAAGAAAUUCUGCUCCUCUCUGACAUAAAUGAUCAUGUUUGGCUGAAGCCAAGAGAAAUACAAAAUGUCGUAUUUUAGCCCUACAUGACCAGUUUUCAAAGGGUGCUUUGGUGUGAACGCCACAUGGCCAUCCUGUUAAUGUGAUGGAUGGGGUCUUACAAAUAACUAUUUUUCUGCCCCCGUCAUCAACAAAUCUGAAAAACUUCUCUCUUUCCACAAACCCUAGGGAUGGCCCUCAGAGCCUGGGGUCUUCCGUGUCUCAGUGCCCAGUAGGAGAGAAGAUUUCCAUAUUCGAAAUUUGGGGACAAGUGAAAAUAACUCUGUCUUUCCUUGAAGGGUUAAUGCUCCAACCAGCUCUGGAUUGGUUCGCUCGAAUCUUAAAAUUACUUUUCUGGUCACGCGCACUGAAGGUCUAAGCAUUUGUGAAAUGUCUUUUUUUUCCCCCCCUUCUUUCUCCUGAUGCUGUUCUCUUGGCUGUCUUAAUUACACAGGGGUUGAGAAACCAAAUUAAAAUUAGGCGUGGCUGGUAAACAGUGAUCACGUUGCAUGCUUUUAGUUUUGCGUGUUGGAGUUACUUCUCGUCCCUGUGUUGCUUGCCUCCCACUUUUUUUUUUUUUUCCGAAGGAAAUAUCAUAAGCUCUUUUAGAAAUACUCACAGGAAGUGAGUAUCCAUAUGCUGGUUUCUCGCCAGCGACUGAGCGUUGACAGGUGGAGAAUAGGGCUGCAGCCCUCCCAGAUUUAUUUGCACAUUUCCACCAGAGCAGAGGAUUAAUUCAGGGUGUGAUAGACCAAAGGGGUUUUGUAGAGCCAGGGAGUCAUAAGAGGAAAUUGGUCAGUACGCGUCAUCUCGAGAGGGAGGGUGAUUCAGGUUGCUGCGGUGGGGUCAGCAAGGCACGUGGCUGCUGUGUCUGAGGGUUCUGCUCGCUGCUCCGAGGGCAGGCUGCCUUCUAAAAAUGAAUGCUCCCUCCACCGCCAACAGCGAUUCUUUCGCAGUGAAUCACUUCCAGAAAUGAAUAGCCACAGUUUUUCUGGAAUGAACGUUGUGAAAUCCCUCACUCAUAAUGGCAGGUUUUCAGUUGGUGGUUUUAUCAGAAAUUUCUCAAGAUCAAAACGAAACCUCCUCUUUAAAAAGAAAGAAAGUACUCUCGAUACAGAAAGCAAAAGUAUUUCCAGUCUCUUCACGAAGAACUGUCACAGAAGAUCUCCGUACCUGUGUUUAGAGACGCACGUCUGUGUAUUUUGCCUGAAACGCGUGAGUUCUCAGAAUUAAUGGAUUCGUUGCCGGUGGCUGGUGGUUUCCGAUGCAGAAGGUCGCCAGCUAGAAGAAAUGUUCUGUCCGGUGAGUAGGUGGUAGAUUCCGAUGAUUUUUGCUAAACCAGCGUUCAUGGUCUUGAGUUGUGGAUUCAAAAGACUGCCAGCAAGCUCUUAAAUGCUACUGCUUCAUAUGAUUUAGUGGAUGGAACCACAGGAUUCACAGAAGCCUGUGAAGGGUUUUUCAGAAUGUGGAGUAACUGAAUAACCAUUGGAUUUUUUUUUUUAUUUUUAUUUUUCUGAGUUACACUAGUCCUUUUGAGGAGGAAAGGACGUUUUACAGAAGGAAGCGGUUUGUGGGGGGCUUUUAGAGCUACAGCUACUGCUCUUCUAUAUGUAAAGUACUGUUCUGCCCUCUUAGAAGAUAGAAACAAAUGUACGGUCUCAACAGAGAAAAAGUUAUGGCAGCUCUUUCUAAAUGAAGAAACUUCAUCCACGUCUUACUCCUAACUGGAUUUUUUUUUUCCUCCUCAAUACUCACAAGGAGAAACUGGAAGAAGACUAACCUUCUGGCAGUGCCUGCGAUGUGUCUCAUUCAGAACCCGGUGAGCUCUCCGUAGAUUACCGGCCACCCUUUUAUCCAGGGGGCGAAGAGAGGGAAAGACAGUUACUGGAAACAGUGAGUGCAGUUUAAGGAACUGUUCUCUCUCCCAAGCGGAUAAGUUGUUUGACCUACUGACUCAUUUCAUAGGAAUUGGGAAAACAACCUAGUGUGGUUUUCAUUGUUAGUCCUGGAAGAUUCCAAAAUGUGUGUGUCUGCAAAUAAGAGGAGUUGGAGAAAGGUAGUGUUGCCAUUUGCUGUCUCUGCUUGCCUGUUUUCCUGACGGAAUUCAAUCGCUUGUUUCCAGGACAAGACCAGCCCGUGCUCCAGAAUCCUCUGUGCACUGCUCAGUGGUGAGUAUGGAUGACAGCAGUUUCCGAUUUCCACUGGUUCUUGCUUCUAAAUUUCUAAAUGGCUUUUCGUCCUAGGAAAAGCUUUAAAGAGCAUCUUUUCCUGGCCCAUUUAUACUACAUUUCACAUUUACCUGUAGAAAAUACUGUGGAUGUGGUGAUGAUUCUAAAAGAUGGUAUAACCUACAGACGACAAUAGAAGUUAGGAGUUAAGAUAGAUUGAUUUUUGCAGCAUAUCGUCCUAAAGGCAGUGUUGAUUUUGACAUAUUUACAUUAAGGGUUUUCGUGAUGUUCUUUAAAACACACGUAUGGAAGAUAACAGUACGUUCUGGCAAAAAUAAUAAAGUUACUAAUAGUUGGUGAAAGGCAUAUGUGUUUGGUUAGUAACAUUUGUGUGCAGAGAAGCUUUUUGAUUCCUGAUGUUUGGGUUUUAAAGCAAUGUUACCAGAUAAACUAAAGGUAUCAAAAGAGGACAAAGAAAGUAUUACUGAACUUUGUUUAAAAGUAGAAAGCUAUUUGAAGUGAUUAACACUCGAAGUGUUAGAUUAUCGCCUCUUAUCUUUUCGUGUACGUUGGGUUUCCCAAAUCACACCUUGAAGUUACAGUCUCCAUUAACGCAGAAGAUGCUUAAUGUAGAAUUGUGGCAGAAUUUCUCUUUCUCUUUGGAAAUGGCAGAGUAGAAAGUUGAAUCGGUCAUUCUGGUGCUGCUUAUUCGGUUUACUGCUUUAUUGUGUCCGAGUGCCUUAGAACUGAGGUACUUAACCUUUUCAGGGUGUUGGGCCCCUUUGAGAUGAUGGUGGAAGCUAUGAGCCCACUUAGCACACUCACAGUAAGUUGCCUACAUUUCAGGGCAUUUGCAGCUCAGUAGGGUUCAUCUGGGGCCCCCAGGUUAAGGACACAGCCCAGAGCCAGACCUUACCAUGAUUCUGCCAUACCUGAGUUCCCUAGUAAACACUGUGAUUUAAAAGAGGAGGCAUCCGAGUCAGAAAGAAGUCAUUCUCUGUUUGCUAGGUAGGGGUGCAGAGCCUGAAAAAGGGAAGGAAGAAAGGUGGAGUGGAGAAAAUAUGUGACUGAUACUAAAUAAGUAAGGAGAAUGGAUAAUAUUCUCAGAACCUCCGAACAGAUACCGCAGGAUCCCUAAACAUUUAACCGUGUAUCGUUGUAGAGACUUUAAGACUCAUGGUUAACAGUUGGGGAGGAUUUUUCACAUACAUAAUGAAAUCUCUUUUCUUUUUUUUUUUCUUUUCCAUUGUGUACGUUACCAAAUUAGGACUACAAAUCAUCCAGACUCCAGAAAUGUAAUUGAAAACAAGUGUAACAAACUGGAAAAUGGUUCUCCAUUAGCAGAAGAAAUCUGGUGGGGAUAGAUGGAAGGUAGUUUAGUUGAGUACAGAAAAACACCAUUUAAAAAGAACUGUAGUCCUCACUGCCCAUCAAGUCAAUUCAAGUCAGUACUGUAAGGCUGUUGUGGAAAAAAAUAGACAUAUGAGUCUUGGCUGUAUUAACAGAAGUAUGACAUAAAAGGGUAAGAAAACAAGGCUUGCAUUAGUCACACUCGUUAUUGUGUCCAAUUUGAGUCACAUUUGAAAAAAAGAUUUGGGGUGAUUAUAAAGAGCAGAUACACAAGCAACAAAAGUUGUAUACUCUUUCAGCAAAAGAUAAAGUGGCUGAGAGUUUUAGCCUGAAAAAGUCUAAGGGAUUUCUUGCUAAUGGUCUAUGAGUAGUGGGAGUCUGAUUUAUCUUUAGAUCCCUGGGGCCCAGCACACUGCCCUGCUUUUCAGUAAAUUGCAGUGUUUUAGAUGACUGUCUUGUGUGAGGACUUUGGUAACACUUCCACGAUAGGCUGGGCAGGAGCAAAUGGAUUCACGUAAAACCAAAGAGAUAUUGUCAGGACGUAAGGUAUAUAGGGGCGCCUGGGUGGCUCAGUUGGUUAAGCGUCUGACUUUGGCUCAGGUCAUGAUCUCACAGUUCAUAGGCUCAGGCCCCACGUCGGGCUCUGUGCUGGCAGACAGCUCAGAGCCUGUAGGUGCCUUCGGAUUCUGUGUCUCCCUCUCUCGCUGCCCCUCUCCCACUUGCACUCCCUCUCUCUUUCUCAAAAUAAAUAAAUAAAAUUUUUUUUAAAAAGCAUAUUGGGGUGCCCGGGUGACUCAGUCGGUUAAGUGUCCGACUUUGGCUCAGGUCAUGAUCUCAUGGUUCGUGGGUUCAGGCCCCGCGUCAGGCUCUGUGCUGACAGCUCAGAGCCUGGAGCCUGCUUCAGAUUCUGUCUCCCUCUGUCUCUUCCCAUUCCCUGCUCGCACUCUGUCUCUGUCUGUGUCUCUCUCUCUCAAGAAUAAAUAAACAUUAAAAAAAUUUUUUUAAAGAACAUAAGGUAUAUAAUAAAUUUGUUGGCUGAUGAAUAGAUAAGAAAGACUGCUUCCGUUGCCAAGAUUAUCAAGUAGAUGAGUGGCUGGCCGAGGGAGUUGAUGAGAUCUUGGGUUGAGAUCUUUCCCAAGAUGAGAAUAGGUAACUGUGUCUGAGAUGGUGGAAACGUUUAUUAAUUCAUUCAACAAACACUGAGGGCCUCCUUUGCGAGGACUCACAUUCUGGGAGAGGAGGCAAAGGCACAAAAAUAGAGAUCACAGUGUGCGAUGGGGGUUGCGGUUGCGUAAAAUCAGCCUGCCGUGGGACCUGGUAACACCUAGCUGCCACCCGUGAGGCCUCCUGAUGAAAGGGAUGUCUGAAUUGACUCUUGUUAGCUAGGAGUUAGCCAGACAAGGGAGGCAAGCAUUGUGGCGAGACGCUGGGUCAGAGGCUCAGCGCCUGAGCUACAGUGGAGGGUGUGAGAGAGGAACAGUUAAGAGAAGGUGAAGCCGGAAGGGAGUCCCUGACAACGGUUCUAAGACGCCACACCACCUUAGCCUGAACGUCUCUGUCUGGGAGGGUAACGUGGGCAGACGCACUUUGGAAAGCUCACAGGGGCUGCAGUGAAGAGAAUGAACUGGGGGGAAGGGGAGCCGGGCAGGUCAGACAAGGCCAGGAGACCAGAUGGAAAGAGAGCUGCCCUGCCCUCGUGGGAGCCCUCCAGUGGAGAAACGACGAGGACCCCUGCGGCGGGGGAUGCAGGAGAGGUUGGUGAGGUGGGAAAGGGCAAAGGGGGAGUAAGGACAGUGGCUUAGGUUAUUAAGUGGUAUCAUUCACCACAAGAGGAACUUCCAGACGAAAAGCAGGGCUGAGGGAAGAUGAGGCAGCAUUUGGACGUAGCAGAGUGCACACAGACAGGCAGGUGUGCAGGAGACCGGGGGAGGGUCAGGGUGGUGGGCACGGUUGUGGAGCUGGAGGUGUAGACCUUCAACACCAGCUCACAGUCAUUAUUUUACCGGUGGGUGGUCUUGACUGGUGCGAGACCUGUUUCUGAAGCAGUGGAUCUCUUCCAAAUUGUUACAUGGUAUUUUCUAUUUUUUCUAACUUGUUUGUAAUAAAACGCCUUUAAAAUAUGAAAUAGUAUAAAGAAGAAAUAUAAAUUAUCCCUGAUCUCAUCACCCAAAGCUCUUAACAUUUGUAUUCUCCUCCAGCAUCUUCCUGUACACACACAGUGUUUACAGAAUUAGCAUCAUUCUGUGUAGGACCUUCUAUAUCCCAUUUCUUCAAUGAGCAUUUUCUCCAAGUGCUUCUUAAAAAUGCCCUAAAAACAUUUUUAACAGUGUGUUAUAUUCUCCAAUCUGAGAGUGUUUAGUCAGCUUCCAUUUUUUUUAAAAGCCAGUUUUACAUUAUAAUAAUUGUCCUUUGAAGUUUAUGAAUCUUGGACAUUUUUCAUUGAAAUAUAGUAAAGUAAUGCAAUAAUAUUAAUAUAUAUUAAUAAUAAUGACAUAUUAACAUAACAUAUUAAUAUUAAAUAAUAUACUAAAAUACUUCCUUAGGAUAGAUUCCUUGUAGUGAGUUUAUUAAGUUAAAGGAAUUAAACUUUUUAUUUAUUUAUUUUUAUUUUUCUUACUCUAAGUAGGCGCCACACCCAACAAGGGACUCGAACCCACAACCCUGAGAUUAAGAGUCGCAUGCAGUACCAGCUGAGCCAGCCAGGAAGCCCAGAAUUAAACUUCUUAAAGAUUCUUGAUGCCUCUUUGCCAGAUUGUUUCCUAGAAAACUUGUACCAGGUCACCCACAUUCUAGCAAUGAAUGAAACGCCCAUCUCACUGUAUCUUCAUCAGUAUUGAGUAUUACCUUUUAAAAAAAUCUUUAGAGAAAAAUGUUACGUUAUUUUUGGCUCACUUAUUCGACAGCUAGGCAGUGGCUGCCCUCUCUGUGCUAGGUUCAUGGCAUUCCGUAAUUGCUUCCAGUAAAGGUUAAAUUUUUUGUGUGUUUCUUAACCCAGUUUCUUUUUGUAAAUUUCUGUUCACAUCCAUUAUCAACUUUUCUAUGGAAGUGUGACUGUUUCUGUAAUUUUUUUGAGGUGUGUGUGUGUGUGUGUGUGUGUUAGCAAUAUUUGGGCAAAUAUUUUUCUCACCUUCUUUGAUUUUUAAUUUUUGCUUAUGAUUCUUUUGAGACACAGAAUGUUUACCUUCUAUUUAGUUAAAUAAGUGAUUUUUGUCUUUUUCUUUUCUUUGUGACUCUCCUGUUAACUUGGGCUUUGGAAUUCCUUCCUGACCAGAAGUUACAAGAUAUUCUUCUGAAAAAUAAUUUCAUUUUGUAUAUUAAACUCACCAAAUUAGAAGUUAGGUAUAAGGGAUUUUUUUUUUCAUGUAGUCAAUCACCCAACGUCCUGUAUGAAAUCAUUUAUCUUUCCCCUGUUAAUUUUUAGUGCUUCCUUUAUUUUAUACUUCAAGACCUUUUGCUAUCAUGUUUAGCUGUAAGAGUCCAUGAAUUUGAGGGGAUAUUGGUAUCUGUGUGGAGGAUGUGAUACACUUUUUUUCCAACAUUUCAUUAUGAAAAAUCUCAAGUAUAUAGUAAGGUUGAAAUAAUUUUACAGUGAACCCCCUCAUAUACCCCAGCUAGAUUCUACAAUUAGCAUUUUAUCAUUUUUCCCUUUAUUAUUUACCUAUUCAUGUGAUAAUUUUUAAACCUCCUGAGUCAUCAUUUAAAUUCAAAAGCGGGAUAUCAGAGACAGUUCCUUUCAUUCUGUUCUCUUGUUUUUCCUUUAAUUUGUAGGUCUGAUUUCCAAGAAAGUUUCAGCAAUGUAUCUUAGUACAGUAAAAGAAUGAACAGUAAUAUGCACCAAGAGAAACUGCAUGCCAAGAUACGUGUCAGUCAUCUAAUUUUGUGAAUAUGGUUCGAUUUUUAAGGCUUAUGAUGAUUACUCACAUACGAUGCAUUUGUGUUUCAAACAGAAUUCCCUGUUAAGGACUCCAUCCUCCCAGAGCUGACAAAGGGGCUGCCUGGGCACAGUGGGCUUUGAAAGAAAACUUUUGUCAGAAUCCGAUCACUUUCCCAAGUGGCCGCCAUCAGGCCCUGCCAUGGGAGCCCUUAGCAUACAGGUGCUUUUGCCCAGGGCAGCGCGUACUGAUGUUUGGCAUUGAGUGUCCCUGGUUCAUGGUGGCGAUUAGGUCAAACCUCAGGUAAAGGAGCUUGAUCACCUCUUCCAGCCUAAUUAAUGAGCUCCCUAAAUUCCCAUGAGUUCUUAAGGCCUGAUGGGAUCCCAGCUUAGAGACAGGUUUGCAACCGUGUGUUAACAGGAAACCGAAUUACCACAUCUGCCUCUUAGCGCAGCAUACAGCUAGUUGAAUGGAAAAUGUACAACCUGAUUGAAAGACUCGCCUUUGGUCACCACUAGAUAUUAAUGAUGGUUUAAUUCUCAUACCUUUUUUUUUUCCAUCUGAGCCUUAACUUCCUGUUUGUAAAAUAAGUUGAUUUUAUUAGAUUAUGUAGAAAGUGUUUGUCUUUACCCAGAAUCUGUGAUUUUCAUCUAGAACUUUGAAUGUCGUUCAGUAUCCACCACUCUCUCAGAAAUCUGGGAAGACAGUUUUUUGCAGCUUCUCUGAAUAAUCCUUUCCAGGGUAUGACCGCUGAUGAAGUUCACCAGACGCUGGAUCUAGGGCUAGAGUGUCAAAGCCGUUAGCUCCUGUCAGGGAUGAGGGGCAUUCCAGAGAUCAUUCAGAGGAAGCCUGACUCACAGGAAGCAGAUGAGCUGACUAGCUGCUUAUGGAGCAAAUUCCCCCUUGACCUUCAGGAGACUCCCUCUGUGGUGGUCCCCAGCGUCACCUUUGUUCUAAAUUCCCUGCUCCUAGGGAAUAAUGCUAUAGCACUUUAGAAGCCUAGCCAGCAAAUGCUUAGGCACUUAAGGAUCACUUUACCGAAAAAAUUCAACAGAAACUAAAUUGAUACUCUUGUACUGUCAAUAUUCAAAAGAGGCAUUCUGUUUGAGUGAAUGAUUUUCAGAAAAACAGUGAAACAACCAGAGUUUUUCUCUUGCUGCUGUCCCCUCUCAAGUGUCUGUGCUUCAGCAAGAGUCAGCCUGUUACUCCCCAUACCUGCCAUGUUGUUUCCUGUUAACCUGCCUUUGAGAAGCAGCUCCCCCCGUCCUUACCUGUGCCCACCUCUCCGGCCCAGAGGAGCCCCACCAAUACUAACCUCUCCCAGCCCAGGGCUCCCUUUCCCUCUACGGAUAGGCCAGUCCUAGCGGGUUGGUUUAUUUGGCAUCCAUUAAUUUGCCAGGAGCAAGGGAGGAGAGUCCGAAAGCACUGCUAUAACUUGUUAUUUUCCUUACCGUCGCGGUGGGAGGAAGACAGACGCUUCCCACUGGCCACCACCGUGCUGUGCAUCAAGUGCCUCAGCCCACAGCUCUUUUUUUUGUUUUUUUCAACGUUUAUUUAUUUUUGGGACAGAGAGAGACAGAGCAUGAACGGGGGAGGGGCAGAGAGAGAGGGAGACACAGAAUCGGAAACAGGCUCCAGGCUCCGAGCCAUCAGCCCAGAGCCUGACGCGGGGCUCGAACUCACGGACCACGAGAUCGUGACCUGGCUGAAGUCGGACGCUUAACCGACUGCGCCACCCAGGCGCCCCCCACAGCUCUUUUUAAAAGUUAGCUCCCGGGCUAGAUCUGUAGGAAAUAAGAUGGUGAGAUCAUAAACGCUAUGGAAUGAGGAUGAAGUUAGCUUACCAGAUCCCAGCACGUGAGCCCUGGGAGUCCUGAGGAGGCUGCUUUACAAGUGAGUCGCACCUGUACGGAACCUCGUGUCUGCAGAGGUGGUAACGUGCCAACGAUACAGAUAGCUUUAAAAUGAGUUUAAAUGCAAACAGCAAAUAAAGUUGGGACAUACUCACAGGCACUGGGAUUAUUUAACGGGUUAGGAAGGAAAAUACGAGAUAUCUGAGGUAGUACAUCCUUUAACUUUUAAGGCAGCUAUCUUGAAGAGAAGGCUCUAAUGAAAUACACCCUGGUGUCGCCGUGAAGGACUGUCUAAAAAGCCAGCACAGGGCCCGCAAACAGUGUUUUAGAGAGAUUAAGAAUCUUUUCCAGGGUAGCCUUCGUCCUGGGCUGAUUUAACUGAGAGCUCUCCCUUGCGAAACUGAAGUAUCCCCACCAUAAUGAUAAAGUGUCAGUUAGCUAUGACCUAAUACGUACCAACCAUGACUAACCCAGAAUGCCAGGUCGCUGUGGUUGCAUUUCCCGUGGCGUCAGUGUUCUGGGGUCAGGGUUAACAGGGGUAAUUCAUUUCUGGGUUCGGGUCUCCACUCUUCACUGAUGUCAGCCAUGGGUGAGAGGAGACCUGCUCUAGUCCAGGUGCCAGAGAGUCCUGAUGAUGGCAGUCACAACAGGGGCUGGCGCUGUCAGCUGAGCAGCGGGUGCCAGGCGCUGUGCAAAGUCCUCGACUUGGUUAUCUCUUCUAAUAAACAAUCCUGUGAGGCAGGUGCUAUCAUCAUACCCAUUUUUCUGGUAGAAAACUAAGGCUUGGAGAAGUCAACUCAUUUCUCCCAAGAUGAUGCAGCCUGGUAAGUGGGGGGAGGGGGGGGGGGGGGGGGGGGGGGGAGCCAGGAUUCAAAUCACAGCUCCUAAGCCCAAGCUUUUGAUUUGUAUCAUUUUCAGUUUCCAUAAAUGACUCUUCUUUGGAGGCAUGUUCGUCCUGUGGGGCCACCCAGUUUCAUUUGGUCUGCUGUCUUCUGUGAUACAUCCCCUAGUGCUGGGCCUUCUCCUGGUACCUUGUUGUGGGUCACCAGAUCACAGCCUGAUAUUGAUGGCACGUAUUACCACAGCCUGCCCGCGCGACUCCAGCAACUGUGCUGAUACUUACAAGAGAGUAUGUCCCAAAAAGGUAAUUAACAAAGCAGCUAUCCCAACCACUGAAAAAACCAACUUGGCAUGGCCCAUGAUGGAAUCUCCUUUCUUUUAUUUUUGGAAAUGAAUAGGAGCUCAUUAACGUUGUACCUUCCGGUAAGUUCAGGCCCACUGUCAGGACCCCAAAAUCUGUUGUCUUACGAUAUUGUUGCUGAGUUGGCUACAUAGAGUCUCAUGAGGGAAAGCUGCUGUGCCACCAACGUGGCACAAAGGCCCUCCACGCGCUGCUCUCGUCUUAAAAUUCCUCCCAUCUUUACCUUCAUUCAGGGCUCUCCGGUCCAGAUUUGUGGUUCUGCAAAUGAAGCAGGUCGUGCUUGCCCUUUGCAUGGAAACUCUUUCUUUUGUCCUCUUCCUGGCCAACCACUACUGUUCCUUUCAGAUGAAUCCUCCUCCAGGUAGGCUUCCCUGACUGCCCAGGAUCAGGUCAGGUGCUCCUGGGUGCUUCCACAGCACCCUCUCCUACCUACCCCUGUGGGUACACACCAUACUAGGCUCUAGCUUCCUGUUUCUUGUCCGUCUGCCCUGACUCGCGGUGGCACUGGGAGAACCAGGCUCGGUACUGUUGACUUUGGGGUACACACCCCGACACACAAGACGGUGCCUGACUCAUGGCAGACACCCAACGAGCGUGUGAAUGAGAGAGGUAGAAAUGACAUACUUGGUAACGGUGGGAACUAAUACAUGCGGUGUCUAAUAUUUGCAGAUCAUAAGGCGUUUUUGUACGUGUUCUGUUACCGAAUCCUCACAGCAAUUCUAGGAAGAUUUCUUGAUCCUCACUGUACUGACCUGGAAACAUCUGCUAACACAGUUAGUCCUGUGGUCCCCUUAUGUGCUGGGGGAAUGUGUCCAAGAUCCCCAGCAGAUGCCUGAAACUACGGAUAGGACCAGACCCUAUAAAUACUGGCUUUUUUCCCAUGCAUACAUAACCUAGGAUAAAGUUUAAUUUAUAAAUGAGGCUUAAUUUGUAAUGUAUAUAAUUAGGUUUAACUUAUAAUUUAUAAAUUAGUGUAAGAGAUUAACAACCAUAACUAAUAAUAAGAUAGAACAGUUAUAACAUUAUACUCUUGUAAUAAAAGUUAAUAUAAAUGGGGUCUUUCUCUCACAGUAUCUUCUUAUACUGCACUCACCCUUCUUGGGAUUAUGUGAGAUGAUAAAAACGGAUUUGUGGUGAGAUGCAGUGAGGUGAAUGACACAGGCACUGUGACGUAACCUCAGGCAGUCAUUGACCUUGUGACGAUAAGUCAGAAGGAAGAUCAUCAGCUUCCAGACCAUGGGUGACCGUGGAAGACAGACCACAGGUAGCUGAAAGUGAAACCGUGGAUAAGGGGCAAAGGGGGACCACUGUAGUGGCAAAGCCAGGAUUUGAGCUUAGGUCUUCUGACCCCAGCUCUUGUGCUCUACUGUACUGUGUGAAUAUUCCGAGGCUGGUCUGUAACACAGGUGUUAGAAUCUGUAACAGAAGCAGCGGCAUUUCUGUCCUCACCAGCGAGACCCAGAGGGAGAAUCGACAGACUUUUCAUUUCUCUGCCUUUCCUCCUUGACAUCUUCCUACCUCCCAUGUUUCCAGUGGAAGCCUUACGCUGACAUGUGAUGGAUUCUUUCCAAGUUUCAAGGUGCUGACAGUGAAUCUUUUGUUUGUAUUCAGACCAGACUGGCUAUAGCCCUUCUUUCCUUGGGGUUUGAGCUUUUUGGAAAGGUGGAGAGCUUAGGAGUUCAGGUGGAGUCCCUGAGCACGUUGAUAUGUUAAGAUCGCGGUGUGUUGGGGAGAAAUCGGUGUGGUGCUGAGACCGUGAGUGAGAGGAUGCAGGUGGGGGGGCCAGUUGGGUUGUCGAGGAAGAGGCCGUAGAGAGGUUGCUGGCUGGCUGGGCUGUGCAAUUAAGCAGUUGAACAGGUCUCAGUAGCACACUGGGGUGUCCUCCACAGGCCUGCAGGGGAGCAGAGUGGAAGCAAGCUGGCUGGCAGCAUCUUUGGACACACGGUGCUAGGUGUUAGGGGCUUAACCUGGAACGUCUCCACAAGCAGGUACCCCAAGGAGCAGAGCAUAAUCGGAGGAGGGACAAAAGUGAGAUUGGGGGUAGCAGCUCCUGAGCUUUAAAAUUCACGAUUUAAUCUUCAACCCUGCUCCGUUCUGGGUGCUCCCAACACCGUUGCCGAGGGGGAGGAGUUUUUAAUUUCAUAGAGAAGUUAAUUUUUUGCCACCACAGUAGAACAUUAGACCCAAGUUCACAAAUCUUUCCAGCAGUCCCGUGUCCGUUACGAACUUCUCACUUUAUAACUGGUUAUUUGCAGUCGGAGGAUAUACCAGCAUUUAUUGUGGUUUUAUUGGAGGGCAGGGGAGUCAGGAACACAUGGAGAUGGGGUUAGAGGUACCUCCUAUGGGACAUUCAGAGAUCAGAGCAACUCGGGGAGAGGAAGCUGGUGUCAUUGUUCAUUCACUCAGCAGAGAUUCCCUGAGCAUCCGCCGUGUGCCAGGCACUGGUCGGCACCGGGAUGAUGAUGAUGGUGGUGAUUAAAAAAACAGGCGUGAUCUCUGUCAUCAUGGAAGCUAAGUACGUGUGUGGGAAAGCAGUCCAGUUGCGGGGGAUGAACUCAGGCUUCGUGCUGUGAAGGAAAAGGUGCUCCAGGAUGAAAGGGGGACUUCCUUUGAGUGGUUCUCUGAGGAGGUAAUUUCUAAGGUGGGAGCCAGAGGUUGAGAAAAGAGUGGGUGGAGGAGUUGGGGGUGAAGCUUCCAAGCACAGAGAACAGCACAGUUAAAAAGCACUGUAGUGGAGAUGAGAUUGGCCUUUGAGGAUUGAGAAGAAGGCAGAUGUGGCCCACGAUGAUGGUGGGAGAGGCGAGCAGGUGCAGCCCCUCCGAGGCCUUCGGUUUGGUGUGGCCCUGCUCUGAAAGGCGGCCAUCCUAGAAGUCUCCUGGGGUCUCUCGAUCACCCCUGUAAGUGUCCCCAGCCCAGGACAUCCCCAGGCUCCUAGAAAAGCCCUCGUCCCCAGGAGACUGCCUGCCACUUCCCUCUUCCUGCUCAUGCCCCUUGUGGAGGGGAAUAAACAAGAAGGAGAUUUUACAGUGAACGCAGAUUUGCAUGAACUUGAAAGCAGGAGUCCUUUCAGGUGCUAAAAACCACGAGAGACAGGCCCAAGGGACUUUAAAAUGGCUCUGAAUAGAUGGGGUUGCUCUGUCGUGGCUCCCACACGCAGGUCUUGUGAGCUCAAACCGGUGGUGAGUACAGCAGGGUAGUAGGAGUAGAAAAGUACAGUCUUGGGGGGACGGGGGGGGGUGCCUGGGUGGCUCGGUUGGUUAAGCGUCUGACUUCGGCUCAGGUCAUGAUCUCGUGGUUCGUGAGUUCGAGCCCGCGUCGGGCUCUGUGCUGACAGCUCACAGCCUGGAGCCUGCCUCAGAUUCCUUGUCUCCCUCGCUCUCUGCCCCUCCCCAUUCAUGCUCUGUCUCUCUCUCAAGAAGAAACCUUUAAAAAAUUAAAAAAAAAAAGAAAAACACAGUCUUGGUUCUGAAAAAGCGAAACCUGCAGCAUUGGCUCCCCAAAGUCCUGGGGAAGAUCGUUCCCUGAAGUAAGUGCAGCCGCUUUCUCGGGGGCUGUCAUCUGGCCCUCUUUCUAAUUUUAAACUUCCACGAGUUAGGGGAUCCCAAGCGAGCAUCAGGCCGGCUUUAGGCGGGNGCCCCCCCCCCCCCCCCCCCCCCCCCCCCCGUGACACCAGUGGGCAGGCCUGCCGCUAAGCAGGUCUCCUUCGCUCUUGUCCUUUGUGCUCUUCAGCUCACCUCUGCCCCUGUUUUAGAAGAAUGAACUUUGAACCUGGGGGGGUGGGUGGGGGCUAGAAGGAAGAGAGCCCUGGAUAGUGUUGUGUAAACACUUCGGUCUGAUCCUUCUAAUCUUUUACUACCUGUAGGGACAGGUGGCUGCAGCAAGGCUGCUGGCAGGAAAGCCUGAUUUUUUCUAGGCUGUGGGUUACGCAACAGAGCAGAUCUUUGAAGCUGCAAAGGGAGGUCAGAGCAGCCUGUCCACAGGCAUAUUACGCACAAGUUUCCCUUUAUAAGACCUAAUUUGCCUGAGUAUCACUAGGAACUUCUGUGCCAACAUUGAGCUGGCUCUCUGGAGUGAGUUGUUACCGCCAGGCUCUAGUUAAAGCAGUCAGUCUUUUUUUUCUUUAAAAAAGGUCUCUACUUUCCAAGGUCUCAAGCAGCUCUCUUCGGCAGCUGUGUUUGGAUAACGGGGUGCGUUCCAUCCUAGCCUGUAACCUCGCACUCACAUCUGCGAAUGUUCGCUCUGUCCAGAAGUGGAGGUAGAUGGCGAUGUAGCAGGUCCGGUGGACCAGGCGGUGCUGAGCUUGCGUCUGGGACGGUGACCAGACCGAUGAAAGGAGAAGGAAGAGAUAUUUUUAGCGCGUCAGGGCCGCUUGGAAACACUGGUUCCCGCCAUCCCCCCUCCCCAAGUAAUUCCAGCAGGGGGUUCGGUGGGGAGUGCAUCUGCUCUAAUUUAGUGUAUAACGCAUUUCACUUCCGUAUUAUACUUCAGAAUAUUCAUGAGGGCUGGUGAGUUGCUGACUUGACAAAGGAGUAGCUUUGAAACCCACAUUAUGGGCUCGGUUUUUAGGGUCCCUAGAUGCAGCCUGAAUGUGUGAUGUUAUUGCAGAGGGCCUCUAGGGGGGCUCCCGGGCCCCAGUGUGGACUGGGAGAACCAGCCACUCCUUUUGCCUCAGAAGUGUGGUUUUCCCUGGAGGUUGGGGCCUGAGGACAUAGUCCACUCUAUUUCUCUUCUCCCGGGAGUGGAUUCAAGCAGGCGUCGCUGUUCUGAUGUUGAGAACAACAUGACCUCUGCCGUUAGGUUCUUACAAGUUGUGGUGCGCCGAUUUAAACCACCGGUGAUGUUAAAUCAACUGAAAAACUCCAGUGAGGUUAUAAAUUAAGUACAACUUAAGGGAAGGGAUGGAAGGGAUCCUGUCUGGGGCGUAGGUGAUCCUCUCCAGAAUCACUUUCGAGACCGGAGGACUUUUGUAUGUGCUGAGAAAAGCGUGAGUUGAUUUCCGUACAAGGGAAGGGUUUCUCUUCGUAAGCUUCUGCUUAGCUGCUCGGUUUUGAUUGAGGUUCCAUCUGUCUCUCCUGGCCGUCAAGUGUAGAAGAAACAACAGAGUGUGUGGAGGAAACACAGGGGUUGGGAUUAGGAGGCCGGAGCCUGGGCUCUUCCCUCCAGCCCCCCACAUGCACCGAGCCCCGCGGGUGCCCGGUGUGGUUCUGCAGGUUACUGGCCUCUCUGUCCCUGCUGAUGUGAUGAGGCAGGAGACCACAUCUGAAUCCCACGCUUGUUAGGUGUGUGACUUUGGCCGCUUAAGGUUACCUAAUGUCUCUUUGCCUCAGUCUCCUCAUCUAUAAAAUGGGAAUUGAAAUAGUACCUGCCUCGAGGGGCUGCUGCAAGGAUUUGAACGUGCAGUAAGUGAAGUGUGCAGGUGAUGGGAUCUGUUCCUCUUCCUUCAGGCUCUUCAGGCUCUUUGGCCUCUGAGUGAGAAACAGUAAAUGGGCCACAGGUUCACGGGAGAGCCAGUCAGAGCGAGUGACGGACCAGGGAAGCUGAAGGGGCCGUGGGCGCUCGAUGCCCUUCCGUUGUGGAGCAGUGCUCAGCUUGGCACCUCCUCACGUGCCCCGUCUCCCUCCCCUGGUGCUUAGACAGCAGUCCUUCCCUCAGCGGAAGAAGUGGCCCUUCUCAGUCCCACGUGGAACACAUGCCCCAGCGUUGCCCUCAGAUGACCUACGUGGUGGAGACAAGGGGCCUCGGGUAGGCGUCGCCGCUGACCUGGAGGUGGUGCCCCCCUGACCCCCCACUUGCUGAGGUCCCCCGCAGCGUCCGCCAGUUUUCCUGCACUUUCAAGGGUCGUUGUCGGACUUAGUCAUGGCGGCCAAGCUCUUUAUUAGCUGGUUCUCCUUGGUGAAAGCCCUUUCACUGAAACUUCCUUCUCAGCCUACACGUUUUAGACUCUCAGCACAUUUCUGUGAGGGCUCAGCUGGCUGCCCUUAAAAGAGCCCCCCUGAGGGGUAAGGAGAGCAGUUUUCACGCUCCUCCCCCCAAAUCAGCCGAUACGUCAUGGCUUCCACCAUGAAAGGUUUUCAGAGGGAGGAAACCGCUUACGAGGCAAGCUUAGAGAGCUUGUGGCUCCUUUCCAGAAUGUACUUAGUGGUUCUGCCCUGCGUGGUGGAGAGCCCCGUUCUCUUAUGUUUGGGUGGCUCCAUCCACUCUCCACCAAGAAUGACGUCCUUAAAGGCUGCCCCCAGGCAGAAGGUCCUUCUGCUGCCCUGCCAGGGGCUUGGGGACUUGGUAAGCGGCACUGCAAAUCUCGGGGGGGGGGGAGCUAAUCAGGUGAUCAGUCUGGGGAUGGAAAGACAAGAAGGUGGUAGAAAGUUGUGCUGAUUGUCUUGCAAGUCACAGGUCUGAAAUUUUGUCACGUCUCAUGGGGGUGAGGAGAAGCCAGCCUGAGUAGAGAACGUCUUAAAUUGACUUCACAGUGAACUAAAGUAUGAGAAUGGUAACUGUUCUUUGUCACUCAAAAUUACUAGUCCCAAAAGCCUUUAAAAAGGCCAGCCACUUCUGGUGAUCAAAAUCAACUGUCCUGUUUUUUGCAAACAAACCUGGACGGGGCUGGCCGCCAGUGUGGCUGUGUGCAGCUGCCACCUUGUGGCCAGAACCAGGCAGUGCGUGUGUUACCUGUUGCCGGAUCCCCUGUGUGAAAUGUGUCAAUCUUAAAGCUCUUUUACAAAGAUUUUUCUCAGUCACCCUCUCACUACACAUUCCAUCUCCAGGGCUUAACCGUUCUGCUUCUGUCGAAUCUGUACAGGACAAUGUCACUACCAGGCUCCAGGGUCACUACCUUCAGCCUCCAGACUGAUCUUGCUCCAACAUGUUAAUCUGAUUGUGUUUUUUCUCUUACUUAAAGCCCUUUAAUGGCUCUUCCUUACCCAGGUUCCAGCACAUCUCUCAGAAUUUCCCCGAGCCCAAGCUCCUUUGCCCCAGGGCUGCAUCUUUGCACACGCUCUUCUCUCUUCCUCUUCUGUUUAACACCUACUCAUUCUCAAGACUCGUUUCAGGGUUCACCUCCUUCAGGAAGCCCUCUGCACUGUAUUAGAUAUUAGACUUUCAUCUUUCUGUCACAGUGUCUGACAUAUAACUGUUGCUUGCUAAUUAUUAGCGAGUAAAGGGAGGGGGAAGACAAGUAAGCAGAGACCCGAAGCGCCAAAUGUUCCUCUUGGGUGUGAUGGAGCUCAGGGAAGAACGGAGGUGAGCCCAAGGGGCCCUGGAGCAAAGAGCCUCGUGUCCCUGCAGAUGGCAGAGAAACAGUCCCCUCGGUGAGCGACGCUUACCUCUCCUGUACUGUUCCCUCUCUCUGUUAGCCCCUCCUGAUGCUCACUGAUUCAUCCUUUUAAGCAUGCAUCAGUCACAUCACUGUCCUGCUCAAAACCCUCCUGUGCAAGAGUUCGGAUUCCAGGACCUCACAGCAUGAGCUCACCUUACCUGUAUUUCAUACCAUUUCUUACCUGUGCCAUACGUAUCAUCUGAAUCCUAGGACUCGAGGGUCAUUUGCUGUGAGUUUACUUACUUACUUGGCCGGCCGUGUGGCAAAAGCACCGUCUAAAAUUUCAAUUAAGACAUCUGUUAUCAAGCGUCUGUGGGUGUAAGCCGCUGUGCUGGUCACCGGAACCACCAGAAAAGAAGGUGUCGUUCUGUGCCUGCAAAGAGCUGAUAGUCCAGGAGAAGGGAGAAGACGACAAACAUGCAGGCAGCGUUAAGGAACGAGAUAGCAGAAAUGAACAUGUCACAAGGGGGUGUGUGAUUAAUUGCCAAAUAAAUGGCUCAAGAGUGUGGUGGUGACUACAGAAGAUAAUGUAUGUGGAAGUGCCUCUCGGCUGAAAAAUUCCCAGUUCCGGGCAGCACUGCCAUCCGCCCCUGUCCCACUCGGACGUGACUCUGGUUCCACUUCACACAGCUAGGCACCUGGACGGCCGUGCAAAGUCCUUGUGGGACGAGGCCCUGCUGGCCCCCCACCCUCGAACCCCGUGCUGCAGCCAUGCUGAAGAGCAGGUGCCACAUACGGUUCCCUCCUCCUCAUCUCCCUUCCUUGUCUAACUUCCUCCUUUCACACCCUGCGCUUCCUUCACCACUCAGCCUAGUGGUCGGUCGUCAGACUCAGGCACACUGCGGGCCGACCUGGCGCAUCCUCCGCCGAGCCUCCCCGCUCCCUUGCCAGACAGGCCUCCCCUCGUGUGCCCGGCGCCCAUCCCUCUCCUCCCUCCGAGGGAGGGAGCCUCCUGCGGCAGGCGCCCCGUCUCUCUCCUUCGUGCUCCUUGCACUUGACACAGCAUCAGACAUGGCGUACGUGUCCCCUGAGCGUUCGUCCCUUAACGCAUUAGGGGACUCCGUGAACAUGAGUUGAUUGACACGGUACAGACGUGACCGUCGCGAGUGGGGAGGCCGGAGCUGAGCCCUGGGGGGGUCCAGGUAGGCUCGCUCCGGCAAGGAGGAAACGCUGAACAGAACGAACAUUAAAAGGGCCGAAGAAGGAGAAGGGAUCCCAGGUGGAGGAGCUCAGUGCCCGUGAGCGCUGACAGCUCGGCCGUUUCUCACAGUACUCGGGAGCCGGAGGGCCUGCCGAGCAGGUGACGGCAGACAGCUUAUUUUAGUUGGAGCAAGGGGUUGUCUAAAGGAAGGAGAGAGAAUGCCCUGAAGGUGCUUUGGACGCCGCUGGUGGAAAGGCCUCAAAGGUACGUGGGUAUCUUGGAGACAGCGGAUGCCAUUUAUUGUUUUCAACAUCCGUGGUGACUUCAAGUGGCAUUGAAAGUGGGAGCUGCCCCGUGGCCCUGUCUUCAUCAUAAGUCGCGGCAUUGACACUCACGCAGAGACCCCCGAGACCAUAGGAUGCAGGUGCGAAGCCCCUCUGCCUCCAUCGCCUCACCUCUCGGGUGAAUCUUCCAUAAGACAAAGGCUUUCCUUCCGGCGCUGCCCUUGACCUGGCCCUGAGCCGUUGAUCCUUUGGGUCCAUUCAGCUCUGCCCUGUGCCUCUACCCUCGUGACUGGUAAUGACCCGGAAGGUGGCGGCACCCACGCAGCAGGUGGCCUCCAAAGCUGAGUCACCACCCUGGGAACAGUGCCCUGGGGAGGCCAGCUUGGGCGAACUAGGAACUCUCCACCUCGCCCGGGCCCUGUAAGGGCUCCCAGUGCAACAGCGAGAGCAAAGGAAAAAUGGGUUCUUGGACGCAUCUAGUGUUGUCACCGAGCUGAUAAGAAGGUGAAAUCAAGCCCACUGAAGAACUGAAAAGGAACUUAUCCUAAUGGUAGGCUCGCUGGUGUCUUUGGCAAAGCACCAAGAGUUGUUCUCUCACGAUUACAGUCCGGUCUAUGGUGGUUUCACUUAAACACACCAAAAUCACCCAUUUGCGGAUAUCUUUAAAAAUGCAACGAAGAGGAUUUUGAAAUGGUGUUUUAAAAUUCUGUUUGAGCUUCUGAAUUAAGAGAGUUUAAGAAGUAAAAUGGAGAGCUAUAUAAGCUAUAUCAAAUGAGGUAUAGGGUGGGGUUUUUUUGUUGUUUUUCACUAUUCAUAGAUGCUCUGAUGGAUGUUGGUGUUGAAAAUUAUGAUGCCUUUAUUUCAUUCCCAGGGAGGAUAAAAAUGUACUGUUGCUUUUAAAAGGAGGUUUAGGGGCACCUGGGUGGCUCAGUUGGUUAAGCGUCCGACUUCGGCUCGGGUCAUGAUCUCACGGUUUGUGAGUUUGAGCCCCACGUCGGGCUCUGUGCUGACAGCCCAGAGCCUGGAGCCUGCUUUGGAUUCUGUCUCUCCCCCGCUCUCUGCCCCUCCCCCACUGCCACUCUGUUUCUCUCUCCAAAAAUAAAUAAACAUUAAAAAAAAAUAAAAGGAGGUUUAAAAAAAAGUAUGGUUUGUUUACUACACCAAUGAAUAGAGAUGACCUCAGUCCAAAAAAAAAAAAAAAAAAAAAGAGAGAAAAGAAAAACAAGCGAACUCUAGUAUCUCUCCUUGCCUGGCAGAAUAAGCCUUUAUCAAGUAGCAAAAGAAGUACAAGCCGGACUGCCUACUCAUCAUCUCAGCUGAUCAUGAUUUUCCCAAAAACAAAGCAAAAAGCUCUCUACAUUUUCACAACUGAACAAUAACUCUUAGGAAAUACUACCAGCUUGCUCAGUUCCUAUAAGGCCAUUUAAAAAAAAAAGUCUGGUGACAAUCAGUCGGUUGCUUGACUGCAAAUUUUGUGCGUGGUUAACUCUGCUGUCCCCGCUGUGAGCUUUCAAAAUUGGAGAAAGUAGCAUUGCAUCUAUCGCCUUUUGAGUAUGGGAUUUUUUUAAAUUAAAAGUUGGUUUUGGUUUUUUGUUUUUGUUUGUUGUUGUGUUUUUUUGUUUUUUUUUUUUUACUUUACCCAUCCUAUGCCCAGUUAUUCCUAUACAGCUGAAUGUCUCUGAAGGCAAAAAUGAGGUCAUUUUCUCGAGCAAAUUGUCCUGAGUUCUAGUAUGCACAUGGUCUGUGACCUCCCUGGGGCCCAGACAGCUAACACUCAUGUUUCCUCCUUUAUUCUUCUGUUGACUUUCCAUGAAUACUGUAUGUAUAAAAAAUGAGCCAUACAAACAUUACAGAACAUUAAAAGGUUUCGUGGUUUUUCUAAGGCAGAAGAAUUGAGGUAGAUUCUACUAGAAACCAGAACUAUGUGCUGAUCCCUAUAUCCUUUGUGAUUUCAGAUCCAUAAAGGCUGAAUCUAAAUGCAUUUGGAGGUUAGAGGUCAGAUGAUUCUGCCGGAAUCCAUUCCACUCAAAAGAAUGUCUCGACUCUCUGGGUUUGGCAUGCGGUUUGGAGAAAGAGAAUUUUUU